rnacentral:lncRNA from 1 species
CGACACGUUUAUUUGAUACAAACGAAGGACCAAGUGAAGCAAACAAUGCUGCAUGCAAUUAUACAAACAUCACACUAGCUUUUAUUUUAUUUAUAUGCUCACAUUUAUCCAUAAAAGCCAACCCAUUGAACUAUAACUCCAUAUUCAAAUAGUGGCUUAUAGAACUACAUUUUCUCCCUUGACAAGAUGACCAUCAAUAUCUCUAGUGCAUUUGCUAAGGUAGUCCAUCCAGCCAUUGGGAGUAUCAAUAUCCUCAUUUUUCUUCUCAUAAUCAAUAGUCCAUCUAACAGCAGAACUUCCAUUAUCCUUGAUAAUCACUUCUAAGAUAACGUUAAAGACCUUAUAGUUUUCAAUAUCUCCACCAAACAGCUUGAAAGUGAUUUUUUUGUUCUCCUCAUCAACUUCUUCAACCUGCUCAUUGCAUGUGUGUACCUCGCCAUCUGUUGUUAUGUCAGAGCCAAUUAUAAUACCAAUAUAUAAGGCAAAUGAUAGAUUGAAAUACUAUCAUUUCUACACCCUUAUACCAGUGCUGAUGAGGCAAGGUUUUUUAUUAAAAAAUUAUUGAUAAUAAUAGAAUAAAAAAUAGGGUUAAUAGUGUUUUACCCUCCUUGUAAUAUAGGUCAUUUUCGGAUUUGUUCCUCUAGAAAAUUUUGUUUUGUUUUCGUCCUUGUAAAAAAAAAUUGUUUCAAAAUAAUCCCCUAAUAGGCCAUUCAAAAACCAAAAUAUUUGGAAAAAAAAAAUUAUGAAAAUGGCAUAUUAGGUGGGUAUUCUAUGGGAAAAAAAAUUUACAAGGACGAAAACGAAAAAUAAAAUUUUACAGGAGGUAAACCCGGAAAUGACCUAUAUUACAGGGGGAUAAAACACUAUUAACCCUAAAAAAUAAUAAUAAUUUUAUCUUUCAAUGUCCUCAAACCUAACUCUCUCUCUCUCUCUCUCCCUAAACUUCUCUCUGACACAAAGCUAUGUACCCUCUCUCUCGUCACUCUUCACUCAGAUCUGAAUGGAGGACAAAAUGGUCGACGAUGGUGGACGGUAAUAUGGUGGUGGCUGAGGUGGAUGGAGGUCGACGGUGGUGAGAAGGACGAUGAUUUCGUUGUCUUGGACAGAAAGAGAGAAGAUGGAGCCGGAGAUGAGGGUGGAAACUGAUUUGGGUUUUAGUGGAUAGAUGGUGGAGAGACGAUGGUGGUGAUGUGGUGGACGAUGGUGGAAGAAUAGUUAGCGAGGCGGUUGAGAGAAAAUUCAGAUUUGCUGGGUUUAAGGAGGGGCAAAGUGAUGACGACAGAACAAGUGGUGAGGAGGACGGCAAUCAAUCUGUUUCUGCGGCGGCAUGGACAACUGUGGGUGUGGUGGAGAAGGAUGUUGAUGGUGGUGGUGACUGGUGGUGGGUGUGCAAGGGAUGGGACAAAAUAAUAAUUUUUAUUUAAAUUUUUUUGAUAUGAAAUAGACAUAAUUUUUUAAUAUUAAAUUUGUCAACUAGAGGAUAGUAGAAGAGUGGUAAGAACACAAAAGGGUGUCAAUAUAUAAUAAUAAAAUAAGGUUUUUUCCUCCAAAGAAAAAAAAAAUAUUGAUAAGGAUACAUUAUUUCUAAAAAUAAAAUAUUUUAUUUUUGAGAAAAAAAUAAAUUAUUUUAUUGUUUUCAUUAUAUGGAUACGUAUUUAAGUGGAGAAGUGAGUUGUCCAGGGUUUGAAUCGCGUCCCCUGAAUAUAUCAUGCAAUGCUUAUAUCAACUUAGCUAAACUCACGGGGACAAUAUAUGAUGAUUCUGAUUUUAUAAAAAUGAAUUUUGAGAACAUAACUUGAUUUAUCUUUUUAUUUAUCUGAUAUAUAUACAUAUAAACACACAUAUAUUAAAUACUUAAUUCAUUAUAAUCUAUUAAACUAUUUUUAAAUUAAGUCACUGUUAAUUUAAAUUAUUGCCUUCAUUAUAUAUUAAUAUUUUAUAUAAAAAUUUCUUUUAUUACAUAAAUUAUUGCCUUUAUAGGCUGUUUAGGUGACUUAGGUUCAAAUUAUCGAAUUCAAAGUAUACUUUUUGUUAGACAAAUGUAUGUUAGUUGUUAUCUUAUAGUUUCCUUGAAUCAAAUCAAGAGCCCUAUGUAUAGGAUUCAUUGGUGUUCUUCAGCUCGCAAAACCUAUUUUUAUUUUUUAAUGACAAAUUUUGUUUAAAAUUUGGUUAUGCUCAAGACGAACAGAGACCAGUGUCAUAGAUUACAUAACAAAAGACAUCGUAUAUAAGCGGAACACCUAAAAAAACUCCAUAAAAGACAUCAUACACCAAUCACCUAACCAAAACCUACCUUCAACACCCAUAAGAACACAACCACCAAAACCAACUUCACCACCUAAAUCAAACUCCAUCGCAAACAACCACUGAAAACGAAAUCCAUAAACCCCCUUCGCUCGCUGCUCACCCCAAAAAAAACUCCUCUAAAUCAAACAACCUCUUCUCGUCACCUUAGCUGAGCCAUACCCAAAAAUGACAUAUUUCAAUGCUUAGUCGGCCAUCCCCCCGCUCUCCCCCCGAUCCACCAAAGAAAAAACCAAAAUUAGCCCAAAGCAAAACUUGAAUCAAAGUACGGACUACUGAUCUUAAAUCAAAAACAAUCAGCCCACCAGACUCCAUAAACAAAUCAGUAAGGCACCCCUCACCCCCAAUCUACCGGAGAAGACCUAGCCAAACGAAUUUCGAAUCAGACAUUAACUCUUGAUCUCGAAGCAAACGCGACCGGUCCAUUAGAAUUCAUAUCGCAAACCUGUAAGACAUUCAACAAGAUGAAAGGUGUUCCAAACAGAAAUUAAAUCAAAAAGGAAAAGGCUAAGCUCGAAAACCACCCACACUCAAGCUCCCAAACACAAAAUCAACCAAAAGCACCAAGAGUUAGCGACGACAGAUAUGGACCCAAACAUAUAAAGCGGCCUACAACUGAAACACCGAGAGAUCACUACCACCCAUAAAAUCACUAAAAACCCACUAAUAUAACAUCCACCUCCCUACCUAAAAAAAUGUCUACCACCCCAUAUAAUAAGCUCCCGUUCAUCAAAUGUUCCAACGCCAUAUCCGAGUUCUUAUUAUACACGACCACCCCAUCUGAACAACACCACUACAACACCGAUACACCACCACGCAAACCUAAACCUGGACAACCUCCCCCAACCAUUUCGCAGCACAACUGACACUACUACAACAACAAACAACCGAAACCAACAUGACACCCCCAUCACCACCAAAACUCAGUGACCUCAAAACACUAUACAUCACAAUCUCCUAUCCACCACAAACCCACCAUAACUCGUGACCUCGGCCUCCAUAGAGCAUCACGUCCCCCUCAAUAAAACACCUCAUCACCACCAAAAAAUUUGAACAUCAAUAGAUGAGGUCGCCGACGUAGGAGCCAUCCGUGACUGGAAAGCAAGGCAAGCACAAUCUAAAUCAGAAUAUGCAUAUCUGGUUCGGAUCGGAUCCAAUAAUACGAAGUCGGACCUACAACGUUUAAAUAGAACAAAAAAACGUUGAAAUAGAAUAGAAAACGAAGCAACCACCACUGCACCAAAUCCGACGCGACGGCGUGACCCUUUCAGGAGGUGGAUGGAGGUGGUGCAGCCGCAGGAGGCGCGCACCACCCAAUAGAUGGCUAAAUCUUUACGAGCCGCGUAUGGCGUGUUUGGACCAAGGGAGAGGAACACGACUUUUCUAGAGAGAAGGCAGAGGAUACUUUUCUAAAGACAAGGUUUUUAUGUUUUCUAAAAAAAAAAACUUGUUUUAUUAGAACUAUAAUGAUUAUUAAAAAAAAGGUAAACAUAAAAUAUUUUUCAAGUCAAUUGAAUUGGAAACAUACUUACCUAUGACAAAAGUCCAAUGUUUAACCGAAUCAUUGUGAUGCCAAUGUUCACCUUCGUGAAGCUUACCAUGAUGAACUCUUUCACAAACGUUAUGCACUUCGUGAAGUUCUGAUGCAUAUUGUUUGAAGAACUUCUCCCCUGGUGCUUUAAUCCCAAGUUCAGUGAUAAGUUUACCAGCUAGCACCAUUUUUGGAAAGGAAAAAAAAAACUAAAUACACAAUAAUAGAAAGAAAGAGAAGAAAGAAACAAAAUAGAAAUUUUAAAUCCCAAGUUCUAUGAUAUGAUGGUGUAUGAAACCACAUGCCUUAAAUAGAAAUUUGAUUACAUUUACUAUGCAAUAGACCUAACAAAUUUAAUUAUGCGGCCCACUACUUGAUUCGUGCUCCCCCAACCAAUGCCAUGACAUGAUCUAAUGUACGAAAUAUUGAUUACAACCUGCUAAAUCAUUUAUAAAUUUAAUAUCUAAUUUAAAAAAAUUAAUUUUCCCUUCUAGAAAUGCAUUUUUAUCGUUUUUGUUUUGGUAGAAAAAUACAUUUUUAUUGUUAAUUACAUUAAAGAAUAAACCAGAUAAAAAUAAUUAUUAUCAUAUAUGAAGAAUAUGGAUCAUUGUUACUAAUAUCCGGCUCAAAAGAAAUAUCAUUUUCAAUUCUAAAUUUUAUGUUAUGUUUCUUAAACUUUUUACUUUGGCAGAGCUUAAGUAUUCUACUAAUAGUAAAUUAACCAACUAAACUUACAAAUAAUUUCGAAAUAUAGCACAAUAAGGAAUUGUAGUGUUAAGGAGAUUAUGCGUAUAAUUUUUUUUAAAACAACAAAAACAUUUCACAAAUUCUAUAGAUUAACUGCAAACACAAAAUAUCCAUUUAUUUAUACAUCACAUGAUUUAAGGCACACUAAUUAAGGCACCAUGCCAUUACAAACAUCACACUAAUUAUAAAAUAACCACUUAUAUUCACAAAGGAAGCCCCAUUAAGCCAUAACUCCUUAUUUAUUACUUUCUUUAUGACUUAUCAUAUGAAGCUUAUUAAGCCUUGACAAGAUGAGCAUCCAUGUCUCUAGUGCUUUUGGCAAAGUAGUCCAUAUAGCCAUUUGGAGGAUCAAUAUCCUCAUUGAUUUUCUCAUAUUCAAUAGUCCAUUUAACAGCAGCAUUUCCACCAGCUUUAUCAAUUACUUCAAGGAUGAGCUUAAAGACCUUAUAGUGUUCAUCAAUAUCUCCACCAAAGAGCUUGAAAGUGAUUUUCUUGUUUUGUUUAUCAAGAUCUUCAAUAAUCUCAUGACAUGUGUGUACUUUGCCAUCUGUGUUUUGAUGUCAUGGGAAAUCAAUACAAAGAAAAAUGAAACACAGAUUAAAUUUUUAUAAAUUACUAUUGAAGGUUCUUGAAAAGUGUCUCGGAUGCAUUUGUUAACUUAUAUGACCAAAUUUAACAAAUGGUUAGAAUGAAGUCCAAAGUUUCCGUUAAAGUGAUUUUCAAUGUUUCCAAUUUUUCCUGUAUCUAGAAUUGUAUUUCGAUUCACGUAAAGUAGACUCUAUUCACGUAGAUGUAAACCCUCUAUUCAACAUUUAUAAAUACAUGUUCUUAUAAGUAAACUCUAUUUACGUAUUUCUAUUUAACUUAAACCUAAGUUACCUAUGUGAUUUAAAUUUGCCGUAACUUUAAGAAUACGUGUAUAAAUUUUAGAUCGGGUGAUGAUGUAAAUGUAUAGUAGUGUGUAUAUUUUUUUUUUCCAAAGAAGCAAUAUCCAUACACAAACUGAAACAAAAAAAUAUCCCACAAAACAAUAGAAAUAUGCAAAAGAAAAAAUAUUUUUUUUGUUGGAACGUCGGCAUAAUGGCUAAGGAAUAGGUAAAGGAAACGUUAACAAAUGCAUACGAGACACUUUUCAAGAACCUUUAAUAAUAAUUUAUAAAAAUUUAUGUAAUCAAUACACUAAAAUUUGAAAUAUUUAACUUUUUGAAAAAAUACUUUCCAAAUUUAUAAUUCUUAAAUAGUGUUUUAUGACACUCGCUAACAAGAUCCAUAAACCAAAACAUCUAUGUCUAUCCUAAUUCCUAACCACUAAAACAAAGACCCUUUAACAGGAUAAGUACUGAACAAACAGUAGUGAAUUGAAUUCAUGACAGUUUCCAUAAUCUUGUUUUACAUGUGUGUAUUAACUCAUUUCACGCAUCCCCCACCCCACACCAACGCAUAAAAGUCAGGAUAACAUAUAUUUAUUGUGUUAGUUAGGGUUUGGUUAGAUGUUUCAAAAUAGUGUCCUUGUGAGUGUAGCUUAAUUAGUAUGGAUAAGGGUUCAAAGACCACCACAAAAAUAAAAAAGUUUCAAAAUACUUCAUCAAUAUCAUGAUAAAAGUACUAAUUCUGUUUUAAAAUAAGUGAAAUGAUAUUUGAACAAAUUUUUAUGACAAUUUUUUCUCUCAUACUCACAUCAUGUUUUUGAGGGGUAAUCUUGGCGCAACUGGUAAAGUUGUUGUCAUGUGACCGAAAGGUCACGGGUUCAAGUCCUGGAAACAGCCUCUUGUGUAAAAACCAGGAUAAGACUGCGUAAAAUACACCAAAUGGUGGAACCCCUUCCCGAACCCUGCAUAUGCAGGAGCUUUAGUGCACCGGGUUGCCCUUUACUCACAUCAUGUCUUUAUUUUCUCUCUUUUUUGCUUUCAUUUUUGUACCAAGAUAUAUAUUUCUUUGUAAUUUUCGGCUGUCCCAUAAAAUGGUUGUUCAAAUAAUAUUGCUUUAAAAUAAUUAUAUUUAAUUUUUUUUCUGUCUCAAAAUAAUUGUCAAUUUAUAAUAACAAUACAAUAUUUAUUAUUUCCUCCACUAUUAUACUAUUAUUUAUUUAAUUUCAUCCAACUUAACUACUUCACUAACUACAAUUAAUAAAGGUAUUCUAGUAAAAGAUACUAAUUUUAUCAUUGAAAUCAACACGAUUAACUUUUCCUUAAAAAUAAUACACAAACCUUAAACGACUACUUUGUGCACAAUUUUUUUUAUUUUAUCAGUUACUUGAAAAUAAUCAUUUCUUCUAUCUUUUUAUGUAUAAAAAACAAUAGAGAGAAAAGAAAAAAAACAAGUGAGAGGUAAUAGGAGUAUAUAAGAGCAAAAGAUAUGGUACUUAAAUAAAAAAAAAAAUUUAAAUGGGUCUCACGUGUGUACAAUAUUUAUUUAUAAUUUUUUUUAAUAAAAACAUCUAUUAUCCUUCAAAAAUAAAAACAUCUAUUAAUGAUUCGAUGAAUCCAAUAGCCCGUUAACCAAAAAGAGUUCUUAAAUAGAUCCAUUGAUUUGUAGUUUAACAUGGACAUUUAGAAAAUGAAUUAAAAAAUUGAAAAGAUCAAGCACCCGUUAAUUGUUGGACCAACUUUUAUCUAUUCUCUUCCAUAUUUUAUUCGUAGAACCGGUUAGUUGUUAAAGAGAGAAAAUCCUUAGUUGCGGACAACUAAUAGGUAUGUAUUUCUUUUGUUCUUGCAAAAGUUGUUUCUAAAUAAUUAUACAAAUAUCAUUUAGGUUCUCUAUUACAAUGCAUCAAUCACUACUAGAAAAAGCAAAAUUAGAGAGGGAAAUUUGUGACGGAAAACAUAAAAUUCCUCACAAAUUCUUUGGUCGCAAAAUUUAGUGACGGAAUUAGAGAGGGAUUUCAUGUUUUCCCUCACUAAAUUUCCCUCACUAAUUUUUUUUUUAGUAGUGAAUAUAUUCUUUUGUUUAAUUAAACUGGUAUCUUCAAAUAUAUAUAUAUAUAUAUAUAAUAAAGAAAAUAAAUUAUAUUUGUAUUAAAACCCCGAUUAUUUCAUGCAAAAAGAAUUACAAUUUUGUUUAAUUUUAAACCCCAAUCAUACAACCUUUAAAAACUUUGAACUUUUAUGAAAACUUAUAAAAAAAAAAAAAAAAAAAAAAAAUCAUUUUAAAUGUGAUUAUACCAUUCUAAAAUAACAAAUUAAAGUUUGAGAUUUUUAGAAGAAAUAAAAUUUAUGGUAAAUUCAUAUUUAGUUAUUUAAAAAAAAAAAAAAUCACCGCACAAUUUCUUUGUUUUGUUGAGGCAAUUUUUUCACAUUUUUAACCAACUAGGUAGACCUAGUGUUGUUUGUGAUCUUAGAAUAUUCUCUUCUUAAAAUCUCGCGUCAGAUUCACUCAGAUGCCAAUUCCGAUAGUUUAGUUUAUCCAAUUCAAAACAAAAAAUUAGUGAUAGAUCAAAAUAUAAAUAAAAUUAAUAACAUCUAAUAAAAUCAAAAUCAAACAAUUAGAUGGUAAAAUCAAUAUCCGAUAGUUUCUUUGCUUAAGAAGCAUAAUUACCUAUGACAUAAGUCCACUGUUUAACCGAAUCAGAGCCAUGCCAGUCAUCACCUUGAUGCAGUUUAGUUUCAUGGACUCUUUCACAAAGGUUUUGUACAUGGUGUAACUCUGAUGAGAAUAGUUUAAAGAACUUGGCAGAGGAUGCUUUAACACCAACUUCGGUGCUAAUUUUACCAGCGAGCACCAUUUUUGGGAGAAACAAGCAAGGGAUAAUAUGAGCAAGUGGAAUCAACCUUAAGCCUUAAAUAGAAAUUUGCUUACACUAUACAAUAGAAAAAACUUUUUUUGUUGAAGAAAAUAGAAACACCAAAAUAAAUAACCUAAACAUAAAAUAUUACUAUCCACUACCACUAGACAGUGGUGGAGCCAAGAAAAGAAAACUUCGUAUGGAUUAACAAAAAAUAAACUUGAAUAUAUAGACAAAAAAUUUAUGUUGUAAUCAACAGCAAACACAAAAUUCAUCAUAAAUUUUUUUUUUAUACCUUCAAAAUUUAAAAUAAAUAUUUACACGUUCGGAAUGACAUAAAAGUGUAACUGUAAUGUGUAUUGGAAGGGAGAAGAGGGUAGGGUCGACCCAACACUUGUAAUUGUAAUUGUAAUGCAUAUUGGAAGCGAAUUUUAAAGUGAGACUUUUUUAGUUAAGAAAAUGUUGAUAACAUUUUAUUUUUAUUUAAGUUUUAAUUUACAAAAAAUUUUAGAUGCAAAAUGAUAUAUCAGAUCAUCAUAAUUGAUUUCAUUUAACAUUUAUUUUUCAAUUGACAAUAAAUUCAAUUCAUUUAAUCUUUGUUUGAAGACAAUUCUUUAAAAACAAAUAAGAAAUCUUUGUCAUGUAACGAAAACAAAAAAAAUUAUCUUUGUUGAGACAUUCAAGACUUUUAUUUUUAACCAAAAAAGAGGUGCAGCAAAGGACUGCUACCUCAAAAUAUUAUAGAUAGUGAGAAAAACACAAAGGAGGGGGACAUAUAACCAAAACCUCCUAAAAAUUAACAAACCUAAAAUUGGGUAACCCAAGUCUAUCUUGACGAUAAAAGCUUUGAAUGCAGGCAGGGACCUCCAUCCAAAUAGUGAUACCCUGGAUAUUAAGACCCAUUGAAGCGAGCUUAUCAACACAUUUGUUCCCUUCCCUAUAGAUAUGAGUAAUGAUAUAGUUCAUGUGCUGGAGGAUUAAGAGACAAUUUUUCCAUCUGUUUCUAAGGUCACAAGGAAUCAAAGUGAUAUUUUUAGCUGCAAGCACCACUAAGGAGGAAUCAGUUUCAAUCCAUAGGUUGUUCCAGCCUCUAUGAUGAGCUAUCUCUAUUGCCCUCAUAGCAGCAGAGAGCUCAGCAACGAACGCAUUACCCCCUCCCAAGUUCUCUGCAAAACAAGCCAAGAAGAUCGAGUUUGAGUUUCUGAAAAUGCCCCCACAUGCAGAUGUAUUAAGAGUAGAGGAGCCGUCAUUGUUGCACUUGAUCCAGGCAUUAAUAGGAGGAGACCAUAUGACUUCUUUAAUAAUAGGAGCUUUGGGAGGUUUAAUCUUGAUGUUGAACUUUUUCAAGAUUAUGAAGUCUCUGACAGAUGAGGUAGAUCUUUUGGAAGUAUUAUUCCCAGACAAAGCUACUGACGAGGUGAUGCUAUUAACUGCUAAUCUCUAAUUUGGAUUUUUGUCAUUAAACCUGCUUCGGUUCCUACUAUACCAAAUAGUGCUGAUGAUAUUGAUGAUAGAUGCUUGAAUAACAAUCUUACAUUGAGGGGACCAACCUCUCUGACAGAGAGUCCAAAUGUCCGGGAUUGAUUGAAAAUGCAGUGGAAAAUCCAAAAUAGAAGCAAACCAACACCAUAGUUUAAAAGCGAACGUACAUUCAAAAAAUAAAUGAAAGGUAGUUUCAGUAUGCUGAAAACAAAGGGAACACAUGGAAGGGAAAUAUAAACCUCUCUCUGCAAGUUUCUCGUGAGUGGGGAUCUUAUCAUGGAGGAGCCUCCAAGCUAAGAGGGAUUUGGAUGGUGGUAUGUCAUUGCACCAAACUUGCUCAGCCCAUUGCACCUUGACUGCAUGAUGUAACGCCCACUUUCGUUUAAUUAUUUAUUUAAUCGAGUUUAGGCGAUUAUAUUAUAUUUAUAUAAUAUAUGUGUGAGUUUUGUUGAUUUAAUAUGAUUUAAGUUAAUUUGAAAUAUUUGAUGUGUUUUGGUGAUGAGAUAAGAUUAUGAGACUUGUUUUAUUGUUAAAUAAAAUAAGAUUUGAUAAGAAAAUAAAAAUAUGAAAAAUAUUUAGUUGAGGGCUGUUUUGAGAUUUUAGAGAGUUUUGGGGGAGAAAGUGAGAUAAGAUAAGAUAUUAGGAAGAGCUAUAAAAGAGAUAGACCUAGUUUAAGAAAAAAAUAUUGCACGUACGUUUGUUUUUGGAAAAGAAGGAAAACCAAGAGAAAGCUAGAGAGAGGGCUGCGAUUUCUUCAAUACAAGGUAAGGGUGAGACUAUUAAUUCAGUAUUGUUAAUUGAUAUAGUUCUGAUGAAUAAUUGACAAAGUUAGGAUUGAUUUAGAUAAGUUUUGUAAUUAGGUUAAAUUCCUAAAAUUGAUGAUCAAACGGUAAAACUGAGUUAGAUUGAUGUAGAAACCGUCCUAUAACCUUAGAAUAUGUUUAGGACGAAUUCUGGAUGUGAAAUUAAGCUUAGAACCAUGUUAGAUGAUGAAAUUCGUGUAGAAACUGCAUUCUGCCGGUAGCGACAUUCAUCGCUCGCCUCCCGAGCAAUGAUCCUCGCCACGGCGAGUGAUGAACUUCAUCGCUCGCCACGCGAGUCAAAACCCCUCGCCUCGCGAGUUACAUGUCGUAGCUCGCCACAACGAGCAACCUUACUCGCCAUAGCGAGCAUGCCCAGAGAGCAUGUCAUUUUUUGAGUUUUGAGUUGAACCUUAGAUGCCUUUGAGUACCUUUAGGUGCCUACUAUUGAUUAGUGAAUGAUUUAGAACGAGAUUGAACUUAGAACAUCCUUAGUUGUUAUUCUGGCUUGUACUCGCCAUGGCGAGCAGAUGCUCUCGCCUCGCGAGCACUUCCAGAACUGAGUGCUUUUGAGGAUUGAGAGACUUGAGCUGUUGGGUUUGGUUAGAAAAUGAACUUUAGGUGCUAACGAGACCUAUUAGAGAUAAUGACUGUGAACUGUGAAGAUUUUAUGAUUUGUUAAGGGAUAAUGAAAUGAAAUAUGGAUUUGAUUGUCUUUACUUGAUUAUUGUUAAUUGAUCAAGAAUUGUUGAGAAUGAUUUGUUAUUAAGCUUGAUGUGAUUUGAUUAUGCUGCAAAUGUUAAUUAACUAAGUUGCAUGUCUAUGUAUAAGCUGAUGAUGAACUCCAAAUUAUUGGAUGUAUAUGUGAUAGGUUGAUUAAGAUGUUUUGUUGUUAGAGUCCAUGCAUUAACAUUCAUUGAGCUUUGUCCUCACCAUGAUUAGGAGCUUUGUCCUCCGCACGUUUAGGAGCUUUGUCCUCCGCACAAUGAAAGUAUAUUAAUACUUAUGAUGACGAUUGGUACCACAUGCAUAUAAGUGUCUAAGUUGCAUUGUCGCAUUUGUCGAGUUUCAAAGAUGUUUAUGUUGUUGAUGAUGAAUAAGUUGUGAUUAUGUGAUACAUGUUUAUCAAAGAUGCAAUGUUGAUUAAGACUGAUUAUGAUGUUAAUUAUGAUUUGUAUUAUUUUGAUUAAUAAUAUUGUGUUAAGAAAUCUCACCCCUUCUGCUUGAAAAUGUUGUUCUUCGUAUGAGUAACUUGCAGGUGAUCGUGCUUAAGUGUACAGUUUGCUGUUGUGAGUGGCAUUGCCUCACUGUGUCGUCAAGGUCGCUCUGAUACGUAAUGGGAUGGGGUUUUGAUAUGCAUGCUUCAUUCUAUUACGUGAAACAUUUAUGUUAUUUUUAUAAUGUUGAUUAACUUUUGGAAUACUUUGAUGGGGCCUACGUGCCAAAAAUAUUUAUGGAUUAUGAAAUAAUUUUCCGCUGCAAUGUUUAAGUUAUUUGGUUAAAUUGUUAUUUAACUGUUAUUGGAUUAUGUUAAAUGUGAUAUCCCGUUGUUUAAGUUGUUUACUCUGAUAAUAGUUUAAGAAAUUUUCAUAUUGGGAAAACGGGGUGUUACAAUUGGUAUCAGAGCAGGUCGGUCCGUCCGGUCAAUUAGAAGACUCUUGUCGAGUCUUAGUAAUAGUUGUAUUACUUUCUUAUGUUGUUGUUUCUACUUGUUGAAGAAUAUCAGAAAUGGCUGGAAGGAACGAUGCUGCGUUAGCUGCUGCUCUACAAGCUGUUGCCCAAGCUGUGGGACAACAACCUAAUGCAAAUGCUGGUGUGACUGCUGAGACUAGGAUGUUGGAGACCUUCAUGAGAAAUCAUCCUCGAACUUUCAAAGGAAGAUAUGACCCUGAUGGAGCCCAGACGUGGCUUAAGGCGAUUGAGAGGAUAUUCCGUCUGAUGCAGUGCACUGAGGUCCAGAAGGUACGAUUUGGUACUCAUCAGCUAGCUGAUGAAGCUGAUGAUUGGUGGGUUAGUCUUCAACCUACCCUUGAGCAAGAAGGAGCUGUGGUGACUUGGGUUGUGUUCAGGAGAGAGUUCUUGAGAAGAUACUUUCCGGAAGAUGUUUGCGGGAAGAAGGAGAUCGAAUUCCUUGAGCUGAAGCAAGGAAACAUGUCUGUGACGGAGUAUGCUGCCAAGUUCGUGGAAUUGGCAAAGUUCUACCCACACUAUACUGCUGAGAAUGCUGAGUUCUCGAGAUGCAUCAAGUUCGAGAAUGGUUUGAGGCCCGACAUCAAGAGUGCGAUCGGAUAUCAACAGCUCCGAGUUUUCCCUGAUUUAGUGAAUAGCUGCAGGAUCUACGAGGAAGAUACAAAGGCUCAUUACCACCUGCGAAUGAUGUGUUGCAUUCUGCUUUGAGUAAUACCACCUGCGAAGAUAGUUGAUUUCCUGGCACUAAUAACCUGCCCCGCACAAUUAGCAUAUCUAGUGAAUAAAUUCUGCAAAGCCUGUAAACUUUCAAGAUUCUCUCUGCAGUAUAUCAUAAUAUCAUCUGCGUAAAAGCAAUGAGACGGAAUUUGCGUGUUUCUGGAUCCUGAGAUAAGCUUAAUCUUUCCAUCCUCAACAAGCUUGUUAAUACCCAUGCUCAAAACUUCUUCUGCCAAACAAAAAAGAAGAGGCGACAAUGGAUCACCUUGUUGAACUCCUCUAGAACAGUUGAAGUAACCCUGCUGCACACCAUUAAUUGAAAUAGAAAGAGAUGCUGAAGACAAGAUGGAGGCUAUCCGAUGACAGAAUGUCUGAUCAAAACCAAAACAACUGAGAACUUUUAGAAGGAAACCCCAAUCUAAAGUGUCAAAAGCUUUAGUGAUGUCGAUUUUCAAAGCUAAAUUCCCACCAUAAGCUUUCUUGUCCAAUAAAGUAACUGCUUCUGAAGCAAGACACAAGUCGUCUUUGAUAUUUCUACCUUUGAUGAACCCUUUUUGAUUGUCAGAUAUAAUAGAUGGAAGAAUAGAAGCCAACCUAUUUGCAAUGAUCUUUGAAAUAACCUUGAAUUUGAAAUUAGCCAUAGCAAUGGGCCUAUAAUAUUCCACCCUAACUGCAUUUGAAUGUUUAGGAAUGAGGAUCAAGGUAUUAGCAUUGAAGUUUGGGAGAAUCCAACCUGACUUAAAAAACUGCAAAAUAGCAUCAGUGAAAUCUUUUUGGAUAAUGUCCCAAUAGGUUUGGAAAAACAAGCCUCCAAACCCAUCUGGGCCAGGUGCCCCAUAUUUGUUAAGACUGAAAACUGUUGCUUUGAUCUCUGCUUGUGUCGGGAGCAUGGUAAGCAAUUUGUUUGUGUUGUCAUCAAUAAGCUUUGGAAUAACUUCUUCGACAAGAACCUGUUCCUGCAAAACAUGGUUAGUACAAAAUAAGUUUUUGAAAUAAUCAACAAUGUGUUCAGAUAUUUGUUGUGGGUCACUGAUCAAAUCCUCACCAACUCUCAAACUAGUAAUUUUUUUUGUCUUAUUUUUGAUUUGUGAAAGUCUGUGAAAAUAGCCAGUGUUUCUAUCACCCUCCAAAUGCCACUUAACUUUAGAUUUUUCUCUCCAAAAGCUUUCUUGUCUCUCUAAGGCUAUGUUUAGGUCAAUUUGGGCGGUUUGUUCGAGAUUUAGAAGAUUAUCUGUUGGGCCAGUAGUUUGAAUUUGGUUUUGGAUAUGGUUAAGGGUGACCUCGGCAUUAUUAACAUGCUGGUGGACAUUUUCAUAUACUUCUUUGUUCCAAACUUUUAGCUUUGUUUUCAAGAGUUUCAGCUUAUAGAUAAAAUUAAAAAUAAAUUGGCAACUUGGAAAGGUCGUAUUUUGUCAAUUAUGGGAUGGGUGCAGCUAGUUAAAUCAAUAAUUCAUGGCAUGCUUGUGUACUCUUUUCAUGUGUAUCUUUGGCCUAGAAGGUUAUUGCGGCUUUUGGACUCAUGGUUAAAAAAUUUCAUUUGGAGUGGUGAUGUUCAUACGAGGAAAGUUUGCACGGUGGCUUGGAAAGUUUUGUGUCGACCUUGGAAUGAAGGUGGGCUGGAUAUCAAGCCUACGCGCUUGAUUAAUGAAGCGCUAAUUCUUAAACUGUCUUGGGAUUUACUUGCUACGGAUUCUCAAUGGUCUAACCUCUUAAAACGGCGGUACUUCUUGAAUGGUACGCCCAACUCGCGUUACUUUAAAUCGUCGGUUUGGUCAGGUAUUAAGGAGUUUGUAGGGACGUUCUUGGUGAACUCUUUAUGGAUAGUGGGCAGCGGUGAUAGCAUCAAUUUUUGGACUGAUAAUUGGUUAGGUGCUCCGUUGGUGGAUUUGUUGAAUUUAGAUAAGGAAUUUCACGGUCAUCUCACAAGUAAACUUUCUGAAGCUAUUAUUAAUGGUGCCUUGUUAUUGCCUACGACUCUAGCAGCUUCUGGUGACAUUCAGGCCAGAAUGGAUAGCAUUGUUUUACCCUCCAGCCCGCUGCCGGAUUUGUUUGUUUGGCAGCUUUCUUCUGAUGGAUCCCUUUCUUCCAAGCACGCCUUUGCUUUUUUGUGCCCGCGUGCCACUUUGGUGCCUUGGGCGGAAGUCAUUUGGAGUGCUGCCAUUCCGCCCUCUGUUUCUUUUAUUUAUUGGCGGAUUCAUCAUGGGAAAAUGCCCACUGACGACAACAUUAGAACCCGUGGAUGCAUUGUGGUGUCUGUUUGUAGUUUGUGCUUGCAAGGAUAUGAAACAACUGAACAUCUUUUCCUUUCUUGCGCCUUUGCUUCCCGUCUUUGGGAUUGGAUUGGCUCUAGGCUGAAUCGUGUUGUUGACGCUUCUUCCUUUGAUUCCCUGCUGUCUUGUCGUCCAGCGAGUUGCUCCUCCCAAGUGGCCGACAUUUUUUUAGCCGCAAUCUUGCAUACUCUUCAUACUAUUUGGUGGGCUCGCAAUGCUAUCUGUUUCUCUGCGUUUCAGCCCUCAUUACACUUAGCUAAGGUACGUAUCCACUCUUCUAUUGCUUUGUCUGGGUCGGCCUCUAACGGUAAAUGCAUGACUUCGGAUUACUCCUUUAUGGAUUCGUUUAUGGUGCCACAUCAUCACCGUCGUACCAAGGAUAUGCUAUUGGUAUUGUGGAAGGCGCCGUCCUCCCCUUGGUUAAAGGUUAACACGGAUGGUUCAGUGUUAGGAGGGCACGCUGCUUGUGGGGGUAUUUUUCAUGAUUAUCUGGGUACUUUUAGAGGAGCUUUUUGUUGUAAUAUUGGUAUUCAGUCUGUUUUUUAUUCGGAGGUGCUGGGUUUUAUUAUCGCUAUUGAGUUUGCAGCUUGUAAAGGGUGGCGACACAUCUGGUUGGAAAGCGAUUCCACGAGCGCUUUGUUAGUUUUCUCUAACCCUUUGUUGGUUCCUAUUAUGCUUAGAAACAGAUGGCACAAUGCUCGUCGUCUCGGAGUUCAGGUUAUAGCAUCUCAUAUUUUUCGUGAAGGAAACUGUUGUGCGGACAAACUAGCCUCUUUGGGUCACUCCAGUGUUGGUCAAGUCUGGUUAGACAUCCUUCCUACUGAUUUGUACCUAUAUUUCUUUCGGGAUCGAUGCGGGCUUCCUAAUUACAGGCUACCUUAACUUGUCGGAGUCUGUUGUUUCUUCUUCUGUUUUUUCUGUUUUCUGUUUCUUUUUCUGUUUUCUGUUUGUGGAGGGUUUUGGUCUAGUCCCCCCUCCUUUUGUAAUUAUUUUUUUCUUUUUUUAAUAAAAUUUUCUUGAGUGUACCGGUAUAGGAUGGAGGUAUCUCGGGGGUGUCAACCUAGUUGGGAUGUCGAUGACGCCUCUUGAUGCUGUGUACACUCUCCUAGUUUAUCAAAAAAAAAAAAAAAAAAAAAAAAAAAAAGGACAAAGCAUGGGGCCGCCAACAAAGUUUGUGUGCCAGCAAGAAGCAAUGAAAUCUUUACAAUCACUAUGCAAAGACCACAUUUUGAGGAAUUUAAAGGAGGAAGCAUGACUGUUUUCAAGGAUGAAUGACGAAUGGAAAAACCAAUAGUCUCCUAAAAUAAUUGAAGUAAACAAAUGGAUGAAUGACGAAUGAGUUGUUGUUGUGUAAAACAUGUUUUAAGAGAAAGUCAAUGAAAACACAUACUCUCUCCGUCCCAAAUUGUAUGUCGCUUUAGGAAAAAAAAAUUGUCCUAAAUUAUAUGUCGCUUUACAAUACCAAUGCAACAUUAAUGUUACUUUUCCUAUUAUAACCUUAGCUAUUUAAUUCUUUCAAUUCUUUCAUUUAUUUUUCUCAUAUUAUUUAUUAAGGACAAUUUUGUAAAACAACUCAUAAUAUCUCUUUUCCACACAAUAUUAAUUGCAUUUCUUAAUAUGUGUGAAAUGUCUAAAACGUCAUACAAUUUGGGACGGAGGAAGUAAUACAGAAGAGUUUUUUUUUUUUUUUUUCUCUUGAAAGAAAACAAAUUAAUACUAGGCUAAAAACAAUUCAAAUAAAUAAUGUUUAUAUACUUUUUUUUAAGGAAAGAAGCUUAUAUCAUUUCAUUACUUAAAAUGUGUUCAAUACAUUCUGAUAUUUCUAUCAAAAUCUGGAAACUAGCUGAGGAUGUGGCCGCCUUAGCUAAUCUAUGGGUUGUCUCAUUUGUUUGUCUCCUCACAAACUCAACACUAGAGUUGACAUAGUAUUAUUCAAAGAUAGCUAUACAAUUAUGAAUAAUCAUCCCAAAUUCUGUAACAUCCUGAUGUGCAGAUGAAAAACUAUCCACCACUUUUUUAGCAUCAAGCUCAAAAUUGAUCAAUUUCACAUUUCCUUCUUGUCGCGGAUGUGCACAAGAUGUAUUACAAAUCCUAUGUGCAUCUUGCCAAUCAUGAAGCAUAACUUUUACUCUCUCGACAACAUACACUGGAGCAUCAAUUACCUCAUUCCACACUCUCUUGUUUCUUUGUUUCCAUAUACUCCACAACACACAACAAAAUAAAGCUGCAUCGUCCUUAGAUAAAUCCUGUGAUGCUUUGAAGAUAAUAUUCUUGCUAUCCAUAUCUUGUUGUAGCAAAAUAGAAAUAGAAGAAAAGAAAGGAAGCAUGCUCCAAACAUUUAAGCUACUUGGACAUUGAAAAAAUAAAUGAAGUGUAUCCUCAUUGCUCACCGUAUACGAGUUGGUAAGCAAUUCCUACAAGUUCGCCAAAUAAUUUUUUUUACCUUUGGAUGGAUCUUGAGCUUCCAAAUUAGAUUCCAAGAGCCUUGUACCUUGAAAUGGGAUGUAUCAAGUAAAUCUUCCACACAAAAACGGUAUGCACUACAAACAGAGUAUUCGCUAUGAUUUUCUUUUUUUCAGAUGAGUUGAUCUUCCGUCACUGAUGGGUAGAGCGGUGUCUUCAAUAUAUGUUCAACCACCUGGUGAUCAAAAAUUAACUGCAGAAAAGGUAAAUUCCAUUCCUUCACUAUAUACUAUUUAUAAUGCCUAAAAGAAGGAAAACAUAUAAAAAGUUUAUAAUGUCUGAAAAGAUAACUUUUCAAAGUAAUAUUAGGCUAAAAACAUACUAGCUGAGGCCAGGAAAAAUGACAAAAUGCUAAUUUCUCCCUCUGCAACAUCUUUUGAGGCCUCUUGAAUCUUCAAUUCUUCAUCUUCCCAAAGACUUCACAACUCUUCAGAUGUCUUGCUUUACUGAUAUGCAUGAUUUUUUCGUGAAUUACAACAAAACAUCCUAAAAUUUCUAUGUUUCAGGAAGAAUAUAAUUACAAACUUAAAUAUAGAAAAUGUUACAAAUGUCCCGAAAUCAUAAGAAAUUGUUCUAAUACUCCACUAUUCUGCUUGUAAAACCUACUGAAAUUAACUGAAAAAUAUACUAAGAAUAACGUAAGAUGACCUACCAUCAGUCUCUCAAAUGCAAGGCAAUGAGUAUUAAUUAAAUUGAUCCUUCAAUCCAUUCCAACUUAUUUCAUGAGCAUAUUCACUCUCCCAUUUUCACUUUGUGAUAAAAUUGAAAAAAAUUAUGAACUCAUUCUCGUGGGGUCUUUCAGGUUUCGCAAUAUAAAAGUAUUCACUAUUUGUCAUUGGAUAAACUCUCUAUGCACAAAAAAAAUGUAGGUAUGAGUUGCAAAAGUUUGGAAACCUUUAAUCUUGCUAGGUUAUGGAAUCAAGGCUGGAGAAUAGGUUACACUUCUAAAUCCGGUUGGAAUUAUAGUUGGAUCUCAGACAAUGUCACCUUCACACAACAACAUAAUGGUAUUUUUUUUCUUAUGGCUGACCUUAGUGUAUGACACUGUGUCCUUUCAGAUUAUAAUUAAAGCCUAGAUUGUCCAUAUUCAAUCAACAGGGUUUCGAACAUAUCAUCAACACGCCUUUGCAUGCUUCAAUGCAUGAGGACUUACUUAUUUAGAAGAAGGAAGAUAAUGGUGAGUAUUCUAUUCGUAGUGUCUAUUGAUUAUGCAUGAAUAAAUUACUUCAUACAACUCACUUUAAGGCGCAAUGAUAUUGGGAUUUACCCUAGAAACUGAAGAUGCCACCAAAAGUGAAAAUUUUAUUUGGAGAGUGUGUAGGAAUUAUCUCCUAACAUGCAUGAGCCUUAAAGAUAAAGGACUCAAUAACAUUACAUCUUGUGUUAUGUGUAGUCGGCAUAAUGAUGAUAGACUCCAUCUCUUUUCUAAAAUUCCUGGCCAGUGGCGGAGCCCUAUUCCAUGGAAUAGGGUGGGUCACGGUCCACCUGGUAAAAUUAAAAAAUUAAUAAUUAUAAGGUGUAUUUUGUAAGAUUUUAUACAAUUUUGUGUCGGUUUUAGGUUUCGGGUGAUCCAAGUUUCUGCAAAGUGAUGUAGUGGCCCAUCCGAAAAAUUUAAAUAAUUUAAUUAUAGGUCUAUUUUACGAGACAAUAAACAAUUUUUCGAAGGUUAUAUAGUUUUCCGCGAUUUCAAAAGUAUCAUACGUGAAUUUUGUGAUGCAUAUACUUGGCAUGUUAGCGGAGACUUGUAGACCUUCGAAUUUACAUGAGUUUCAAAUCACCUGCAUAUUAUUCUGUCAACUGAAAAUUUUCUCAGCUAACAGUUGUAAAGUACAAAGAAAAAGUUUCAUAAUUUAUAGUAGUCGUUAAAUAUGUAAUUAUUUAAGUAUCCACUCUAACUGUUUUUGCCAAACUCCGUUAUUUCAACUUCGUAAUUAAUGCUUAUUAUAAUUUUAAUUUGUAUUUAUAUAUUAUAAUUAAUUUUAGUGGUCCGUCCGAAUUUUUUUUCUGGCUCCGCCACUAGCAGUUGUAAUAUUUGGAGUAUGGGGGAAGCUUAUCCUUCCAUGUGUGAUUUAAUCAAUCAACGACAUGAAAGCAAGCACUCAUACUAAUUUUAACAUACUAAAGAUAUUACAAGUUGACGACGCAACUUUUUUUUAGAGAAACAUGCUUAUAGCAUUUCAUUAAUAAUUAAAGAUUCAAUAUAAUCGGGUAUAUCGAAAUAAACGGCAGGACUAGCUAAAGACGUGGCUUCUCUUGCAAGAGUAUGAGCAACCGCGUUGGCUUGUCGCCUAACAAACUCCACCCUAGAGUUAGAAAAGAAAUUACUGAACAACAAACGACAAGAAAAAAUGAUACAGCCAAAUUCGGAAUAUGCAUCAAAUGCAACAUCAAUGCAUCCUUUUCAAAACAAACUAACAAGGUUGAAAUAUGCAUGUGUUUAAGAGAUUAGUAAGGUACUUUCGUUCUGGCUAAAACAAAAUGGUUAAGCCCUGUGUGAAGUACAUAUUGAAGAAGCUCUUAGAUUAUUAUCUGCUUAAGAAUGAGUUUAUGAACUUAACUUGGAACCUGUUGAUUUUGAGCUUCAUAUAGUGGUUAAUAUCUUUUUUUCCCUAAAACGUGAAGUCACAAAGUUUGGGAUUAUUAUUCAAAAUUGUAAAGCUCUUUAUAUGAAUUAUUAUUAAAACUUUAAUGUAGAGUUUGUGAGUUGACAAACAAUUGAGGUUGCUCAUAAUUUUGUUAAGACGGUACAUUAGUAACUAGUUUUCAGAUGCUGAUUGAAAUACCAUAUAGUAUUGAAGAUGUUUUGAUUAAUGAAAAGAUAUAAAUUUUUUACCCUAAAAAGAAAAACCCAUGAAAGCCCUCUAAUAAUGUGUGUAUUGUAUAUACUUUGAUUCACAUUUAAAAUACUUUCAAAUAUUCCGAUUAAGUGGCAUGUGCAUGUCGACCAGAGAGAAUUCUAUUAUUCAAUGUUUAAGAAGUAAGUUUAAGUAGAAAAAUAUUGUACGUAUGAUUAUCAUCAAUGUGAUAUUUCAUUUAGAUCGAUUGGCUUGAAGUGUGGACAACCAUACUAUUUUGAGUAGAAAAUGCAAAAGUUAACUACAUCGCCAGAGAGGUAAAAUUAUUUUCUGUAUUUCUUGUCAUUUAAUAAGGGGUGUUAUUGUGUUCUUGUAACUUUAAAUGAUUAUAUGAAUUUUAAUCAAUUACUUUGUUUUUUUUUUCUGUUAAUAUUAUUGUUAAUGUUUUUUAUGCGUUCAUUGAAGUUCAUAAAUCAGUUUAGGUCAUGUCGAUUAUUAACCAUAACUUUUUGGCUUGACCUAAUUUACAUGUUCAAUUAUCAGUUAGAUAUAGACAUAAAGAAACUUCUAUGGUACACCUCAUAAAUUGGGAUGUAACAAUACUCUUGCUUAAUAAAUUGAUAAAUUAACAAUUAUUUUAGGAAGUAAAGAGUUAUUUGUCAAGGUUUAUAUUUUAGAAAACAUAAUUUCAUAAGAAAAAAACAUAAGUUCAUUGUUUAUAAUAAUCAUAUUAAUUUUUAACAUUUUCUCAUAAAAAAUACUCAAUAUUCUUCGUUAUGAGUAAUAAAAAUUAAAAGAAUUAAAUUUCAUUUCGUUGAUGCUUUUGGUAAAUAAGAUUUAAUUUUUAUAAUUGUCGAUGAAAGAAAAUAAUUAUUUUUCUUAAAAAAACAACUCAUUUAAAAAUUAAUUUAAUUAUUUGGUGUACCCGUACACUCAAAUAUUUGAGCAUACCAUAGAAUUUUCCUAGACAUAAACUACUAAUAAUUAUUACUUACUUUGGCAUUCAUAAACCUUCAUUAGUUAGGGCUCACCUAAGACAUUAGGGAGCAAUAAACAUUGAAGAGAUUUAAAGAACAAUACAUUGACCUAACUAUUUUGUUCAAAGGUAUUGAAAUCAAGUAAUCAAUAUCAUUGUCAGGGGCGGUGAUAAUCAGUGGCGGAUCUUCCUUGGGACCCAUGGUACCGCAAUGUUUCUAUAUAUAUUAUAUCAGGCAUAUUUUAGGUAGCGCAGUGGAAAAGUAGUUGCUUUUUCUCCGAGAUGUCGCGAGUUCGAUUCUUCCUUCUUCUCCCUUUUUUAUAUUUCUGUAUAUAUUUACUUUUUUGUCAAAAAAAGUCCAUGGGGGGAUUCAAACACACGCCUCUACACCAUACUCAUGUAAAUUAACCAUUACAGCAGUUAACAUUUAUGAUAAAUCAUUCAAACAGCUUAAUAUAUAUUUCAUACAAUUUUUGUACCCCCGAGAAAAUAACUCAAGAUCUGCCACUUUAUUUACUUUUUUGUCAAAAAAUGUCCAUGGAGGGUUUCAAACACACGCCUCUACGCCAUACUCAUGUAAAUUAACCAUUACAGCAGUUAACAUUUAUGAUAAAUCUUUCAAACUGCUUAAUAUAUAUUUCAUACAAUUUUUGUACCCCCGAGAAAAUAACUCAAGAUCUGCCACUGUCGAUAAAUUCUUAAAACAACUUAAUAUGACGAUCCUUUUUUAUUUUUAUAUAUGACUAUUUAUCUAUAUAUAUAUAUAUAUAUAUAUAUAUAUAUAUAUAUAUAUAUAUUUUGUGAAGGAAUGAAUUUAUAUAUAUUAUGUCACAUGUGAAUUUGCGAUAAAUUUUUCGCCCAGGCUCUAUGUAAUUCCUGGCUCCGCCACUGAUCAUUAUAUUCAUAGUUUGUAGUCACUUAGAUAAUUCGGGGAAGGAAAUAUGACAUAUAGCCUAGUUGCUUUCUCACUCUCUUAACGAAUUAAAACCAAUCACAUUGUAAGGGGACCCCCUAUUUACCGUGAUUUUUAGUAAACAACCGCUGGUUUUAAAAUUAGUUACUUGCAAGAUCAACCAGUAAAUCUUAGGACAUAUUGUCUUUGUUAUUUUCCAAAAUAUGAUGAAUGUUCUUGAUGUUCUUAUUUAAAUGAUGAAAAUAACCGUCGAAUUUAAGAAAGUUAAAUCCGUCGAAGUUCUUCCCGAUUGAAAUGAAUAGAAAAUACUUAAUUUAAACAAGUAAAUUGCAAAGGAAUUUAAGAAGACAAACUUAAAUUGCAUUGAUUGAAAGUAAAUUGGGACAUAGAUUCAUACAUUGUGACUGAUAACUCGUUUCUCUCUAGAUGUGGAUAGUUUAAGUGUGAAUUUUCUAUAUGAAUGUAUUGUGACCCUUUUUUUCUAUGAAAAAUUGUUAUUUAUACUAAAAAACUACCUGCACAUAGACAUUUGAAACUAUAACUGCCCCUAACGGCUUAGAAACGGCUCUUCAAUUUGAAUUUCAAAAGCAUGCCUUAAUGAUGCCAGUUAUUUGAUCUUAUCUGAAACCAAUCCUUUUCGAUGCCUUCAAUCUUGUCUAACUGUAAUCUUCCUAAUGCCAUAUUUUGCAAAGUACACACCUUCGACAAAAAUAUCAAACAUGUGAAACUCGAGAAUCUUUGUGGAAAUGAAGUCUUUUAUAAACAUUACAACUUUUCGAACCCACUAGUACAUUUGCUAGUAUUUUGUCAUCACCUUAUAGAGAAUAAAACUUGAGUCUUUUGAUUGUUAAAACAAUGUAUUGGGGCUUGCCAAAACAUCUGUAGGACAUGCAUCACGUGUUGUGCUUCGUCAAUUCAAGCCUCAUGAAAAAAAGAUAAGAAAUUUGAGGACAAUAUGAGAUAAUCUCUGCAUACAACUAACAAAGAGAUAUAAGGAUAUGGGUCUCUUUGUUGAAUUUAUACUAUAUAUAUAUAUAUAUAUAUAUAUAUAUAUAUAUAUAUAUAUAUAUAAAGAAAACAAUAUUUUUCAGCUCUUUUGAACUGAAUUGUUGUUUUUAAAAAUGCCUUUAAUUUUAAAUACAAAUAACACAUGCAACAAAUAGAUAAGAAUAAAUUUAAAUAUUAAAAUAAAGUAUAACAAACACAAAUGUCCUAAUUUUUUUUUUCUUUAUCAUUUAAAAAGUAUAACAAAUUAGAUGAAUAUAUAUAUACUUAUUUUUACAUUAUCCAAAUUAUACCCUUAAACAAUAACUUUUUCUAUGAUAAAGAUCGUUGUUGGUGUCAUUAAAAAAAAUUAAGAAUUUGAAUUAUAUUUUUUGGUUUUAUUGUUAGUUUCAUUUAAAUAGAUAAUCAUUCUUUCAAAAAAAAAAUUGAAAUAGAUAAUUAUGGUUAGUUUAAUUUGUUAUAAUUUAAAAGCAAAAAAUAUUUAAAUUUUUACUUUUAAUCAAAUUAAAAUUUCAUAAAAAAAUACAGUUCAUAAUUUUCAAAUUUAAGUACAAUAAAAACUUGCUCGUCCGUUCGGUAGUAAAUAAUAAUAAUCAUGUACACGAUUUUGUUAUUUAUAUAAGAGGAUAUAUAUAUAUAUAUAUAUAUAUAUAUAUAUAUAUAUAUAUAUAUAUAUAUAUAUAUAUAUAUAUAAUUGCAUUAGGUUCUUCUUUUCUUUAAUUUUUCAUGAACAAAUAAUUGCAUUANAUUUGUUUGUCUGCAAGUAUACAUAAAGGACAAUUAAGCGUGGUAAAGGGAACCCAACAACUCUGCGUACCUAUGACAAAAUUAUUAAACAGACAAAGAUACCAUUAUUCACACCCAAUAUAUCCCAAUAUCUGGACGAAUAUUUUUUUAUACACAACUAUCUCGUCUUGCUUGAGAGCCCAAAACUACUUACAAUUUAGACCAAUCUAUUGCUAAUUUUUUUAUGGAAAAUGCUAGAUAUCAAGAAUGAUUUUAUAAGAAAAAUUCAAGAAUGACAUGGCACAAUAAUCACCUUUAGAUUUCAGUCUCAUUUAUUAAUCUUUCAUAAAAAAAAGAUACAUAACACCCACCACCCCAUGAUUUCCGGCCAGGCUGAGAUUUUAUUGGUUAACAUUAAUUUCAGGACUAUUUCUUGAUAAAAUCUAAGGGUGAUUAUUCUGCCAUGUCAUUCUUGAAAUUUUCUUGAAAAAAUCUUUCUUGAUAUAUAGCAUUGCUCUUUUUUUUAUAGACAAUAGUUUUUUUUUUGAAUAAUAUAGACAAUAGUUUAUUUAAAGGUAAACUAUACAAUUAUUUCUUUUAACUUAUGUGUGGUUUCAAUUUGUUAUCCAACUAUUUUUAUUUCUUUUUAAUUUCCUAAAUAUAUAUGAUUUACCAGUUAAUCUUUGCAACUAAUGUUAACCUCAAUUAUCUAAAGUGGAUGAACAUUAUAGAAUCAAAGUAAAAUCCCAAAAUAAUUUAAGAGACUAAAGUAUGUAAUUUAGCACAACUCUUGUCAAAGGGAAACGAAUGAUGUUAUGAAGGCAGCUCUUAUGAAAUUGAAGAAUUUUACAUUUUUAUCAAUGUGAAAUUACAUGAUUGUCCAUCAUUACUUUUUAUUUAGUAAGUCUCACCUUUAAAAAAAAAAAUCAGUUCAUAAUAAAACAAAGGGUUAAAUAUAUUUUUAGUCCCUAUAAAAUUGAGACCUUCAAAGUUUAGUCCUUACAUAAUUUUAAUAGUUCUUUUAGUCUCUACAAAAAAAUUAUGCACUCAGUAUUAGUCUCUGCUCAAUUCAAAUUUGUUUAAUUUAUACUUAAACUCUUAAGUUUUUCAACAAUUUUUUGUAUACAUGUUAAAAACAUUACUAGAAGUACAUCAGCAAAAAAUAUCGCAAAUUUUGAUUUCUACGUCCAGAUUUUAUUACUUUUAUCUUUAACUUUUGUCGUUUUAAAAAAUUCAUAUUUAAUUCGUUUCAUGUUAAAAAAUUCUAAAUUUUAGUAAAUGAACUUUUUAUAGUGUUCUAAACAUGUCCCAAAAAAUCGUUUGGAAAUUUAAGAGUUUAAGGAUAAUUAAACAAACUUUGUUUUAGUAGGGACUAAAAAUAGAAAUAAUUUUUUUUUUUGUAAGGACUAAAAAUACUAUUAAAAUUAAGUAAGGACUAAACUUAAAAGUUUUCAAUUUUAUAGGGACCAAAAACAUAUUUAACUCUUCUACUUAUACUUAUUGUUCUUAAAAUACCUUCUACUUAAUGUUUUAGUAGCAAGAUGAAGAUUUGGCAAACUAAACCUAAAAUAAACGAGAACAUUAUACACAAAUUUUAACUUCAAACCACACAAAUAUUCAUUUAUUUGCAUCACACAUAAUAUAAGAUACACUCCUCAAGACAUCACCGACACAUUUAUUCGAUACAAACAAAGGAUCAAGGGAAGCAAAUAUGCAUGUUUAUGCUACAUGCCAUUAUACAAACAUCAAACUAGCUUUUAUUUUAUUUAUAAACUCACUCUAGCCUAUUAUAAAGAUGAACACUUCAUUAUUUAUAUGCUCACAUUUAUCCAUAAAAGUCAACCCAUUGAUUGAACUAUAACUCCAUAUUUAAAUAAUGGCUUAUAGAGCUACAUUUUCCCCCUUGACAAGAUGACCAUCAAUAUCUCUAGUGCAUUUGCUAAGGUAGUCCAUCCAGCCAUUGGGAGUAUCAAUAUCCUCAUUUUUCUUCUCAUAACCAAUAGUCCAUCUAACAGCAGAACUUCCAUUAUCCUUGAUAAUCACUUCUAAGAUAACGUUAAAGACCUUAUAGUUUUCAAUAUCUCCACCAAACAGCUUGAAAGUGAUUUUUUUGUUCUCCUCAUCAACUUCUUCAACCUGCUCAUUGCAUGUGUGUACCUCGCCAUCUGUUGUUAUGUCAGAGGCAAUUAUAAUACCAAAAUAUAUAGCAAUAAAAUACGCUUUUUUUCUUCUAAAGAAAAAUACAAUACGUUUUUUUAAUAGGAAUAUGAAAAAGAUUAGUUUCACCCCAAAGAUAAAAAUAUUUUGAUAAGGAUACAUUAUUUCUAAAAAUAAAAUAUUUUAUUGUUUUUGUUAUAUGGAUACGUAUUUUUGUUCUUGAGAUGUUAGGUUACCGAUGAUAAGAGUGUGACUUUUUAACCUCAAAGAACAAAAUUAAAAGGGGAAUGCUAACGAGUGUCUUUGAUGCAUUGGUUAAAGUUUGGUAAAAUUACACAAUUGGUCUUUUAACUUAAUUUUAAGUAUCAAUUUCGUCCUUUAUCUUCUUUUUUUUGUCACGAUUUAAUCCUUUAUGAUAUAAAAUGACAACAUGGUUAUCCUUUUUUAUGAAAAAAAUAAUCAAAAACUCCAAAAAAAAUCAUCAAAACACAUAGACAAACGCAAAUCUUCAUCAUACAAGCCUAUAAAAUCAAAUUUCAUUGAAAAAAUCUCAUAAGAAAUGAUAAAAUAUUGUCAUUUUAUAACAUAAAGACUAAAUCGUGACAAAAAAUAAAUAAAGGACGAAAGUGUUACCUAAAAUUAAGUUAAGGGACUAAUUGUGUAAUUUUGUUGUUAAAGUUCUCAAAUAGGUAAGUUUGCAUUAAAAAGUAGUGUAAUUAUUAGGCUAAAGUGCACUUUCCCCUCCAAAGUUUCAAAAAGUUGUGAUUUUGGUCCUAUGUACAAAAACUACAAUUUUGGUCCCUAACAUUUAACCUCUUUAUAUCUUUGGUCCUUUUGGCCAAUUUUGAUCGGUCAAUGCCUACAUGGCACGUCACGUGUGUAAUUAUUGAAUUAAAGACAAAAGUAAAGUCUUGUAUUUUCAAGACAAGGAUUCUAUUAAAAAGUUUCUUGAUCAAUAUUCUGAAGGCACUCGUUAGCAAGACCCAAAUUAAAAUCUGAUAUAAAAUAGUUUGUAAAAUGAUUAUUAGUGUCAUCGCUACUAAUAAUAAUUUUGCUUUUUUCUUCUAGUGACGCUAAAAGUUUGACCUUUAAAAUUUCAAGGAAUUACAUUGGCACGCUAAUGAAACAUUAAAAAAAUGUUUUACGAGUAAAUUACUACCAUUAUUGUUGUAAAGAUACGCAUAAAAAAAAUAUUUUUAUAAAAAAAUAAAAAAUAGUGUAAUUGUAUUUGUAAUUUAAUCAUGUGUUUAACCACACUUCCAUCAUCAUGCCGCUUUGUAGAUUUACUUUUUUUGUUUAUCUCCUCCACUAUUUUAAUGUGGCCUUUAAAUUUUAUUUUUUUUUACAUAAUAUUUAUAUAAAAUCAAUUUUGUAGAGAUCAAAAUUUAAUUUCAUGAUCAAGAGUAAUUGAGGUCUUUUUGGUAAUCAGUUAAGCUAUGCAAAUGUCUUAAAUUUAUCUGUUAUAUAAUAUACUUAUAACCAAAUUAAUUUUUUAGAGAUUUUUUUUUUUUUCAUCCAAAAUUUUGAGGCCUAUAACCCUUGCUUGGGUUGCUUGGCCCUUAGACCGGCCCUGUUCUGCAGGUAACCGGUAUCCUGCAGAUUCUGCUAAGGAUUUAGGUUCUCAGAUAAUACCUUCAUCUUUAAUUGUUUCCUUGGGAUCUUAGGAUCCGCAAGAAAGGUAUAUCCGCAGAAAAUGUGAAAAUAUCCCGCAUAAAACAUUCGGUCAGUUUUCAAGGAGUUUCCUUCUGCCCGUUAGCACUUUGCUGCAAACAUACUCGCAGGUAGUUCUGCAACAAACAGCACAGCAAAAUCCGCAGGAAACGAUAACGAUAACGAGAACAACAACAAAACUCAUGGGAAAAUCCUAGGUACGUACUUGGCUGCGGAACGUAUAUUAAUGGUUUAAAUUUGGGAAUUUAUAACGUGCUCCUCUCGCUAGGUUUCAAGUUCAAAUUAUCUAGAUACUAAUUAUUCUUGUAUUGAAUAGUCCAUACAAAAUUUUGUUCAGAUUUCAAUUAGCAUCUUUUGCUUGUGAACAAUGAAUUAUUUUUUUUUAGUAGGUAAAUUAUUGCCUUUGUAGGUUCUUUAGGUUCAAAUAGUUGUCUUCAAAAGUAUAACUUUUCCAACCAAGUUGUUUGGGCUCCAGUGGCAAUGAGCUCCUUCCAAGGAUGUACUCGGGGAAUACUGGUUUGAUUCCCAGGGGAACAACACUUGGCUAGUGCACAUUCCUCUACGCACAAGUUUAAUUAAUCGCCCACCUUGGUGGGUCGGAAACCGGUGCGAAAGAAAAAAAAAGUAUAACUUUUCCUUUUGUCAAAAAAAAAAAGUAUAACUUUUCGUUGACAAAUCAAAUCAGAAAUCUUUUGUGAUCAUUUAAAAAAAAGUAAACAUAAAACUUUUUCAAAUCAAAUAAGAUGAUGAUUUAGUUAUCAGAUCAAUUGAAUUGGAAACAUAGUUACCUAUGACAAUAGUCCAGUGUUUAACCGAAUCAUUGUGAUGCCAAUCUUCACCUUCAUGAAGCUUGGCAUGAUGAAUUCUUUCACAAACUUUUUGCACUUCGUGGAGUUCUGAUGCAAAUAGUUUGAAGAACUUCUCCCCUGGUGCUUUAAUCCCAAGUUCAGUGAUAAGUUUACCAACGAGCACCAUUUUUGGAAAGAAAAAAAAAACUAAAUACACAAUAAUAGAAAGAAAGAGAAGAAAGAAACAAAAUAAGGGAUGUUUUAUGAUAUGAUGGUUUAUGAAACCACAUGCCUUAAAUAGAAAUUUGAUUACACUGUGCAAAUUAAAUUAUGCGGUCCACUACUUGAUCCGUGCUCCCCCAACCCAUUAAUUAUUUAUUUUUUAGGAAAAGAUGCUCGUAGCAUUUGAUUAAUAAUAAGUUGUUUAAUAUAACGAGGUAUAUGAUAACAGAUACUGGGACUAGCUAGUAAUGGUCAGUCUUCGUUAGGAUAUGAGCUACCUCAUUGGAAUUUAACCUAUUAAACUUGACCUUGGAGUUUUUAAAAUGAGAAAAAUACAAUCUUCGGCAAGCAAAGAGGAUACACCCAGUCUCCGUAACAUUAAUCUCAUCCUAAUGAAAGGCAUUUACAAUAACUUUUGAAUAUGAACUGAAGUCGACAUUAUCAAAAGCCAAAUUGCUCAUCCACUCCAAUGCAUAGAAUAAAGCCAAUGUUUCCCCUACGGGGACUGAACACUUGGCAAAAUAUGAAUAAAUUUAGCAAGCACAAAAGUACCUUCCUCGCCGCGAAUGCAAAUACCUAUUCCUUUUCAAUUCAACUGGUUGGAGAAAGAUGCAUCAAUGUUGCAUUUAACACGACCAUGAGCUGGUGGCUGCCAUCUUAACAUGGUUACAUCGGAACUUCUCACCUAAGUGUUCUCAUUUCUGAAGCUUGUCACUUGCAUGGCUUGGUGUCGCUGUUAAAUUAAUAUUGUCACUAUUUUGUUGUGUUGUGUGUGGCCCCUUCUGAGUUGCAGUAACCGCAUUCGCCAUUUUCCAAUCCUCUACCAUACAUACAACCCUGUCCAUCACCUGUGCAGUCGUUUUCGUGAUGUCCUGCCACAACUUGAGGUCUAGUGUUUCGACAUGCUCCAAAUGCUUAUUGCAAAGCGCGAGCAUGAUCAUCUGCCAUAUCAUCAAGCAACUUAAAAAUACAAUCAGUUGUUGAACCUAUCUGAAUAAACAUCCAGUUCACCAUAUCCCAAAGUCCGCUACAAUUCCAAAUUAGAAUAGCAUAAUAGUAGUUGAAAAAAAUAUGAUUAAUGUUAAAAGUGACUCAAAAUUGAAGUUUGAGAAUCUACCAAAAUAGUAGCACAAUUUGGAAAAUCGUAGCACGUUUUUUGGACUAGAUUUGGCACUUCCCAUUCUGGAAAAAUCGUAGUACGUUCUGGCAAAAUUGCAGUACGAUUUUACGCUGAUGCAGAAAAAUAGAAACAUAUUUUCAGCUUCAGAUUUGUUCCAAAUUUUGAGGGAUACUUUUACUAUAAAUAUAGACCUUGUAUCAGAUGCAAAACAUGUAGAGAGUAGAAAAACAAGGUUUAGAAAUGAACAACAAACUAAGGUUUAUAGAGAUUUCUCUAGGCAACAAACACUAUGGUUGGGAUUGUUUUGAUUCACCUUGAACGAAACACUAUUAGGAUUGAAUCUCUUGAUCACGGGAAGAGAUUGAGACUUUGGGUAGAAUUAGGUUUGAAGACUAAUUCUUGUAACCUUUGAUAUCUCUUUUGUAAAAUCAUUAUAGUGGAAUGGAGGGCUGCUCUCUCCCCCAGACUAGGUCAGUAUUGGACCAAACUGGGAAAACUAAUUUUCAUGUGUUCUCUCUUUAUUUCUCUCAUUUUUUCUACUCUUGCUUGUGUUUAUAAUUGUCACCUACAUUGUUUUGGUUGCUUAAUUAAUUUUUUCCACACAUCAAGUAUUUUAUUGGUGUGAUUUUUUAACGAAUUCACAACAUAUGGCGCCCACCGUAGAGCAAGGGGGAUAUUGACAAGUGGGAUAUUGAGAGGUUAACUGGAAGUAACAAUUUUGGGUUAUGGAAGGUCAAGAUGGAAGCGGUUUCGAUACAACAAAAGUGUGCACAAGCUUUGAAGGAUGAAGGUGUGUUACCGAUCACCAUGUCACAAGAGGAGAAGACUGAGAUGGUGGGCAAGCCCAAGAAUGCCAUUGUCUUUUGCCUCGAGGAUAAAGUUUUAAGUCAUUUAGCGAAGGAACCAAUCGCGGAAUCGAUGUGGUCAAAGUUGGAGUCUUUGUACCGCGGAAUCGAUGUGGUCAAAGUUGGAGUCUUUGUAUAUGACAAUCUCUUUGGCUCAUCGGAAAUUCCUAAAGCAACAACUCUACUCAUUGAAGAUGUUGGAGUCAAAGUUCAUCAUGGAGUAACUUACGAAGUUCAAUACAAUCCUUGAUGACUUGGAGAAUAUUGAGGUGCAUCUUAAGGAUGAAGAUAAAAUUAUACUCUUCUUGUGUGCUCUACCGAGAUCAUUUGAAUCUUUCAAGGAUAUCAUGCUUUAUGGCUAAAAAGGCACUGUCACCUUGGAAGAAGUUCAAGCUGCUUUGAGAACCAAGGAGCAAACCAAGUCCAAGGACUUGAGAGCUGAUGAAAACGGUGAAGGCAUAUCUGUUUCAAGAGGGAAUGGUGGAGGUAUAGGUAACCAAGGAAAGAGUGGUAACAAGUCAAAGUUUAAUUGCUUUAAUUAUCACAAGAUGGGUCACUUCAAGAUGGAUUGUCCAUAGAACAAUGGUAACUCCGCACAAAUUGUCUCCGAGGGUGAUGAGAACACGGGUGCUUUGAUGGUGUCUCGUUGGGGUGAUAAAGAAAGUGAUGUUUCUCACCUUGGGAAUUAUGCCUUGUAGAGCGGUGGUCGUCUGGAGAGACAUUAAACAUUCAACAUCACCCUGGAGAGGCGGUCGAAAGAAUAGUCAUGGUCAGUCUGAAGAGGCGGAGGUAAGAAUACUCAUGAUCAACCUUUGAGGUGGAGUUGCAAGGUGAAAGACAUAGUGUGUGUGAGUGUGUGUGUGUGUGUGUGUGCGCGCGCAUUUGCUAGUUGAGGUAGAGAAAGCUCACCUUGAGGUGGAGUUGAUGACAUUGGACAAAGUAUGACUAUGGAGACCUUGGGUGCUAGGCUCUAGUUGUUAGCAAGAGAAUUCUUCAAAAAGACGGAAGGCAUUUCGGAUUUUGAAGAAUGUAUGACAUGACUUGUGUGAUUAUCUAAAAGACCAAGGAUGAUUGGAUACAAGGUGAUCUUCAAGGAAGUGUGAGACUUUAGUGGUUGAAGAGGGUUUGGUGUAGACUUGUGGAACUACCUAAAAUUCCUAGUGUAGUUGGAUGCAAGGAUCUUCAAGAAGGCGGAAGGCAUUCCGAUGGUUGAAGAGGCAAGGAUGGAAACUUGUGGAGAUACUUGGUGUAGUUGGAAGCAAGGGAAGAUGAAGGGUGGAGAGAGUAGCAAGGUGAUGAUUGUUAAAUUGACAUCAUCACUAAUUUAGAGUCAAGGUGGAGAAUAGUUGAAAGUGACUCAAAAUUGAUGUUUGGGAAUCUGCCAAAAUCACAACACGAUUUUUGGACCAAAUUUGGCACUUCCUAUUCUGACUGUGCAUAUCUGAUUAUGUGGCGUUUCUGCCUAUUUUUUUAGUGAGAAGAAAUGCAACAAGGAAUGAGGAAAUGAAGAAGUAAACUUCUACCUAAAUUGCAUCACUGGCUAUGAGACCUGCACCACGAGAAAAAAUUUGGAAAUCAAAGUGAUCCCUUUGGCUAAAAGGGAUGCUCAAUACCUACCUCACAUCGCGAGGAUAAGGCUCGGAUCCUACACUAAUUUUCUUGAGGGAAAUGGAUGCCUAUAAAUACUUAACCCUAUGUUAGUAGGAAAAACACCUUUUGACGAACAUAACAAGGUAGAGCGACCAGAACCCUUUGGAAGCCAAGGAAAAGUGAUUCGGUGAUCCUUUUCUUAUGUUUUAUUGUUCAUAUAUAAUUAUAUGUAUUUAGAAGUCAUGAGUUUCUAAAUCCUCUAUAGGUUAGGUCGUAAAAGAGGAAUUUCCCUGUAAUUAUUUAUUCUUGUAACUUUAAAUGAUUAUAUGAAUUUUACUCAAUUACUUUACUAUUUUAUUCGGUUAAUAUUAUUGUUAAUGUUUUUAAUGUGUUCAUUGAUGUUCAUAAAUCAGUUUAGGCCAUGAUGAUUAUUCCAUAACUUUGUGUCUUGACCUAAUGCAACCAUUCAAUUAUCAGAUAGGUACAUACAUAAAACAAUAAUAAUCACUACUUACUUUGUCAUUCAUAAAUCUUCAUUAGUUAGGGCUCACCUAAGACAAUAGGGAACAAUAAACAUUGAAGAGACUAAGGCAUUGACCUAACUAUUUUGUUCAAAGGUAUUAAAAUCGAGUAAUCAAUAGCAUUAUAUUCAUAGUUUGUAAUUAAAACUAAUCACAUUGCAUGGUGCGAUUUUGUUAUUUAUAUAAGAGCAUAUCAUUAUAUGUAUACACUAGAUUUGAAUGUAUAUAUAUAUAUAUAUAUAUGUAAAUAAUUAAUGCAUUAGGUUCUUCUUUUCUUUAAUUUUUUAUGAACAAAUAAUUGCAUUAGAUUUGUUUGUCUGCAAAUAUACAUAGAGGACAAAUAAGUGUGGUAAAGGGAACCCAACAACUCUGCGUACCCAUGACAAAAUUAUUAAACAGACAAAGAUACCAUUAUUCACACCCAACAUAUCCCAAUAUCUGGACCAAUAUUUUUUUAUACACAACUAUCUCGUCUUGCUUAAGAGCUCAAAACUACUUACAAUUUAGACCAAUCUAUUGCUAAUUUUUGUAACUAAAUUCUAUUAAUGGACAUUUCGUCUCAAAUUACCUUUAUAAUCUAUUUAAAGGUAAACUAUACAAUUAUUUCUUUUAACUUAUGUGUGGUUUCAAUUUGGUAUCCAACUAUUUUUUAUUUCUUUUUAAUUUCCUAACUAUAUAUGAUUUAGCAUGUUAAUCUUUUCAACUAAUUUUUAACCUGAAUUAUCUAAAGUGGAUGAACAUUAUAGCAUCAAAGUGAAAACCCAAAAUAAUUUAAGAGACCAAGUAUCUAAUUUAGCACAGCUCUUGUCAAAGGGAAAGAAUUGCAUUUUUAUCAAUGUGAAAUUACAUGUUUAUCCUUCAUUUAUUUUUUAUUUUGUCAGUGACUCCUCUGUGCUGUUUAGCAUAAGUAAUCAGCUCAUAAUAAUGUAACUAAACUACUACCUCCGUCCCUAAUUAUAGGGCUCUUUUGAAAAAAUAACGGGAAUUAAGAUAGUGGAUAUUUGUAUUAAAUAUGUUUGUAAUUACUAUUGCUGAUUGAAGAAAAAUAUGUAUAAUAAAUAGGGGCAUGUAUAUAAAGAAAUAAUUAAUAUAGUUGGAAAUAGUAAAAGAGUCUUAUAAAAAAGGACAAAUUAUAGUUUUUCCAAAAGAGUGUUAUAAUUAGAAACGAAGGUAGUACAUGUUUUAGCAGCACGAUCAAGAUUUGGCAAACUAAACCUUAAAUAAAUAGAACAUUAUACACAAAUUUUAACUUCAAAGCACACAAAUAUCCAUUUAUUUGCAUUACACAUAAUAUAAGAACACUCCUUAAAACAUCACCGACACAUUUAUUCGAUACAAACGAAGGUUCAAGGGAAACAAAUAUGCAUGCUUAUGCUACAUGCCAUUAUACAAACAUCACACUAGCUUUUAUUUUAUUUAUAUGCUCACAUUUAUCCAUAAAAGCCAACCCAUUGAACUAUAACUCCAUAUUCAAAUAGUGGCUUAUAGAACUACAUUUUCUCCCUUGACAAGAUGACCAUCAAUAUCUCUAGUGCUUUUGCUAAGGUAGUCCAUCCAACCAUUUGGAGUAUCAACAUUCUCAUUGUUCUUCUCAUAAUCAAUAGUCCAUCUAAGAGCAGAAGUUCCAUUAUCCUUGAUAAUCACUUCUAAGAUGAGCUUAAAGACCUUAUAGUUUUCAAUAUCUCCACCAAAAAGCUUGAAAGUGAUUUUUUUGUUCUGCUCAUCAACUUCUUCAACCUGCUCAUUGCAUGUGUGUACCUCACCAUCUGUUUGUUUUGUCAGAGGCAAUUAAUAUCAAUAACAAUCAAAUACAUUUUUUCCACUAAAAAAUAAUUAAAUACGUUUUAUAAAAGGAAUAUAAAAAAGAAUAGUUUCACCAAAAAAAAUUACUCCCUCAUUAACUUUUUAUAAGAGUAUUUUAUAUAAACCAGGUAUUAGGAAAAGUUGUUGGAAUAACAAAGUGACUUCUUUCUCAAAAAAAAUAAAAGAAAGUGACUUCAAAUAUGUGUGACCAUUACUCGGUUACACUUAAUUAAAUAUAUAUUUAAUGUUAACUUUUCAUAAAGCAAGACAAAUGGUUUUUUCUAGAUUACCCUCUCAUAUUUAGAGGGUAUUUUACUCUCUCAUGAUAUCAACCAAUCAAAAUGUAAUAUGACAACAUUAAAUGUCAUAAAUGAGUCAACUUUUUUCUAAAAAAAGAAUCAAUUAUAAUCAUAUGGUAACUUUUAAUACUUUUAAUUUUUAUUUAAUUAUAGAUAUGAUUACAUUAGAGAUCCUUUAUCUUAUUUAUUUGUUACACUUGGGUCAUUUAUCUUUAUUUUUUUUCCGCUUAGGUCUUUUAUCUCUUAUAAAAGCACAUAUACAUCAUUUUUCUCAUUUUUUUUNNNNNNNNNNNNNNNNNNNNNNNNNNNNNNNNNNNNNNNNNNNNNNNNNNNNNNNNNNNNNNNNNNNNNNNNNNNNNNNNNNNNNNNNNNNNNNNNNNNNNNNNNNNNNNNNNNNNNNNNNNNNNNNNNNNNNNNNNNNNNNNNNNNNNNNNNNNNNNNNNNNNNNNNNNNNNNNNNNNNNNNNNNNNNNNNNNNNNNNNNNNNNNNNNNNNNNNNNNNNNNNNNNNNNNNNNNNNNNNNNNNNNNNNNNNNNNNNNNNNNNNNNNNNNNNNNNNNNNNNNNNNNNNNNNNNNNNNNNNNNNNNNNNNNNNNNNNNNNNNNNNNNNNNNNNNNNNNNNNNNNNNNNNNNNNNNNNNNNNNNNNNNNNNNNNNNNNNNNNNNNNNNNNNNNNNNNNNNNNNNNNNNNNNNNNNNNNNNNNNNNNNNNNNNNNNNNNNNNNNNNNNNNNNNNNNNNNNNNNNNNNNNNNNNNNNNNNNNNNNNNNNNNNNNNNNNNNNNNNNNNNNNNNNNNNNNNNNNNNNNNNNNNNNNNNNNNNNNNNNNNNNNNNNNNAAAAAAAAAAAAAAAAUUAAAUCAUUUGUUAUUUCAAAAAAAAAAAAAUUAAAAGUAUUAAAAGUUACCUUAUGAUUAAGAUUAACUCUCAUUCAAAAAAAAAAAUUAAGAUUAACUCUUUUAUUUUUAGAAAAAAUCUACUCAUUUAUUUGACAUUUAAUGUUAUCUAUGUAUAUUACAUUUUGAUUGGUUGAUAUCAUGAGAGAGUAAAUUACCCUCUAAACAAGAGAGGGUAACGUAGACCUCAUCCAGACAAAUUGGUUGUACUAAAAAGGGGUAGGUUGAGAAAAAGAAUAUUUAAGGACAAUUAUUCCCUCAAAAAAAUUUAAGGACAAUUAUUUUUUUAAAUAGUCUUAUAUGGUGUAAUUAGGGACGGCGUAAAGUAUCAAAAAAGAUAUUGAUAGAGAUGCAUUAUUUAAAAAAAUUAAUUAUUUUACUAUUUUUAAUUAUAUGGAUGCAUAUUUUUGACUCGGAUUGUGAGGUUAUUGAAUAAUAGUGUGAUUUUACAACUUGAAGGAAUGAAGUUUAAAUCUCACUUAAUAUAUUGUAAAAUAACUAUUUUUGUCACUGUUUUAUUGUUUUUUUUUUAAUUGGUAAAAAUAUAUUAAAACUACUCAAACUCAAGUAAGGGUGUUCGCGAUGCAGUUUAGAUCAAUUUUAAAGUAAAAUGUCAUUCGAUCCGAAAUAAAAAAUCUCAUGCGGUUUGGUAUAGAUUUGAUGAUUAUUCUUAAAAAAUCUGAACAGAUCCGAUGUAAAUAUAUGUGAUUUAAUUUGGAUGAGUUUGAAUUUAAACACCGCUAAACUCAACCCAAGUUGUACCCAGACAAGAGCAAUGAAAUUAAAUUGCAAAUUUAUUGCACCAGAAGUGAAAUUUUAAAAUACGUCAAGACAACCCUUCAACAUACGCCUAAACUCCCAAGCAUGUCCAAUUCAAAGCAUUGAAGGCGAAGUAUCAAUCGUUUAUUAAUAACUUCUUAAAAAUUAAAAAGGUCGUUAGUUUUUUUUUGUUUAACAUCAAAUUUUAUGUGACAACCAAAAUCAGUGCUCAACACGAAUUGAGACCGUAAUUCAGAGCAUAUAAACAAAAGACGUCGUUAUAAUAAUAGUUUUUCUUUUGUACCAAAAAAAAAAAAAAAAUAAUAGUUUUUCUUAACUAUUACUUUUUUUUUCAAUUCUUUAAUUAAUAUUUUCAAUAUCAUUUAUUAAGGACAAUUUUGUAAAAUAACUCAUAAUAUUUCUUAAUUAUAAUUCUUAAUACGUUGAAAUACUUAAAACAUCAUAUAGUUUAAGACGGAAGAAGUAUAAAUGAAGUGAUUAUAGGUUCUAAACCCAGAGAGUUUGUCUGACUCUGAUGGGUUAAACUUGGGACUUCAUAACGUGCUAAAUUAAGUCAGUAUAAAGAGAGUAUGUCCGAUGGGUUAAACUUGGGACUUCAUAACGGGGUAGAUUAAGUCAGUAUAAAUUAAGUGAUUAUAAAUUAAUUAUAUCUUCUUUAGGGACUUUAUACCUCUCCCCUUAUUAAAUAUUAUAAAUUAAGUCAUCAUUAUAAAAUACUAAAAAUAAAAAAUUUAAAGAUGAAAACUAUUUCAAAUGAAUUAAGCUGAUGAUCUAGUUAUCAGAUCAAUUGAAUUAGAAACAUAAUUACCUAUGACAUAAGUCCAGUGUUUAACCGAAUCAUUGUGAUGCCAAUCUUCACCUUCAUGAAGCUUGGCAUGAUGAACUCUUUCACAAACUUUGUGCACUUCGUGAAGUUCUGAUGCAAAUAGUUUGAAGAACUUCUCCCCUGGUGAUUUGAUCCCAAGUUCAGUGAUAAGUUUACCAGCAAGCACCAUUUUUGUAGAGAAAAAAAACUAAAUACACAAUAAUAGAAAGAAAGAAAUAGCAGACCCAACAAAUAAGGAAAGUUUUAUGAUAUGAUGAUGGUUUAUGAAACCACACGACUUAAAUAGAAAAUUUUUACUAUGCAGUAGACCCAACAAAUUAAAUUAAAUUAAAUUAUGUGACCCACUCACUUAUUGUUCUGUGCUCCCCCAACCCAUAUCAUGUCAUGAUCUAAUUUAGGAAAUAUUUAUUAUUGUCCGACCAUAUCAUUUAUAAAUUUAAUAAUCCCUUUAGUCCUUUUUAAAAGAAAGAAAAAUGAUUGUUUUUGCUCCUUUUUAUAAGAAAUAUUGAACAAUUUUUAAGUGUGUUGGAAACUAAAUUUCAUUUGUAUCCUUAUUUAUGAUGAGAAAUAGUAUUAAAAGUAAUUAAGUUAAUGGAGGCAAUAGUAAUUAAUUUAGGGGUAUUCUUGGAAGAAAUGUAAAUGUAUAGGAGUAUUAAAUGAGAAUAGUCAUUUUCAAUGUACUUCCUAGUUCCGGAUGAUUUAUGUUUUUGUUCUUAUAAAAAGGACCGAGGGAGUCCCCAUAAGCUUAACUCAUUUGGUAGGCGAUAAUGCAUUUGUAUGCAGGGGCCGGGGUUCGAACCCCGGACACCCCACUUAUUCACAUUUAAAGUGAAUUUUUCUAGCCGCUAGGUUACUUGACCAAAAAAAAAAAGGACCGAGGGAAUAAUUAUUUUUGUUUCUUUUAAAAAGAACUAAAGGGAGUACUCCCUUUGGUCACGUUUAUAAACAACUUUUGUUUUUUCAGAUUCAUUAAAUAAUUGAUGUAUCUGAAGGGAGUAGAUAUGAGAGCGAAUCGGAAUGUGGUUAAUUUAAACAAUUUAAAUUUCUCUUCUAGAAAUACAUUUUUUUUUUUUUGUAGAUCUAGAAAUACAUUUUUUAUUGUUAAUUAAUAUUCUUUUAUAAAUCAAUAAAAAUAAUUAUUAUAAUAAAUUACUUCAAGCAAAAUUUGGUAUUUUCUAAAUAAACAUUGAUAUUUUGAUUCAUAUUAACGUGGGUACAAUCCUUAUUCUUUAGCUUGUGCAAUCUGUGAAUGUUAAUGCUAAAUCGCACUUCGAAAGAUCGACCCUGAAUCAGUUUGGAGCACAUGGGAAUUAUUGCUCCAAAUGCACGUAACGAUUUGGAAACAAUGGAAGACAUUGAAUUAGAGCAACAUGAAGAAAUUACUGAAAACAAGUUUGUUGUGACAGACAAUGAAGAGGUACCAGUUGAAUGUGCCAGCCUAGAGGUAAAUCUUAAGCUCCAUGAGGGUGAAAUUGUUGCAUAUGACAAUGCAAAUGUCCUCAUUGCCUUGUUCACAAGACCGGCCUAGGGGCCAAGCAACCCAAACAAGGACUUUAAACCUGUUUGGGUAUACAAAAAAAGACCUAAAAUAUUAAUUUGUUUAUAAGUACUCCCUCCGUCCUUAAUUAUAAGACCCUUUUGCUAAAAUUACGGGAAUUAAGAAAGCGGAUAUUUGUAUUAAAGUUGUUUGUAAUCACUAUUGUUUUUACAAUUUUAUCCUUAAGAGAGAUAGUUGGUUUAUGUUUUCCAUAUGCUACUUAUUGCUGAUUGAAGAAAAAGAUGUAUAAUAAAUAGGGGCAUGUAUGUAAAGAAAUAAUUAAUGUAGUUGGAAGUAACAAAGGGGUCUUAUAAAAAGGGACAAUUUUUUUUUCAAAAGGGUCUUAUAAUUAGGGACGGAGGGAGUAUAUUAUAUAACUAAUAAAUUACAGACAUUUGUAUAGCUUAACCGAUUAUCAAAAAUGUCUUAAUUACUCUUGGUCAUAAAUUCAAAUUUUGGUCUUCACAUAAUUGAUUUUAUAUAAAUAUUCUCUUGAAAAAAUAUUUUUACAAGCCACAUUAAAUUUUUUGUUUUAGGCCUCUUAAUCUGUUGGGUCGGCCCUGCUUGUUCAACAUCGAGAGGGUUAGCGAGACCGUCUGACCUAUUGAUAAUUUGGUCAUAAUCACAACUUUUUGAGAAGAUAAGGGGUCAAAAGAUCAUAUUUUUUUCUUAUGUUAGGGGCAAAGUGAUGUGAUCCUAAGAUGUUCUCCCUUUACAAGAAUAAUAAAUUCAUUAUGGAAUAAAAGAAUCAAAUUAUUUUUGGUUCAAAUUGUUAUUUUCGUAGGUCAUUAUGUAUCUGUCUUGUAUUCAUCAUAUCUAGAGCUCUGGAACUCCGAUUGAGGUGAUCUUUGAAGCGUUGGAAAGGGUACAAAUUCAUCUACAUUUCAUAUGUUGGACUCAGAAGCAAAAUCGGCAUAUAUCAUGGUGUAAAAUGGGAUUAAACUGGAGGACGUGAUUAAAUGAAGGAGCUAAAGCAAAAGAGGUGAAACACAAUUAAUGUAGUUGAAGAGCAUAAAGUGGAGGAGAGAGGACGCUAAAAAUUGUCCAAAAGUAACAACCAUGAGUGUGUAACUUUGAGAAUUGAUUCAGCCACCUAAAUCAAAACCAAUAAAUUUGUAACAUUUUCUUGCAAUAAUUAGCCACAUAAGAGUUAUUUCAUUAAUCUUGAUAUAAUUCUAAGCUUUUCAGCAUUCUAGCCUAUUACCUAUAUAAAGGGGGCAAAAAUAAUGAAUAACAGGUAGAAUUUUGAUUAAAAAAAUACACUUUGUGUGUUGUGAAGCUUUGUCAGCAUUCUAGCUUUUCAGUUUUGGUUCUUUUUGAAAACUUGUCAGGGUUGAAGGUUAACUACAAUAAGAGCAGCUUGUUUGGUAUUAAUAUUGAGAAUUUGUGGUUGUUAGAAGCAGCUUCUAUUUUGUCGUGCAAAGUGGGUUGUAUUCCUUUCAUUUAUGUUGGCCUACCUAUUGGGGGCGACCCUAGACGCUUGUCUUUUUGGGAUCCGAUUAUUCUUCGAUUAAAAUCUAGACCGUCUGAGUGGAAAAGCAGAAAUUUAUCUUUUAAGGGCCGCUUGAUCCUUCUAAAAUCUGUCCUAUCUUCACUGCGUGUCUACGCUCUUUCCUUUUUCAAAGCUCCCGCAUGUAUACUCUCUUCCAUCGAAUCUAUUCUUAUUAAUUUUUUUUGGGGUGGGAGUGAGGAUAACAGGAAAAUUGCUUGGGUUGACUGGAACUCUAUUUGUAUGAAUAAGGAGGUUGGUGGUUUGGGGGUUAGGAGAAUAAAAGAAUUUAACAUAGCUCUUCUUGCUAAAUGGUGUUGGAGGUGUUUAGUGGAUAGAGACGGGUUGUGGUUUAGAGUCUUAUUGUCCCGUUAUGGUGAGGAGAGAGGUCGACCUAGAGAGGAUGGUAGGAUGGGGUCGGCGUGGUGGAAGGAAAUUGUUAAAAUUCGAGAGGGGAUAGGUGUCGAAGGAGGAAGUUAGUUUGAAGCUAAUAUUAUAAAACAUCUUGGUAACGGCCUUAACACUUAUUUUUUGUCUGAUUGUUGGGUGGGGAAUGAGACGUUGAUGGAGAGGUUUAGGAGACUUUUUGAUUUAUCAGUUCACCAGGAUUUGACGGUGGGCGCCAUGCACGCCUUAGGUUGGGGAGAAGAUGGGGAGGCUUGGAGGUGGAGACGUCGUUUGUUUGCCUCAGAGGAGGAUUUAGUGGUGGAGAUUAGGAAUUUGUUAUCUAACAUUACUUGCGUGGCUUUGGUGACCGGACACUAUAGUUGGCUACACGGUUCGUGGAGCGUAUCAAAUGCUUAUGAGGCAGGAGAUACAGGCUGCUGAUGUUGCUUCGGAUGCACCAUAUGGCACAAAAAUGUCCCUUUGAAAGUCUCUAUUUGCGCUUGGCGUCUCAUCUGCAAUAGAUGGCCGACAAAGGACAACAUGGUGCGUCGAGGUGUUAUUUCUAAUGAAAGUCAACUUUGCAUUUCAGGAUGUGGUCAACAAGAAACAAUAGAUCACUUAAUAAUUCAUUGUAAUUUUUUUGGCAAUCUUUGGAAACUUGUAAAGUCUUGGAUUGGUGUUUAUUCAGUGGACCCUUAUCAGGCUACGGAUCAUUUCCAUCAAUUUAUGUACUCUUUAGGUGGCUAUGCUCCUCGUCGGUCUUUUUUACAUUUGAUUUGGUUGUUUGUUUAGGGAUAGGCUGAGGUUUUAUUUUCAUUUCUAAAUUUUUGUUUUGGACAGGUUGUUAUUUCGUUGUAACUUUGUUUUGCCUCUUAUUAAUUGCACUCCUUGUGCUAGGGAGCAAGACUUUUUGUUGUUAAUAUAUAUCUCAUUUUGGCUUGUUAAAAAAAAAUAAAAUACCCUUAUUAAUUAUAUGUUGGAUAAAUUUGGAUGGAUAAUAAAUUGUUAAAGUGUAAGUAGCAAAUGUAUGUAAUAAACAAAAGACGAAACUAAAUAAUUUUGCAAAAGAAUAAAAUAAAUUUAUUCAAUUAAGUUAUGUGAUUUUUUUUAUAGAUGUAUGGUUUUUUUUUAAAUAGAAUUAAAAAUAAAAUAAUUUUUUAUAGAAUUAAAAAAUAAAUGUGCAGUUUUUUUAUUAAAUAUAUGUGAUUUUUUUAGAGCAUAUAUGUGUAGUUUUUUUUUAAAGGGUAUGUGUAGUUUGUUAUUAUGUUAGUAUGAUAUACGCAUAAUAAACAAAAACACAAAAUUAAAUAAUUUAAAAAAAAAAUUAUUAACUCAAUUUUUUUUGUCAAAUAGCUAAGUUGUUAGAAAUUCAAUCUCUUCAAGGUAAAGAAGAGGGGUUCGAGUCCCGAGCUCUGUAUAUAUUUAUGCAAAAUAUUAUAUUUAGUUUGUUGAGUUACCUAUGUCGAAUAAAAGAUAAAGUGAAAUUGAAGGAAAGUUGAAUUCAUAAAAGGAUAGAGCAAUAUGUAACCAACUUUGGCUUGAUAACUGUACAUCACUCUAAGUUUCCACUCUUAUCAAGCACAAUUUUGAUCACUACCCCAUCCUUUUAGACUUCAAAAAUUGUUCAUCAUCUUUUUCUUCUCAAUUCAAAUUUAUGAAAAUGUGGACAUUACAUCCGGAUUGUAAAAAUAUUAUUGCAGAUUCUUGGAAGUUGAAUGUUGUAGCCACUCCAAUGUUUAUUCUAACUCAGAAACUGAAGGUUUUGAAAGAAAAGCUCAAAGCAUGGAAUAAAGAUAGUUUUGGAAAUGUGAAUGAAGGUUUUUGUGCUUCUUCUUUUUUGCAGGUUAAUUCUUUGGUGGAAGAUUGCAUCCUAAAUCUUGUUAACAACUACUCAAACAACAUUUUAUCAAUUCUACGUUCAGAAGAUGAAAUUCACAAUGCAGUUUUUUCCCUCAAUAGAGACAGUGAUCCCGGACCAGAUGGGGUUCGGUGCUUUAUUCUUUCAACUUUAUUCGAGCAUUAUCAAAUCAGAAGUCAUCAAUGCAGUGCAAGAAUUCUUUCUUAUAGGGAAGAUGCUCAACAAUUUCAAUUCAAACACUAUUGUCCUUAUCCCUAAGACAAACAAUGCAGACACUGUUAAUCCGUUCAGACAAAAAACCUUAACAAACUUCAAAUAUAAAAUCAUCUCUAAGCUUCUUGAAGACAGGCUUGCUACUAUCAUGCCACAUAUUAUUUCAAAGGAGCAAAGGGGCUUUAUCGAAGUUAGAAACAUUAAAGAUUGCAUCCUUCUUACCUCAGAAGCAGUUAAUUUACUUGACAAGAAAUCAUUUGGAGGUAACAUAGCAUUCAAAAUUGAUAUUGCAAAAGAUUUUGAUACUCUUGACUGAUCUUUCCUUUUAAACGAGUUAAAAGCUUUUGACUUCAACUUAAAGUUUUGUGGUUGGAUUCAAGCUAUUUUAGAAUCAGAAAAACUAUAUGUUUCAAACAAUGGCAAGCUGAAUGGAUUUUUCAACUGUAAAAGAGGUGUGAGACAAGGUGACUGUAACACCCCAAAUUUUCCAUAUUAUAUAUGUGUGUUCAUGGUAUAAAUCUCUAGUUAUUAUUGUAAGGGAUUUUAUUUGUACAUGUUUUUUUUUGUCUAUAUUGCGACAUCGUGUAAUUAAUAAGAAGUGUGUGCAUAUUUUAUUUUAAUUAUUUUAGAAAAAUGAUAAUAGUUUACUAUGAGUAUUUAUGAGUCUAAAAUUUUAGUCAUGGGCGAGUGGAUUGACUGAUUAGUAUCUUGUUGACAAAAAAAAAUAUUAUUAGAUAGAACUGUUAUUGUUAUUACUAAUUAGUAAUUACUAAUAUAGAAGAAGAAAAAUCGAUGACAAAUGCCUAUGCCAAAUAAUCCUAAAAUAAGGGGACACAUUUAUUAAUAGAUAUUGAGUGACGUGGAAGGCAAGGAUGGGUACCAGGUUAACCUAAUUUACCUAGUAUAUAUAUAUAGGGAGAACAAGAGCCAUAGCCAUCCACAGUAGAUCAAAUUAGCGUACCAACGUAUAACCCUACUAUGAUCAAAUUAGUCUUAAAUUUUAAAAUGUUGUUACUGUUAUGACGUGAAUUUUGAUGAGAGAAUGAUGGUGAAUAAAUUGAAAAGAUGAAGUGGAAAGAUGAGAAUUGAGGAAAACUAGUUAGUUUGUUUUAUUUGAGUUUUUAGUCUUAAAAAGAGAAUAAUCCGGUAGGUUAAAAAUUGGUUAGUGGUUGAAUGAUAGGUUAAUCACGGAGAGUGAAGAUUAGGGUCGAGUUUGGCGAGUUUAGGGUCGAAAACGAAGUUAGGAAAGUUGUAACCGAAAGCAAAAAUAAACACUGGGACUUUUCUGUUCAGAAUUAGGAUUGUGUGUAUUCAUGAAAGUUGUAGAUAUGCGUUUUAGCUUUAAUUGUGCAUUGGUCUGACCUCAUUCCAAAAUAUAGAACUCAAGAUAUGAUCAAAAUACUACACAUGGGUCAGCAGGGUCGUGCUCUUUUCUAAGGCUUAGGAAAAUCACUUUUUAACUAUUUUAUGUUCUGAACUAGGUUUCGAUGUAAACACAAAAGUUGUAGAUAUGGAAGUCAGUUUUCAUGUGGCUUUGGAGUGACUCCAAUAGAACGUCAAAAACUUGAGUUAUGAUCAAAAUACUACACAGAGGUCAGCACGGUCGUACAUUCUGUGUAGGUUUAGGAAAACCAACCUUUUCACCCCUCCCUACAUCGAAUUUGGAUUUAGGUUCCUUCAUCAAAGUUGUAGAUAUGGGUAUUAACUUUCUUUUAACUUUGGUUUGACCUCAUUCGGGCAUAUUGAUGACGUUCAUUUUAUAAUGAUGAUGAGAUUGAUGUUACUAAUUAUAUUGAUGAUGAUAAAAUGCAUGUCUAUUUUAUAUUGAUGAUGAUAAUGACAAUGUCUAAUUUAUAUUGACGAUGAGAAUGAUAAGGUAUAAUUAUGAUGAUGAUUUGAAUGAUGAUGUCUAAUAUACAUUGAUGAUGAGAAUGACGAUGUUUACUUAUGAUGACGAUGAUGUGUUUUGUCUUGAUGUUGUGCAUAAUAGGAGGAGUCUAGGUGUAUGAUUGUGAUUUAUUGAUGAUGUUAUAAUCUUUUGAUACUUGAAAAGUCUGUCUCAUGCAUGCAUAUAAAGUUGUGUCUAGGAAUCAUGAUGACGAAAUGACGACGAAAGUCCAGUAACAUAUCUCUGGCAAAUUAUGACGAUGAAAGUCCAGUAACAUACCUAUGGCAAAUUAUGACGAUAGGUGUGGUACCACAUUCAUAUAGGUCUUAGGACUGAGUCCAUAUGCAUAAAAUUUGACGAUGAUUUGUGUUUGGUGAAUAGGUGUAAUUGUGUGAGACGAUGUAGAUGAUUAUCUGUUGAUGUUCUUAUGAAGAUGGUUAUUGGUUACUAUAUGUUUUGUGACUUGUUUGAAAUUGAAUUAUGACAUUGUGUUUGUGAAGUUUUUUUGGUUCUUAAGCUGAAAUGAUAUUUUCUACUAAUAUGGAUUGAGAUGAUAUAGUAUAUUCUUCAAGGUUCUGGAGAUUAUGUUUGUGAUGUGAUAUGACUUUGACUUAAUUGCUUACGUGUUCUUCUCAUUUUUAUUUAUACUAUUACAUGUUCUCGGAACUCACCCCUUCGUUUUUUGUGUUUGCUGGCUUGGCCCUGCGGUUGCGAAACCGUAGUUAUAUAGGUUAUGAGUCUUGGAGUCAGGUACAUGCCUUACGUGAAGAUUGUCUUGUGUCGUCUGUUAUUUUAGGGCCGGGAAAGCACCGCUCUGAUGGUGACACGGGAAAAGGGAUAUGCUUACUUAUUUCGUUUUGUACAAAAAAAAAAAACCAUUGACUAUGAUGUAAAAGAAAGUAUUUUCAAAAGCAAAAGAUUCGAUGUUAAUAUUAUUAUGAUUUUUAAUGAAGUGAAGUCUGAAUUAUGUUUGUUAUGAGUCAAUGUGAUAUCCUAAAUCUUGUGGAAGAAUUCCUAUAUUAUUAGAGAAGUUUUUAGCUGACUCUUUCCGCUGCGAAUCGAACUCUAUUUUUAAUUAAAUAAUAGUAAUAAUUAUUUUUGGGAUUUAGGGUGUCACAGUGACCCCUUGUCCUCACUUUUAUUUAGUAUUGUUGAAGAUGUGCUAAGAAGAGGCAUAUUAAAAUGAGUAAACCCUCAUUUGGGUCCCUGAAAGUGCACCUCGCUAUCAGCCACAUCCUUGGAUCAAUUAAAUAAACCAAAAACUCCUCCAAUGUAUGUUCCGUCAGUCAAAUGCAUCCAAAACGUUAACUGAACGUUAAGUGUGAUUGGAGAGGGACCUGAAUGAAUGUAAUCCCUCCAUCUUCUAGAAAAAAUUAACAAGUUCAUAUUUUUAUCUUCCUUCAUACCCUCCAUCUCAAAACAUUCCAAAAGACAAAAAUAAGUUCUUUACAAUCAUUAUCUCUGCUCUAUCAACCAUCAAGUCUGUUAUCUCUCAAUUAUCGGCUUAAUAAUUGUUCUGUAUUCUUUUGCAGGAAACAAAUGCCUAAACUUGGGUAAUAACACACCUCCCUACAUGCAACAGGUUGCAUGAAGAAGUGAGCAAAAUCUAAAACGUCAUCGGGGGUAUUGAAGUCAAUGUAAGCUCUAGAGAAUGAUGAUGAUGGCGAUGAAUGCUUGUGGCUGAAUGAAAGAAAGAAAGAAAGUAAGAAAAUUGAAUUGAAUUAAAUUGAGCAACAAGAAGAAUAGAAUUAAUAAAAGUACGUACCUGGUGAUUUUGGGAGGAUGGAAAGGGAGCCAAUUGUAACGACUAGCGAAGGAAGAGUCAAUUAAGGGCAUAAGAGAGUCUUGUGUAAUUGUUGGAGGCAAGUGCCGAAUCACCACCUUCGUACUAUCCGACAUCACCCUACUUCGAUUCAAUUCAAUUAUUGGAUUGGAUCACAUCUCCGCUGCUUCUCAAUUUCGAUGGAAUCAUUCAAUCAGAAAUUAUAAAUAAAUUAAAAUUGAAAUUGUGUGCCCUAAUUUCACCCAACUUGCCGUAACCACGACAGGAGAGGAACAAGAGUGUUGUUUCUAUUUUGAGCAUGAACAAGAGGAAAUUUAAGAUUUUUUAUUUUUAUUAUGGUUUUGGGUUGUUGGAUUAUGGAUUUUGAAUUGAUGAUGAAGAAGAAGAUAAAGGGGUAAAUCAAUUUUGAAUUUUGAUUUUGAAUUGCAUAGGUGUUGGUGAGCAUGAGUUCAUGAGUAGUGUUGAAGAAGAUGAAGGAAUUGAGAACAUUGAAGAAGAUUGAAGAAGAUGAAGGCAGAAACAUGAUUGCUGUCAUUUUGGUCCCUAGUCUAUGAGUAUAAUGGACACAUCAACACAAUUAACACCAAGUUAAUGUUUUGGAUGCAUUUGACUAACAAAAUAGACAUUGAGGGAGUUCUUGGUUCGUUUAUUUGAUCCGGGGAUGUGGCUGAUAGCGAGAUGCACUUUCAAGGAACCAAAUGAGGGUUUACUCUAUUAAAAUUGGUACAAGAAGGAAAGGUUGAUCUAAUCAGUGGCUGUAGACAUCAAUGUAUCCCCUCUCACACACUGUAUGCUGAUGAUGUUAUGGUAUUUUCCAAAUUCUAUCCCUGCAUCAAGAAUGCAAAAAAAAUUUCUAUCAGUCAGGUUUCAACAUAGGCUCCCUUCCCUUUACUUAUCUGGGAGUUCCUGUAUUUAAUGGUAAACCCAAAGCUUCCGAUUUAGAGAGGUUUCAGAUCCCAGACUAGGUUGACUGUGGCUUUUCACCCAAGGUUUGAACGGUUUGUGGCGUGUUUAAUUCAUUUUUGGUUGUUGAACUAUGGAAAACGUUUCCUUUGAUUGUAGUUAUAGUCUAUGACUAGUUUAAGACUAUAAAUAGCCUUGCAUUGUUCAACAAUUUUAUUCAUUCUUUACUUCCCAUCCUUUAUUCCUUUUUCUUAAUCUUUUUUUUAGUUUUUAAUGAGUGUUAUGGUCACUGCUGACCAUUCAUAGAAUCCCGACAAUUGCUUUGCAGUUUAUGUGGCGAUUCUACGUCAGUCAGCAGAGAAAUUUGACAUCAAAUACAACACAAAAAAUAUAGUUCAUAUUAUCUUGGAUUGUAAAAUCUAGGGCUGGCAAUGAACCGAGACAACUCAAAUAAAAUUCGGAACUCGACUCGGUAAUUAGUUCGUUUAACUUGGUUCAUGAACCAAACGAGCCGAACUUGAGUUAUAUAUGGUUCGGCUCGUUUGGUUCAUGAACUUACUAUUCUUUGAUACGAAGGUGGGGAUCUAUUAUUUCACAAUUGUGGAAUAUUUUUUAGAAAAAAAAAAAAUGUUAACAGGUCAAAAAUAUGUAAUGUUUUUUAAUAAAAUAAUAAAAUUUUAAAUUAUGUGAUUCGAGCAAACAAAUUGAACCUAACGAGUCGAACCGAGUAGUUGCUAGUGAAUUUUAAAUGAGUCGAACUCGAGUCGAGUUUCGAGCUGAACCAAUUCUUAUCGAGUUGAGCCGGACUCAAACGAGUUCAACUCGACUCGACUCUUUUCUUGCCCUAGUAAAAUCCAAAAAUACCUAACAAUCUGUUUCAGAUCUUAGAAUCCAAACUAAGGGUAUUUUAGAGAAAAAAAAUAGGGUGCACGAGUAGAUGAUAUGGUGGGAAAAGUAAAAGCCUCUUUUUUAGUACAAAGGAUUACGAAGUCCAUUAUUAGCAAAAUAAAAAAUGAUUACAAAGCUCAAAAGAAUUCUCUUCAGAGAAAAGAGCCCAAGCAAAACUAAACAACUAAAUGAAAAUUACAUAAUUCGUUACUUAACUUAAUUUGAGGUAACAUUUUCGUCCUUUUUUGUUUGUCUUGAUUUAGUCUUUUAUGUUAUAAAUGACAAUAUCUUGAUAUUUUUUUAAGCGAUUUUUUCCAAUGAAAUCUGAGUUUCUUGGUUUGUAUGAUAAAUAUUUUAGUUUGUUUGAGUUUGAUGAGUUUUUGAUGAUAUUUUUUGAGUUUUUGAUUUAUUUGUUUUGGUAAAAAAGGAUAAUUAUUUUGACAUUUUAUAACAUAAAUGACUAAAUCAGGACAAAAAAAGAUAAAUGACGAAAAUGUUACAUAAUAUUAAGUUAAGGGACGAAUUGUGUAAUUUUAUCAAUUGUUAUGACAUACAUGUCUCAUAAAUAUCAUCAAAGAAAGAAGAUUAUUAAGCUCAACGAGAAGGAGUCUCGAGAACAAUAAAAUUCGAAGUAUCUAUGAUAAAGAUAAAAUUAGUAGCCAAUCACUACUUAAUUUGUUGUAUUUUCACCAAGGAUGAUUAUCUUAUAUGUGUCAACUACGAUUCAAGAGAUUUUUGAUAUGUCGAAUCAACAAUGGAGUAAUCCCAUUAAUCUUGUAAUUAUCCGUAAACAAUUUAGAAUCAUACAAAGAUUUGAAAUUCCCUCACACCAAGCUAGCUCCAAACCAAAUACAAAACUUACUUUUUUGCAUGAAGUGCUUACACUGUCCCAUAUAAUGUACAAAGCCUUCGAGCCACCUACCAUCGUUAUCUGGAAGAGUCGUGUCAGAAUUUCCUUUGCAAUGCCAUCACAAUUGAGUAUGAUCCAGAUACAUCCCUCAUAAGGACGCUUCCAAUCAAUGAAAAUUGUUUCAAACUAUUGAGGAUCAAUGUCAUGAUGAUUAUGGAUGCAGACUUCGAUGGUGCUAGAAAACAUUUUGAUAACACUCGAUGGAUUAGCUAGUCUUCGAAAACUAUCCUCGAUAUUUUUUCUUACCACUUCCACAAAUGUCAACCAGUAGUCAUGAAAGUUGUCUUCUUCCUAUAAUAGGAAUCUCCACUACAAUGCUUGUUGAAGUUACUAAAAAUACAAUUCCUUAAAUAAAAAUGAAAGAAGUUAGUUUUUUUUAGGAUAAGAGAAGUUAGUUAUCAGUUUGGAAGGUACAUGUCUGAUCCAUACAUGAGGUGCAUAAUUGUUUUCUUUGAGCACAAUUGUAGUCUCACCCUCUAUCCUACAACAAGGGCAGGUAAGAUCUACCCUAACACCCCAGCUAUUUUUGAUGUAAUUAGUUCAAAUAUAAUCAUAAGCUAUCAUCUAUAUGAAGGAUUGAAUAUGACGGGGAACCUUUUAGUUUCACAAAUUUUUAAUGUCCCCUUAUAACCGACCAGUUAACACAAAAAAUUAUGAUUUCGAUUUUUUAAAAGGGAAAUGUUAAUUUGUGUCCUUAAGGCACAUGUUAAGAAUUUCAUUAAUAGAAAUUAUGUAUCGGAAAUUGUGUUAAUUUAUUACUUAAAAAAUUUAAUAUUAUUUUUUUUCAAUUAAUACUUACCAUUAAUGACAAGAAUUUAAUGCUUAACCUGUGCCCAAGUUAACAUAACCCUGGUAAAGAUCCUCUCCAUUUAUAACUUUUUCCAUUUGUUGCAAUUUGGAGAGAGAUAGACACAAAAAAAUAAGUGGUGGGUCCUAUCACUAAGUGGAUCCCACCAUCAUUAUUUUCUAUGUGUCUAUCUCUCUCCAAAUUUCAACAAAUGGAAAAAGUUAUAAAUGGAGAGGAUCUUAACCCGACCCUGGUAAAGAUCCUAGGAAUUUAAAACGAUAGAAAUGAAGAAACUAUUUUUGGGACCUCAUUUAUCCAUCCAAAAAAUUGACAUUCUUCUCAUACCUAUUUUUCAAAUAAUAUUGCUUUGCAAAAUCAUCCCACACACUUUCAAAAGUUUACCGAACAGCUAUUAACAAAUAGAUAUUUCCUCCUCUCAUUAAAAUAAAAUAUGUGCAUUAUUUACCUUAACUUAUAUAAGAUAAGAUAAGAUAAAAUGUUGUUGUAAAUAUUUUUUUAAUUACUAGUUAUAAAUAUAAAGAUUUUAUUGCUAUUUAGCGAUGUUUAAUCUCUGUCUAGAAAUUUGAGAAUAUGUGAGAAAAUAGAGUAAGUUCCUUCCUUCGAACUUUUCAUAUACAAAAGUCAGUGGUUGAACUUGUGAUCAUUUCGUUAGGAAUUAAGCCGCUUGUCACUUGGGUCAAUGAUAGUUUUUUUGUAAUCGAACUUUAUCAAUGGCACGAGCUUCACAAAUUACCAUAAUUUUUAUUCAAUUAUUGAUCAUAUUUAAUCAGCAUUAAAUAUUUGUCAAAAGUAAUCAGCUUAUAAUAAAACAAAGAUCGUGUUAAUCAACUUUAUCAAUGGCAUGAACUUCACAAAUUACCUUGUUUUUUAUUUAAUUAUUGAUCAUAUUUAAUUAGCAUAAAUAUUUGUCAAAAGUAAUCCGCUUAUAAUAAAAGAAAGAUCAUGUUUAACUUGGAAUCAAUCUUCUUAAACUAACUUAAAUAAUUGAGAACAUUAUUACACAAAUUUAAACUGCAAAGUACACAAAUAUCCAUUUAUUUGCAUCACACAUAAUUUAAGACAUAAUCUUCAAGACAUGACCGACACAUAUAUUUGAUACAAACGAAGGAUCAAGGGAAAGAAAUAUGCAUGCUUAUGCUACAUGCCAAAAUACAAACUUCACACUAGCUUUUAUUUUAUCUAUAUGCUCACAUUUAUCCAUAAAAGCCAACCCCAUUGAACCAUAAUUCAAAUAUCUUUAUGACUUAUAGAACUACCUUUUCCCCCUUGACAAGAUGACCAUCAAUAUCUCUAGUGCUUUUGCUAAGGUAAUCCAUCCAACCAUUUGGAGUAUCAAUAUCCUCAUUAUUCUUCUCAUAAUCAAUACUCCAUCUAACAGCAGAACUUCCAUCAGCCUUGUUAAGCACUUCUAAGAUGAGCUUAAAUACCUUAUAGUUUUCAAUAUCUCCACCAAACAGCUUGUAAGUGAUUUUUUUGUUCUGAUCAUCAACUUCUUCAACACUCUCAUUGCAUGUGUGUACCUCGCCAUCUGUUAUUACGUCAGAAGCAAUUAAUACUAAUAACAAUAAAAUACGUUUUUCAAAGGAAUUAAUAUAAUAAAUAUUAGUUGCACCAGAAAAUAUUAUAAUAAGAUAAUGAUAAUGGAUGCUUUAUUUCUGCGUUAAAAAAUAAAAAAGAAAAAAAUUCAUUAUCAAACAAAUGCCUCUAAUACACUCUUUAAAGAUCUUAUAUGAUGAUAAUGAUGAUUUUUAAGGAGUAUUUUUUUUUUUAUUUAGAAUCGUUAAAGAAUUUUUAUGAGUGCUCGUUGGCAAAACCCUAACAAAGCUCUUUCUUUUGUAGAAGAUUUUAUUGUUUUCACUUGAAACAUAUUUUCUAGAUAAGUGUAUGACAUUGUAACUUUAACCCGAAAUACAAUCAAAUCUCACAAGAAAGAGCAAUGCUAUAAUAAGUUUCCCUUUCACAUUUUUUUAUGAGUUAAUGCAUUUUUUUGUCCUCAAGAUUUAACUUAGUGUUAUGAGCUUCCCUUUAUAUAACUGUUGUAAAAUCCCACUUAUAACUGUUGUAAAAUUACAAUUUGAGUUACUAUUACUUUUUUUUUUUGCACUCGACAAAAAUAUAUAAAAACUACUCAAACCCAAGCACACAUUGCUCCCAAGAAAGAUCGAUGAAAUUACAAAUCAUGGCACUAUUAGUAUUAUUAGCAGAGAAAAUUUAGAGUCAAUGUAACACCCAUAUUAAUAAUAGUUUCACUUUUCCCUCCUUAAAAAAAAUAAUCUCUUUUCCCGCAUUAAAAAAUAAUAUUUAACAAUCUUGCUUUGUUUGGAUGCAUCUAGUCUGGUAUGAACCUUACAUUUUUUAUUUUUUUUUUGACAAGAAGUAUGAACCUUUCUAUUUUACAGUAAAUUUUAUUAACAUAUUUAAGUACUAUUUUUAGAGAUCCAGUACUUCACCUCGUGUGCAAUGAUUUCGAUAUCUCAAUUUUUUUUAAUGAAUUUAACUUUUUAUUUUAACAAUUUAUAUAUCUAAAACUCUUCAAAAAAAAUUAAUCAAUUAAAAAAAUUAUAAAUUAAGUCUAAAAAUAUUGCCUUCAUUGUAUAACACAAUUUUACACAUAUAUUUAUUUAAUUCGUAAAUUAUAACUUUUCUUAGACAAAUUUUAUUAUAUUAUUUGCUAUAUUAGUCUCAAUGAAUCAAAUCUCUAAUCUUCAUUAUAGAAUUCAUGCAGUAUUCCUUAACUCACCAAUCUUCUUUAUAUUACUAUAAUAUUAAUUAUCAUUCAAAAAAUUGGUAAUAGAUAACUUUUUCAAAUCAAACAAGGUGAUGAUUUGGUUACCUAUGACAUAAGUCCAGUGUUUAACCGAAUCAGUAUGAUGCCAAUCUUCACCCUCAUGAAGCUUGGUAUGAUGAACUCUUUCACAAACAUUUUGCACUUCGUGAAGUUCUGAUGCAAAUAGUUUGAAGAACUUUUCAGCUGGUGUUUUGAUCCCAAGUUCAGUAAUAAGUUUACCAGCAAGCACCAUUUUUGGAAAGAUACUAAAUAUAAUACAAGAAAGAGAAGAAAGAAACAAAUAAGAGAUGGUUUAUGAUAUGAGGAAAGUGUAUGCAACCAAUACCUUAAAUAGAAAUUUGAUUACACUAUUGACUAAGAUAUAUAAUAAUAAUAGACACACCAAAUUCAAUUAUGCAGUCCACUACUUUCCCCACCCAUGACAAAGCAUGAUCAAAUAUUUAAUUUAUUUCGUUUUUUGAUAUUUUAUAAAUUUUAUUUUUUAUAUUUUGUAAGAUUUGUAUUUUUAUAUAUUAAAUUUUUUAUUUUUUAUUUCUGUAAAAAGGAAAUUGUAAAUUAUUCUUUUUUUUUUAUUUCAUUUUAAUCAAUUAUGUUUUUUUUUUUAAAAAAAAAAUUCAUAUGCAUUCUGAGAACUUUGUUCUUUAGAAAGUUUAAGAGAGGAUUUUUGAAACUUCCAAAUUUUGGCACAAAAUUUAACAUUUUUAAAAUGACGUUCUUGAGUUUUAAAAAUUGACCUUUUAAAUUUGAAAUUUAUGGCGAAUACUUGAAAAAUUUGAAUUUAUUUUAAAAUGUUUUUGACAUUUUCUGAGAAGAAUGUUCGACAAAAACAUUUCGAGGACUAGUGUACCUCAAAAAUGUCAAACAAAACAUGUUAAGAGAUAGGUUAAUGUGUCAAGUGUGAGUUAAAGUUUUACAUUGAAUGUAAGAGUAAAUAUUGAGCAACAUAUAAGCAUUAUAAUCCAUAUUCUUAUUACCUUAUUUAGUGUGUAGAUGUUGUGUGAAACUCACUUGUGUUGAUUCUUUUAGUUUAAAUGAUACGAUCAAACUUAAUGUAGAGUCUUCCGAAAAUGGAUUUUUAAUUUUUGGAUGUCAUUUCUUUAAUUUUUUUAGCUUAAAAAUUAUAUUUUGGAUGUCAUUCUCUUUUAUGUGAAUCAUUUAGUCAAUCUUUAUUAAUUUAUAUUCACUCCCUCUUGGUCUUUGGUGGCAAGUAAUAAUUAAAAAUUGCUUAUAUGUUAUGAUGAUUGGACAAAAUAUGAGUUGAAUUUAAUGGUGGUGAGUUGACAGUCUAAAACAACUUUGCACAUAUAACCAAUCAAAACAGUCUGAAAUUUAUUUUGAAGCGUCAAUCCACCAUCAUUAAAUAUUUUGAUGAAGAGAAAGUUAAUGUCAUGAAACUUACUCCCUCUGGUCAUUAUUAUAAGCAAAAAUCAACUUUUUAGGUUCAUUCAUUAAAUGAUGUAUUUGGUCAAUAAUAUAGACUAAAUACAUCAUUUAAUGAAUGAACCUAAAAAAUUGAUUUUUGCUUAUAAUAGUGACUAGAGGGAGUAUAUGGAAAGUUGCAUGUUUGGGUUAAGAUGUGAUGUCAAACUCUCUUAUGUGACUUCUCUCAGUCUAAUGUUGUUGAACUAAAAUGAGUUUUGUACAAUGCCUAAGUUUUGAUGAUAACAAUGUAUAAAAGAACAAUUUGAUAUGCUAAUUUGUGUUCAAGUAUGCAGGAUCAUAGAAUUAAAUUUAAAAUAGUAAAUCAAAUUUUUUGUUUUUGAAAGAACAAGAUUCUGAGCACACUUUAAGAACAUUUGAAUUUUGAGAGAAGAUGAAGUUCUGGACCAGAUUCUGAAGGAUACAUUACAAGCCACUGAAGGACUCAGACUCUGAAGACUUGGACUCUGAAGUAGUGAAGCUUUUGAAGGAUUCGGACUCUAAAGGACUCGUCAGCAUCAGAAGACUCUAGCUAGUUUGGUCAUCUUCUUAAUAGGUCGCUAUCAGACUCUAAUAGUACAAUUUGUCCUCUUCUAACUACAUGAAGAACCAAACAAAGAACUUCAAGGAUAAUUGGAAUGAAACAUAUAAUUCCGUAUGAAGCAAAGAAAUUUCAAAUGAGAGUUCAAUGACAUUAACCAAAUUAAGAAACACACCAACGUCUAUGGUCAAGUUUCUCAACGACUUUAAGUAAUGUGUUGACACUUCUCUAAUGUCUCUCAGAUUUUCCUCUAUAUAAUUAAGGAGCUGAAGAAUCUAAGAAAAAUAAAAAAAAGCACACGCUACAUAUAUUGAAAGUGUAUUUACUGUGUCAAAAUCAAAGCGCAUAAACACUUCGUUUUUAUUUUUACAAACUUUCAUAUGUUAGAAGUUCUUAAGAGUUAGAGUCAAAACUGAUUUGUAUUGUUUACACAUCUGAUUGUAUAGCAAGAGUAAAACCAAAACAAUAUUUUAUAUGAUUAAAUUAGAUGGUAUAAGUCUCUCUCUCUCUCCCUCCCUCCCUCCCUCCCUCUCACUGCCUCUCUCCCCCUCUUCCUCUAUUUUAAUUGGUCUCUAAAAAGGGUCAUUUACGGUAACCUCCACCUUUUCUCUUCUCCACACUCUGUUCUUCUCUCUCUCACACUCCGGUAGUUCUGUGCUGCGAUCUUCUUCAUGGUUUUAAUUAGAUUUGGUUCAUUCUAUUUUUAAAGGCUGAUUCAUUAUAUUUACCUUUUGGGUUUUAAAUAUUAAUCGACAAUCCAAAAGGCUUUGGGUGUUAGUGUUGCAUAAGGAACCAUAACAAUGUGACGAGUGUUCGUCGUCGUUGUUCCUAUUCGUCGGCAACGUUCCUGUUCAUCGGAGUUCGUUGAUGUUGUUCUUCGUCUAGAAAAAAGUGCUUGUUUUUUUAUCUGAGUUUAGAUGUUAUUCAUUUCAUACUAUUGUUAAAUUGGAUUUUUCAUGGAAAUAGGACAUCAACAAAAUUAGGGAUAACAAGGUUGAGAUAUGAAUUGGUGAAGAGUUUAAAAAACCUUUAAAAAAAUACAGAAAUGGAAUAAGUGGAAUGGAUUUCGAUAGAGAAGAAGGAAGAAGGAUGGGGAAGGGGAAGAGGUAGCUAGUAAAAUAUGAAGGAAGGAGACGCCAGAAAAAACAAGAAAAUAAAUCAUGUGUGAUUAAUUUAAUAUGGCACUUUUAAUCUAACCCACACAAUUUGAUCUAAUGGCUAUUGAUUAGUCCUCUCAUCUCUCACCAUAAGAUACUCCUCUCAUUUGAUACAUGCUAUAUAUAUAUAUAUAUAUAUAUAUAUAUAUAUAUAUAUAUGCAUGUGGGAAAGGAAUAGAAGCCUCCUUCCAUGAAAUCACAACCAGCUAGCCCACCUUUUUUACUUUGUUGUCUCUUAGUUUGACCUUAUCUAGGCAUGCCACCAAAAUACAAAUGCAGAUAUCCAACCUAGUUUAGGCUACCCAGAAAGUCAUCACAUUAUGAUGAAUUGUUUUGUUAAUUUUAGAUAUCAUUUGUUUAAUUUUUCUAUUUUAAAUUUUAGUUUUUGGAUGCCAUUUCAUUUGAUGAUAUUUUUCUUAUUUAACAUCUACUAUUUCAAUUUACAGCAUUUCUUGUCUUUACCUGAGUUUGAUGAUGGGAGAACUAUAGAUAUGUUAUGGCAAGUUGACAAGAUACAUACUUAUUAGAUAUUUUUAAGUUAAAAUAUGGUGUCAAUCUUACUUGUGUAAUUCCUCUUGGCCUAAUAUAAUGACCCAACCUAGUUCUCCCAACCUUGUGUAAUUCCUCUUAGACAUUUUUUAAGUUUGAAUGUCAUUUGUUUAAUUUUUUUAUCUCAAAAUUUAGUUUUUUGGAUGUCGUUAAUUCACUUUCAUGCGAUUUUUUGAUUCAACCUCUAUAAUGUUAAAUUCCUUCACAUUUCAGCUUUAGUGAAAUUCGACAAUAUAAAUAUAAGAUGUGUUCUACUGUUUUGAAAAAUACAAACUUAUUAGAUAUUUUGAAAUGAUGUGACAUUUUUUUUAAUACGAUUAAUUUUUUGUUAAAAUAAUUACGCAAAAACGUCUAACUCUUUCAACAAACUCGUCAUGUAAUUACCGACAACUCACUUUAUUAUCCAUACCAACGAGAUUCAUAAAAACAUGAAGGAACAAAUUAACAAGAUUCUUUCUACUUUCUUUUGACUAAAAACCUUCUUAUCUCUUUUAAAAACAUUACUCUUAUAAAUGUUUAUUAUUGUAAUUUGGCUCAUUAUCCCAUUACCACUCGGUUCCUUUUUUUUUAUAAAUUGGAUAACGUAUGAAUAUAAUUGAACAUUAUGAAUAAGAUCGAUUCCGUGACUAAAAAGAAAACUGCAGAUUCAUAGAUGGUUCCGAUGACGUUUCCUUUGAUUAAUAAUCCGAUUGUUAACUUGCUUCUGGUCUAGCCCUAUUGACUGUGCCAGUUCAAUCUUAUCAGCUUCCUGCAAAAUCAUGCUAAAUAUGUUUCUUUCUUACUACUUUUGAAUGAUUCAUUUUUUUUAAAGUUUACUAAAUGGGUAAUAUAUAUAUAUAUAUAUUGCAACUUUUUAAGAAGAAAACGACUCUUCUUCAAAAAAAAAAGAAGAAGAAAACGACUCUAUAUUAAUCAUGCCUGCUACCCACUCUAUUAUUGUGCUUUUGAGUAAACUACUCCCACUAUUUUAUUGGAUCUCGCGCGAUAUGAUUUGCUUUCUGCAAUUAAAAGAUAUAUCACGUUGUUAAUUUUAUAUACUUGUUGAUCGUUGAUGUGAACGUAGUUUCUACCAAAAAAUAAAAUGUGUGAUAGGGAUGUUGUAAUUAGAACUAUUAAAGAAGUUUGUUUAGUCUAACUUGAUCCGGUCCGAAAGGUUCGACAAUAUAAAUAGUUUAGAAUUAUGCUCUUUACCCAAUCAAAAUUGCUCGUUCCCAACUAAAAUUCACAUAAUGCCCAUGCGUGAGUUAAUUCCGUGAUUUAACUCAUGCUUGAUAUAUCAGUAGCUGCGUGAGUUAAGUCACGCAACGUGAGUUAAGUCACGCAAAUUAAACACUAGUGUGAGUUAACUCACGCAGGGUUAUUUUUGAAAUUUCAAUUGGAAAUGAGAAAAUGGUAAAGAGCGGAAUUCAAUAGUUUAAAUCAGCUCGUACUAUUUAUUAUCGGGCCACACAUUAUAGAGCAAGUCCAGUCCAUGGGUCAUCCUUGCUCGACCCAUUAAUUUAUUUAAUUUCAUUUUUUUUAUGUGACUUUGAUAUAUUACUUCCUAGCAAUUAUUUAUUUGCGAGGAAUUGAUUUGAUGAACAUGAAAGUGUAAAUAUUUUAUCCAAUAACAUUGAAUAUUAAUUAAACUCUAAAUUUAUUAACUCUGAACUGAAUUAGUAAUUUAUAAACUUUAAAAUUUUAAAAGUUUUAGCUAAGUUUAUCCAUUUUUAUUAAAUUCAUUUGAUUUAAUAUAUUUUUGGGAAAAUUACACAAUUAGUCCCUUAACUUUAUUUUAGGUAACACUUUCGUCCUUUAUCUUUUUUUUGUCACGAUUUAGUCCUUUAUGUUAUAAAAUGACAAUAUCUUAUCAUUUUUUAUGAGAUUUUUUUCAAAGAAAUUUAAUUUUCUAGACUUGUAUGAUGAAGAUUUGCAUUUGCCUAUGAGUUUGAUGAUUUUUUUUUUUGGAGUUUUUGAUUAUUUUUUUCAUAAAAAAGGAUAACUAUGUUGUUAUUUUAUAACAUAGAGGACUAAAUCGUGACAAAAAAAAGAUAAAGGACGAAAGUGUUACCUAAAAUAAAGUUAAGGGACUAAUUGUGUAAUUUUGCCUAUAUUUUUAUUAAAAAUUCUUAAAUUUGGUGAUAAUUUUUAAAAGGCUUUCAUUCUUUAUUUUUUAAUACAAAAAUGCAACUGAAAAUGUUGAGAGUGCACCAGUCCGAUGGCCUAGCCCGCCCCAACCAAGUAUUUAGAUAGACUAAAUGUGUCAAAGCUAAUAAAACUCAAUGGGAUAACUUUUUUAUGCCCACCCCGACGUUUUUGUUAUUCCAUACGUUUAGUCGGGGACGGACAUUAAUUAAACGUGUGCAAUGCCCACCCCGAACACGGACGGACACUCUCGUGUUCGUCUAUCCAUUUUUUCUAUUGCACUAACGUAUAUAACUCAAAGAGCACUUAUACAUACACACCCUUACAUUUUAUACAUGCAUCCAACAUCUUCUUUUCUCUCUAUCUAUCUUUUCCUAUCAUAUUAAUAAUCUAUCACAUUUAAUCAUUUCACUCUCUUUAUUUCUUUCUCUCUAGGAAAUAAAAGGCAUAGAAAGAUUAAUUGAAUAGUGGUCCAUAAAUUGAAAUCAAGGUGUAUAUAUAUGUAUUCUUUACCAUUCAUGCGCAGCAUACUAUAAGUCGAACGUGAUGGCUUCAGAACCAAGAAAGAGAGGGCAUGACCCGUACAACCAAGUUCAACAAUACUUAUGUCAUUAACAAUAGGUACGACACUAUAGCAUAAUAAACAAUACACAACAAUUAAAGCAAAGUGUCGUAAAGAAAUAACAUAGUAGAUUUGGUAACCCAAUUCGAUGCAACGCCACUUACAUCUGAAAACAUCAAUGCCAAAAAAGGAAAUUCACUCUUAUAGUAUUGGUUCACAGUCUUAUGCAAACACCAUUCUUGCCAUAAGACUAUGAACCUAGGGUUGUUUGCAUAAGACUAUGAACCAAUACUAUAAGAGUGAAUUUCCUUUUUCAGUAUGGAUGCCUCCAGAUGUAGGUGAUGUUGCAUCGAAUUAGGUUACCAUAUCUCAUGUUUUCUUUCUUUACUGCACUUUACUUUAAUCAGUGUUUAUUGUUUAUUGUGCUAUAGUGUCGUACUUGUUGUCAAGGACAUCAGUAUUGUCGAACUUGUUGUCUAAGACAUUAGGUAGAACAUUUGUCUAACGAGUGCCUUAAUUUUAGUAAAUGUGGAAAAAAAAAAUUGAAGAAAGAGAAGGCAUGACCCAUACAACCAUUUUCAUGAAACCUUUUUCAAUCUCUCUUUUCUCUUGUCUUUGCUAAGACUUUGUUUGAGAGUUUGGAGGAAAGAGUUUUGGAAAAUAAAAAGGAGCAAGAGGGAGAAAUAAUAAACAAUAGGAGAAGAGGGCUUUGUGGAUUCAUUUUUUAUUCAUUCAUUUGGGGAACUCGGAAAUUGUAUUGGGGAGGGUUUUGGUUGGUUUCAAAGGGUUUACAAGAAUUUUCAAAUUUAAUAUACAUUGUUAUAAUAUAUUUUUUUAAGAGUUGUUAUAAUAUUCUUAAAAUUAAAAUAUAUUUAAUCAUUAGUACAUGAGCAUUGCUAUUGAGUACGGGAGAUUUAAUCACGGAAUUUGACGAAAUGGAAAACACACUAACCAAUCAAGGGUAAAGUUGUCAUAUAAAAAUGGAUUAAGGAUAAAACUGUAAUAACAAAUACACAUCAAGUUCAAUCGUUGUUUUUCGUGAAAAUGGCUCCGUACUAACUAGCAUUUCCGUUAGUACAUAUCAGUUUAUCAUUCUCUAAAAAAUCGCACUUCCAAAAUAUGUGCAAGAUUUUUCCAUUUUUCUAUACGUUUCCCAACCCCUAAAUCUCUCCAUUUCCCUCUCUCACACCCAAAACUGAAACCACUUUUCUCCAAUUCCUUAACAUCCAUUGUAUCCAUCCAUCUACUCAUGCCCACAAACUGUCACCCCACUAUGAAAAAUUAAAAAAUCAAGACCAAUCUUAUCCUUUACACACAAUAUUAAUUAAUCGAUAUAAUUGUGUUGAAUAUAGACAAAUUAUCAUGUUUCCAAAUUCCAUCUACCAACAAAUUAUCAACAACCUUUGCAUUGUAAAACUCUACAAAACGAAUUUCUGGAGAUUGUUAUGGGGUGUAGACACAUAAUUUCUUGUUCUCCACUACCUUUCUGUCCAUAGAGAAGAACUUGAACUCAUCUCAAAGAAACACCCCAAAGAUAAGCUUACAUAAACUCACUGCACCAAAAAACCUAAUAUUAUUUUAAAAAAGAUAUUACAAACAAUUUAAACAAAAAUAUUCUUCAUUAACUACUAAAACUAUAUAUAUAUAUAUAUAUAUAUUCUUACUACUGUUGGAAUCCCAAUGACAAAAAUGUUGUAUUUUUUUUUUUUUUUGGUUCAAUAGCCUAGUGGCAAAUAACAAACUUUUGAAAGUGUGGAAAAGUGGGAAAUCCGAGGUUCGAACCCGGCCCUUGCAAAUAUUCUCCCUGUUAUACUUGUGACCAAUUUAUUAUUUAAGAAAAUACUCUAAGGUGUGCAGCAAUCAAACUACUAAACCUUGAUAUUGUUUAUGGGGAUGACAAAAUCACAUUCACAUGAAUUACUUCUAAGAGAUUAAAAUAAAUAAGUCCAUUGGAUCCCAUAUAGUUCUCUGAAAAUUGAGAAUAAUAGAAGGAUAAACCAAGUAAAUGGCAAAUAGAAAAGCCAUUUAACAUUGAACUUGAUUUAACUAUUGUUCAUAUUCAAAUAGUUAAGAAAAAUUGUGAAAACAAACCUAUAAAGGUUUCUCUCAAUUCCUUUAAACCGUGUCUAUGAGGGCAUUAAGUGUGGAACCAAUUUUUUAACAAUCAACCUUCAAUUGCAGCACAUUAAAGAAGUGAGAGAGAUUCAGGUCAUGAGAAAGACACAAGAAAAGGGUUUGAAUUGUGUUAACUUUUUCUUCUUUUAAACAAAGUUUAAAGUUCAGCUUCUGAUAGAGUUCAAAAUCUCAAACAAUAUUCAGAGUUAAAUGCAGCGUAUAAGCACGACAAAACAAUUAUCCUGGUUCCUUCCACAAUCCGGAAGUAAUCCAGUCCCCUUGUCACUUACAAGAGAUUUUUCAUAAUAAUCACACAAGAUUACAAUUGCUCAAGCACACAAGCAAGAGACUUUCAAUGCUCAAGCACAUAAGCAAGACUUCUUAUGAAUAGAGAUUACAAAGAAAAUUGUUUGAGUUGAACACUUGAUAUACAAUCAGUGGUGUUCACAAAAUACAACACAUUUCAGACUCUAAGACUUAUGAAUUUCUAAGGUGUGAAAGUUUAUAAGAAAUUCUAAGUGUUUGAAUGCGUAUUUCAAUUUGACAGAGUAAUGAUACUUUGAAAAUAUUGCAAAGUCUUGUAAUUUAUUCAAGUCUUCAAUCCUUUAUAUAGAGGUUGAAAAGAUACGUUGAAGAGCGUCAACGCAUCAUUUGACUCAUUAGAGAAGCUUGAUCAAACUGUUGUAUUUUUCCCAUUAUUUUUUAUUUAUUUAAAUAAGUGGUAAUUAUCAUUAAGGGCCCAUUAUGAUAAUUAUUCAUUAUGAUAAGGAAUUAACCAUUCUUUUCCUAUAGAGACACAAAUGUAGCUUCGUAUAAUGUACAUGAGAAUGUUGGAGGUAGUCGUCGUACUAUAGUUUGUUGUUCUUCAUUGAAAAUGACACACAUUGACUCUCUGAAACUUUAAACAUCCGUAGCUGCAUCUUGCAGAGACUUCUGUACGUUUGGAUCUUCAGCUAUCCAGAGUCUGGCCUCCAGAGUCUUAGUAUCCAGCUUUAGGGUGAUCUAGCUUUUUGGUUUCCUUCAGAGUCUGACUUCUUCAGAUUAUGGUUUGCCUUCAAAAUUUGACUUCUUCAUAUUCUGGUUUGAUAUUUAUCUUCUCUUGAAAAUUCUUUGCUCUACAUUGUUCUUUCAGAACCACUACAUGAUUAAGACAUUAUAAAUUUUUUCCUAUGGUCCUGCACACUUAAACAAAUAUUAGCAUAUCUAAUUGAUCUUUUAAUACUUUGUGUUGGAUCUUUGUAUAUUGGCUUCACUUUUGCCUAAAACAAAUAUGCAUGUGAGAUGUUGAACACGAUGUGCCAACAUCUUGGCAUGGUUCAGUUGACCUGCACCUUGCCUUGUUUUACGCACGCGCUAUUUUAUCUAAGGAAUCCACAUUUUUAUUCUUGUUGGUCAAGUUGCGUGUUUUUAGCACAGGAUCAGAUCGUUUGUGAUUUCCUAAGAAUGAGCUAUCUACUUAGGAAAGUUUGGAGGUGAUCAAUAUGUUCCUAAUAAUGUGCCUAAAUAUUAGGAGUUUCCUUUACUGGUUCUGCUUUUCGUGAAAUGGAUCACCGAAUUGUUCCGAAGCCCAACAAUUUUACUGACCCGUAUUGCUUCAGUAUUUAAAUAAGACUGGAAGACCUAGAGAAUUAAUUCAAGCCGUCAUUUGAAGAAUAGAUCAUGUAGGAUUUUGAGUCUGUUAUUUGUGAGCCUUUCGUGUAUCAUCUUAAUGCAUGUUUAGGACUGUGUUUGAGUUGUAAAUUGUGCACUACUCCAAAGCUUUUAAUUAAAGAGUUAGGUAGUUUGUGAACUGCACCAAAGCUGUGAAGUACGGUGUUUAGUUAUUUUGUUUUGAAGGUAAAUUCAUUUGAUUGUAUUUGUAAUUUGAGAAUCACAGGGGUUGUGAUCAGUUGUAAGGGAGUGAGAUGAGAUCUCAGAUCUAGGAGUUCCUAGGUUGAAGUCAGUACGGGUCGUUCCUAGGUCAUUAGUGCAAACGAGGAGUUUGCUGAGAGCUAUUGAAUAAGAACUACACUAGUGGAUUUCCUUCUUGGCUUGGUAGCCCCCCAGAGUAGGUGACGUUGCACCGAACUGGGUUAACAAACUCACUGUGCCAUUUACUUUUUUGUUUGUUUCUUUACUUGUCUGCUUGUUAGCUUAAUGUUCCAAACAUAUUGUUCAACAUUUGUUUUUGUGUAAUUGGUGUUGCAACAUCGCAUAGAACAUCCUAAAGCUAACGUUCCUGAAUUUCACUUUGUUAUCAUCAAAACUCAAGAGGUAUUUUUUAAAACUCAUUUUAGUUAGGGAGAGAAAUAUAAACGUAUCCAAUUGCAUAUCAUUAUUAAUGUUUUGAAUAAUUGUGUAAUGACCCAAAUAGGCCCAAGUGAUAGAAUAGGCAUUACAAAUUGCUGCCUUUACAUGAUGAUGAGAAAGGGAAAGAAUUUGGCACGAAUAAAACAAUUUAAAUACAGUUAAAGAGAAACUACAAUUACAAUUUAGUCAAGACCAUGGUUGUCAAAAUCGCAAGUCGUAAAAUCGCAAUCAAAAUUGAAAGAUUUUACUCCUAUAAGAUCUCAUAAAUAGGAAAUGAAAGACAAAUAAGGAGAAGAAGAAACAAGCGGAUAUAAAAACGGAUAGAGAAGAAAGUCACACAAAGGUUAUCUCGUGUACAAUGUGUCUUUGGCUACCUAAGUGUUCCCUGGAAAAUAAAUUGUCUCUUCUCUUCAUGAUUUUGGGGAGUUAAAUUUUUCCAAACAUAUGAAGGAUAUAUUUUCUUGAAGCAAACAUAUGAAGGAUUUAUAUCAUGCCAUUGUCAACUCUAAGUUGUUUAUACAGUGCAUUCAUCUUCUAUAACUAUUAAUUAAGGAAAAACAUUGUUUUGCUGUAGCGUUUUUUACUUUCCAAGAAUACCUUUAUUUUAUUCUUCAAUUUUAAUUUUAAUUUACACAAUUUGAUGAUAUGGACCGGUAAUAACAGCUUCCAUUGAAAUGUAGGGAUAACUGAUUUGAUGCCCUCAAUCAAACAAAAACUGGAUGAAAAAAAAAAUAAACAGCCUCGCAUCAGAAUAGAUGUGAAGUUGAAACAUGGAAUUUAGUUAUAAAACUGAUAUCAGGAAAUCUGAGAGGGAGGAGGGAAGCCCACAAAGGAAGGGAGCGGCAUAUAAGUUGCGGCUUCAAAUUGCGCUCUCUGCAUAUAAAAUUGUUGGUCGCUGGAACAACCAUAAGAAAGUGCUCUUUCUCUAUCUCAACAUCUCUUUAUGUCCUUUCUCGAUCUCUCUAAUCUCUUUAUGUCCUUUCUCGAUCUCUCUAAUCUCUUUUUUUCUAUCUAAAUUAUGUUCCGCAUCCUUUCGUACAAUUGCAUUGUUGAUUCUUUGAUUUCCUUUUUUUUUCUUCAAAGAAUGGGAAAAUGUUAAAAAUAAAAAGAGUUAAACAGGAAAAAGGAAAAUAUUUAUCGCGUGAAACAUCAUUUACUUAUUCAUGUUGUUUAUCUGCUCUAUUCUUCAGUUUCAGUGUGAAGGAUAGAUUCUUUGUUCAAUAUUAUAUUCUUCAUUUUUUUCCUAUUUAACAGGAAAGUGAAAACUAAGAGGGAUAGCACAGAGAGUUGAAUGAGAGACGGGAAGAAGGAGAGACAGGGAUUGCAAGUGGUUACAUAUCAAUAAAUUAACUAAUCGUUGGAAAGUAUUCCAAGAUGAAAUGGAAAUGUAUUACAUUAUAAUUCUGGAAGUUCUGUUUCACUAUAUAUAUGUAGUUAAUUCCAUGAAUAUUUAGAUAAUCUUUUAUUUAUAUUUCUCCAAUUUUAGUAUGUUAGAAUCAUUAUUGCUUGCAGCAUGGUAACUGUGUACAUUUACUUCUUUUUAUUUUACCUUACAACUGUUACAUUAUUUUACGUGGAGAAACAACCUUAAAGAGGGGAAAUUGGUGGCAAUGCAGAGGGGCUGCUAUCAGCCAAGAUAGACAGAGAGGUUUCCUCAUCGCUUUCAAUGUAUGCUACAAAAAAUGGUCAAAACGUCAGCUUUUCUAAGCCUGGACAGGGUGCACGACCGUGCUCCCUGGGGACAUGACCGUGCGCCCCCAAAACAAAAAAAAUGUCGUAUGAUGAGCAUCGUCGUGCUCCCAAGUGGCACGACCGUGUGCGUUUGUCAGGUGUCAGAAAUCGCAGUUUUGCCAUGAGUUCGCUUAAAGGGAGCUUCCCAAAACCCCAUUUUCGACCUAGAACUCAUCAAACUCGACCCUAAACUUUAACCCAUGAUUACCAUAUCAUUCAAAUACCGAUUAAUUAUUUAUUAACAUAUUAGAUUACCCAUUAUUUUCAAGGCUAACAACUCAAUUCAAAAACCUAAACUUAUUUCCUCUAUUCUCAUCCUUCAACCUCAUCUUUUAAUUCAUUCGUCAGCAAUCUCUAAUCACAAUCUCACAUCAUAACAACAACAUCCUACUCUAACCUCUUUACAACCCCACAAUAAAAACAUAAACCGGCCCUAUAGAUGAAUAGAUUCUCCCCUUACCUCGAAUCCAUAGAAACCUUCGGUUUGGCUCGGUUCAAUGCACUAGGGUUCCGUUUCUCUCCUUCUGCUUCUCUUCUCUCUUUCCCCGGAUCAACAAAACUGAUUUCUAAUCCCUAACAUUCUCAUUUAAACAUGGUCUCAAUAUUCGUUAUGGUUUUCCUCCUUUCCUACGCGCUACAAUUUUACUUCUUCCCUCCCCCACUUAUUUAAAUAUUACUCUCUGCAUCUCCGACUCUUUAUUUAUCUUGUUUGGAUUUCUCUGUUCGUUUCAUUUAAUUUCUCAAACCACUCCUCACUCAACAUCGUUAUAUUAUUCUCUUAUCAACAACAACUGAUCAUAUAUAUAUAUAUAUAUAUAAAAGCAAAACAACACCACUCAUAAUAUUAAUUAAACUUAGAAAAUUAGGGUGUUACAAUUCUACCUAUACAUGAGAAACUUUAUAAAAUCACCAUCAUAAAUUUUUAAAAAUAAGUGUAACUUUGGUCCAUUUUUGCCUCAAUCUUUACGGUCACGACCUUCAUUUUUCGUCUUCAUUCUCUUCAUUCAUUGCCUUGUCUAUCUCCUCCAUAUCUCCUAUGGUGGUCAUCUCUCUCAAUAUAUAUAUGGGGUUUGUUAGGAUACACCCACUAGUUUUUGUUAAGGUGUGUUUUAGCAAAGAUAUAACUAAAAAAUUGUAAAAUACACCUUCUAAAACAUAAGUGGAUGUAAGUUAGCAACUCCCACAAGCAUUUGUUAAAAUACAUCCACUUAUUUUUUAGAAUGAGUGUUUUAACACGUCAUAACUAAAAAGUAGCUAAAUACAUCCAAAGGUGCAUGUUGCUAAAACACAUCUUCAUAAAAACUAGUGGGUGUAUCCUAACAAAUACCUAUAUAUAUAUAUAUAUAUAUAUAUAUAUAAACUCAGUCUACAAAAUAAAACUAAAAACUUGCUCAACAACAAACUAAUUUAAAAUUAGAUAGUGUUUGAUUGAACAUAUGUUGCCACUUCCAAAAUUCAAAUUUGAUAAAAUUAAUUUGUUUAAACCCCAUAUCAAUUUAAAUUAAAAAAAUCCAAAACACGGUUGCCUUUUUUGCUUAAUGUGUGAUCUAAAUUGUGAGAUAGUCGAUGUCAUCAAUUUUAUAUGAAGUCCAAAACUUUGUUUAGUUUUACUAACACUCUUAACAUGUUCCGCAACAAAAAAAAAGGAUAGAAAAAUCCAAGAAGCAUGACAAAUGGUGAGACUUGUUGUAUAUGUAGAACAAACAAAACAUAAACUUUUUGUUCUUUUAUCCUAUAUAUUAAAUAUAACACCCUUUAAUCUAUUAAUAAAAUGCAAUUAGAAAGAAAACAAAAGUGAAAGACUUUGAAAGGAAAAAUUAAUAAAAGUAUGGUAGUAAACUAGCUUGGAAACCCGUGCCAAGCACGGGCUAGAAUUCCGACUAUUAUUUUUUAUUUUUUUAUAUAAAAUUUAAUUAAACGGAAAAUUCAUUAUUUUAUACACAAUAUAUCAAUAAAACGCAUCGUUAUCGUAUUUUCGAUUGCGUAUUAUAUACAAAUAUCAAUGUGUAUAUAGUUAUUUGGAUUUUCGCAUCGUUAAACAGGAAUGAUUUAACGGAUGUAACGUCGAAAUAUUAGUAUUUAAUACCGGAAUAUUUUACACGGAUGACAAAAAUUAAUAACGGAGACAUGAGUCUUGUUUUUUUUUUUUUUGUUGUUCUGCAUAUAACUGGGGGUAUUAGAGUCUCGAGACCUACCACUGCAUAUACAAUUAAUUGUCCCCACCCAACAAAUUGUCUCUCUACCAAAUGCCCUUAUAUCUAGUUUAUUUCAAAUUUCAUGAUUUCUAUAGCGGAUACCCUUAUAUAUACAAAAUUAAUAUCGUGCAUACACUUGAUUCAUCUUAACAUCCAACACGAAUUUGUAAUUAUUCAAUCGCGUAACAAAUAAGUAUAACAAACAACGACAAAUACACCAACUAUCUAUCACAUUUUUUAACUAAGCAUAUUAUAAAAUAACCCAUCAACAAAAACACAAAUAAAAAAGGCUUGAAAAAGGGACUACAAAAUUGUCAUGUGCAUGCACAUAGACAUAGGCGCUCCAAAGAACAAAGAAAAAAAAAGACGGAUAUAUAGCUGAUUGUAUAAAAUAAAAUGAAGCAGAACGACUUACAUUAAGAAAAAUGAGAAAGAUCAUAAGGAUACUAACAUUAUAAAUAACAUUAAAUUGAAUAUGAGAAUAUUGGAGUUGCUCUAUCAAAUAAUAGAAAACUGAAGUCUCAGUAGAUAAACACCUUAAUUUAUCAGGCAGUGUUAAUUUCGCAGCCGAAGAGAAGGCUUGCACCUAUUGCAAUUGGUCAAUUAUAUUUUAAUACCAUAGAAAUUCCAUUAACGUCAGCUUGUGUACAUCUGAAUGAUAUCAUAUCACCUGAAGCACUAAACCAGCACCGGAAGGUGCAUGAGACCAAAAAUAUUGUGAAAAAGGGAUAAAAAUAUAUUACUCCAUGUAACAUAUUAGUCUCUAUAACAAAUCAAUCACUCAAUCUAUUCUUUGCACAACAAUAAAUGUCAUUGGAUUUUAUACAAUGAAAUAAGAAGUUUGAUCUCAACUGUUAGUUGCUGAAUUAGUUUAUCUACAUGACCAAUCCAUUACUCUUUCUUUACGCAACUAUUAGAAUGGUUGCGAGUAGCAACAACCAAUUCAUAUACAAAUAAUAUAUAUAUAUUACAACCAAGUUUAAAAGAGAGAAAAAAAACUCAUACCCACCUACAUCAUCAGGAACGACUGGUUAAGCGUUUCGAAAAAUAUCACGGUACACAACAUUAGUGGUCUCAGUACACACGCGAUUUUCUUCAUCCUGUAUAAGCAUUUUCAAUCCUUUUUUGGAAGUGACUCUGGACACAGCGACGUACAACUGUCCAUGAAUAAAAACCGGUUCGGAAAGUUAGAUUUCAACGACUGACCCUGACUUUUAUUUAUUGUCAUUGCAAAACACAAAACCAACAGGAACUGUCUCGUAGUUAAUUUGACAGGAAUUUUAGGAUCACUUGGAAAUAAGUUCAUUCUUGGAAUAAUUACUUUUUCACCAGCAUUUUUUCGGUGAUAAGAGUUGCACCGAUAAAGUUCUUACAAAGAUUGUCUACAAUCAACCUAGUCCCAUUGCACAAUCCAGUUGCUUGGUCAAUGUUCCAAAUCAACGUAACUGGACAUCCAACUGUAAAUCUCAACUUGUUGUUUGAAAUAUCGAAAAACUUCAUACUGUUUAAUAACUCGGUGGUAAACCAUUCGCUUUGUACCUCAUUAUUCUCGUCUGAUUCACAAACCAAAUCAAAACUGAUAUACUCCUUUUCGUCUACUGGAACCAAUGAUAGGAGGAAUUUGUUUACAUGCUCAAUUGCAUCCAGUGUGGGAGCAAGUAUCCCCCUCUCUUGGAAAAAAAUCCGAGAUCCUUAUGUUUUGCAAAAAAUCCGAAUAUACAAAAUGAACCCGAUAAUGCAACGGAUCAGAGGAAUCUUUUAUCAGCAACUCCUCAUGAAUGAGUACGUUAAUUUCUCCACUCUCGUUGGCAAAUCCUAUUCCAUCUCCAAUUGAAAGCAUCCAAUCAACAAACUUUCUUAUCUCAUCUUGCUCGGCACGAACGGUUGAAGCACGUAAACGCAUAUUUGUUGUAAGUGUGAAAAUAUUACAGUGACUCCACAACUUUGAUGAGUUGAUGGAUGAAGCAAGUAUGUCUUGUCUGCAUCCUUUUCUUAUCACUGGCAAAAUUUGUCUGAAAUCAUCGCCCGAAACCACAGUAACACCCCAAAUGGUUUGUCUGUAUAAUCGACAACAUCAUAAGACAUUAUAUCGCGCAUGGUUCGGUCAAAUGCCUCAAAACAAUAACGAUGCAUUAUUGGUGCCUCAUCCCAUAUUAUUAAUUUUGAACAUAACAGUUUUGUCGCUCUCUUUAUCGAAUCCAUAAUUUGACGCUUUGUACCUCAUUAUUCUCGUCUGUUUGCAAACCGAAUCAUAACUAAUAUAUUCCUUUUCGUCUUCUGGAACCAAUGAUAAAAUGAAUCCGUUUACGUGCUCAACUACGUCCAGUGUGGGAUAAAGUAUCCCCUGCUCUUGGAAAAAAUCCAAGAUCUUUAUGUUUUGCAAAAAAUCCGGAUAUAAAAAAAAAAAAAAAAAUCAAGGGGCUGAAAAAAAUCUUAAUAUUUAUGGAGAACAUUUACAUAAUUAACCAUUUUUUACUGUAAAAUUUUGUUUUUGGAUGUCAUUCACUUUCAUUUUUUUUUUUUGUAUUCAAACUCUAUUUUUUCAAACUCCUUCGCAUAUGAGCUAUGAUGUGGUGUGACAAUGAAAAAUGUACAUGUGUUAUGAUGAAUUUACAAAAUACAUGUUUAUUAUUAGACAUUUUAAAAUGAUACAACGUUUUUUUAAAUAAGUAAAUUUUUUGUAAUAAUUACCAAAAAAUCUUCAACUCCUUCAACAAAACCACAUAAUUACCGAUAAUUCAAUCUAUUUUUUAUACUCUCACGGACAAAACACGCACUACAUAUUUUUCACCUUAAUGUUUCUCCCAUGUUCAAUUUUCUUCUUCUUCAUGUUUGUUUUAUUUUUCUAUCUAGUUUCCUUUCUCUAUUCUCAUGGAUGAAAGGAAUAUAAACCUCCCUUCAUGAAAUCACCACCAAUCAACUUUUUUAAACAUGAUGUACCUAAUUUUGACCUUAUUUGACUACGUUACAUAAUUAUGGACGUAGAUAGUCACAUUAUUCAUUAGGAUAUGUUAAUGUGUCAAAUGUGAGUUAACAUUAUACACUGGAUGGAAGAGUAGAUUUUGAACAACAUAUAAGUGAGAUGACCGAAAUACAUAAUGUCUUAAGGUUUUAUGUAAAGAUGUGGUGUCAAACUCACUUGUAUGGUUGUUACCGACGUAAUACGUUCAUCUAAGAUGUGGUGUCAAUCUCACUUGUAUGAUAAUUUAUUUUGUUAGUUUUCAGUUGUCAAAUGUUUAUUUUUUUUUAUCUUAAACUUUAGUUAUUGGAUGUCAUUCUCUUUCAUGCUAUAUUUUUUUUGUUAUUCAACCUCAACUACUUCAAACUCCUUCACUUUUAUUCUUUGGUGAAAUUUGACAAUGAAAAAAAACAUAUGUGUGUUGUUGAUUUGACAAAAUAAAUACUUAUUAAAAAUUUUAAAAUAACGUGGCGUUUUUUUAGUUAGUCUAAUAUUUUGGUUAAAUAUUUACUAAAAAAUGUCCAACUCCUGAAUCGAACCAGUAAAAUUAUCGACAAUUCAGUUUAUUCUUUAUACGUUCCCAUAAAAGCACACACUACUUUAGGAUGCUAAAGUAGAUAUUACAUAUAAGUUAGAUGACCAAUAUACUUGAUGAUUUAAGGUUUUGGUUCAUUUUGUGGUGUCAUUUUUUCAACUCCUUCAAAAAAUCCACAAAAUUACCAACAACCUUUGGACAAUAUGGUUGAGAUAUGGUUUGGGUAAAAAAUCCCAAUUAGCAUGAACAAUUAAACCAACAAACUCUUUUAGUAAAAAAUCAAGAUGAGAUAUGGUUUGGGUAUAAGGGAUAUUUCAUUUGUCAUUAUUAAUUUGAAAUAAAAAUUCAUUUUCUUGUUCAAUGCGGUUUUUCAACUUAAGGGUUUAAUCUAGUAGUAGAAGGACAAACUUUGAAUUUCGAGAUUUUGAGUUACGAACUCAGCUAGUAUCCUUGGAGAUAAGUAAACAUAAAUAUAUUUGUGAGUGCUCUUUUAUCUCUAAGGUGCAUGUAGAGAAGGGUGGCUAUAGAAACACCCUAUCUCUAUUUACUUUUGCGAGGGACCCCUAAAUAAAUUGUAUAAAAAAAAUUGUUGAAAAUUCGUAAAAUUGAAAUUUACAAAACCACUGAGUUAUUGCUAAAAUUUAAUUUUUGAUAUCAUUCAAAUCUCCUUUUAAAUUGUGUUUGUUACUAUUAUUUCUUUAAAAAAAGUUCCUUUAGAAUAUGUCAGAGAGACUUUAGGCCUUAGGGUGUGUUUAUUGCAAGGUUUGUAAUAUGACUCCUAGGAACGUGAGAUUAGAAAUAUGCAAUAUUUCCACGUAUGUUUCAAGUUUUGAAAAUUUGUUCCCAUGAAUAUUAUAUUAUGAGGAAUGUUAUUUACACAUGUUUUCUUCUAUUGUUAUUUUCAUACUUAAAGGAUGGGAAUCUAAAAUUUUCAUGGUAAUAAAACUCAAUUUGCCAUAAAUUCUCACUACCAUUAACCUUUAUUUCCAUUUUUAUUUUUUUAAUUAAUUAAUUUCUAAAAUAUUUCAGGAAACCUAAAUUUUUACCAAGCAUGGGUAGGUAUUUCGUUUCAAGGACUGUAAUAUCUUGCCUUGAAACAAACACACCAUUAAUUUUUCAUAAAAUAAAUUGAGGCUUUUGAAAGACUACUAUCAUAAUCUACAAUUUACAAUUUAAAAAAAAUGUCAUUUUUAUUAUAAAAAAUUUAGGUGAGUUAGACUCUGGAAGACACAUAGAGAUCAAGAUAUGUCUCAUGACUCAAUGAGCACUUACAAAGUUACUCCCUAUUAAAGAUAUCAUCACACUAAUAGUGGUGUUUGAAUCCACGCCCUUGAGGUUGAGUCAACUCGUUAUUAGCUGAGCCAACCUUGAUUAGAAAUGUUAUUAUUAGUAUUAAUAGCAAAAAUAGUGAUUCAAAACAUGAUAUCAUAUAAUGAUAUCAUUUAAAUAACUUUUUUUUUCCAUCUGACCCAAUAAAUGAGACAUUUAAUAGAAACAUUUUAAUUUAAAUGGUCAUAUUAAUGAGUCUUAAUUUAUUUUAUCAUGAUUAUACUUAAUAACAAAAAAAAAAUAAAAAAAAUAAAAAAAUUAAAUUAUUCAAAUUGAAGUAUUCGAAAUUUAAUGAUAUUUUAUUUUUGAAAAUUUAGCGAUAAUUUUUUAAAGUACAUGAAAUAUUCCUUUUUAAAAAUUGGAUGUGAAACAAAGAUAAAAAACUUAAAAUAUUUUUGUUUUUAGUUUAUUUAAAAAAAAUAAAAUAUUCAAUAGUUUUUUCUAAGUAACCUCAAUUAUUUAAAUUUCAACAGUACAUCAUUUUUUAUUUGCUAUAUAAUUAAAAAAAAAAAUUAUUUCAUUUAAUUUAAGGCUACAAUUAAGGAUCUUAUUUAAAGAAUGUUUUAUUUUUUUUGUCUGACCUAUUAAACGACAAAGUUUAAUAUUUAUAGAAUCAACCCAAUUCAAAUGACACAUAAAAUUUAAUUAUUUUAAAUUAUAUAAAUAUAAAAUUUCAAAAUUUAAUGACAAAUAUUUUUCUGUAAAUUAAAAUAUUCUAUUAAAAGAAUUGAAUAUAAAACAUUGUCUUGACUAAAAAUUAUAUUGUUGAUGUUGAACAUCUUGAAGUCGUAGAACGUAGACACAUGCUCUCCAAUGGAACCCUAAGAAAGUAGCAUUAACAAUAAACAAUUAGAUACAAAUAAAAAAGAAAAUCAACCCCAUAAUCUACAACCAAGUGAUUAAUCUUAUAUGCUUUUAAAACACAUAAAAUACUCAUUUUUACGACGAAAAUUUUGGGAGGAAUAGACACAUGAAAAUAAUGAAAAACAAAGUGUUAAAAUCAUUGCGUAAUCAAUUUUGAUUGGCUGGUGAAAACUAAAUGAGUCAUGGUCCGUCUUGAUUGGCUAAUAAAAAAAUAAAUGAGUCAUCAUUCACUUUUGAUUUUUGGUUGGAUUUGACAAUAAAAAAUUGCAUGUGUUUUACUAAUUUGACAAAAAUAAAGGGUUGUUAUAUUUAUUAUUAAACAAUGUGACAUUUUUUUAUUUAGUUUAAUUUUUUGGUAAAAUAUAUACUAAAAAAUUUCAAACUCCUUCAACAAACCUGUAAAUCACCAUGAAUUAACUCUAUUCUAUAUACUCUCAUAGACAAAGCACAAACAUUCUAUUUUUUUUCCUUAUCAUCUCUCUCAUUUUUGAAUUGCUUUUUUGUCUUCUUUCUUUUUCUAAUUUACUUUCUCUCUUCUCUUCAAUAAAAAGAAUAAAAACCUUCAUCCAUUAAACCACCACCAACCCACUUUUAUAGCAUGUUAUGUCUUCUCUAAUCUUAUUUGGUUAAGUUACCAAAUUACAAAUGUACAAAGUCUUACAUGUAAAGGAGAUAUGUUAAUAUGUCAUAUAUGAGUUAAAACUCCAUAUUGGAUGCAAGCGUAUGUGGUGAGAAACAUAUAAAUGAGAUGGCUCAUAUACGUGGUGGGUUAAAGAUUAGGACGAAGAUGUGUUGUAAAUUUCAUCUUUGUGGUUAUGCUUAGCCUAAUACGAUUAUCCAUGAGAAGACUUUUGGUAUUUGCUGGAAAUUAACCAUGAAAAAUAUUGAUGUGUUACUUGAGCUGAUAAAUUACAUAUUUAUUUAACAUUUUAAAUGAUGUGAUAUUUUUUUUUUUAAUUAAGUAAAAAAGAAAUGGUAAAAAGAAAUGUCAUAUUAAGUAUUCCCUUAAUUAAGGGGUGUGAUUGUAAAAAGAAGUGGUAUACUUAUUCAGUCAUUUAAAUUGAAAAUAAAUCAUACUUACAUCAAAUUGAAUAAAAUAUCUACAUUUACGAUGAUGUGUAUUAUUUAUUUUUUUAUGAACGAUGAUGUAUAUACUUGUUAGUAAGCAUUCCAUUAAAAUUCACCAAAAGAAAAAUAUGCUUGUUGAUGGACAUAUUCAAAAUUACCAAAAAAAAAAUAAGAGAAUAUAUUUUGAAUUGUGAACGUUUUUCAAACAAAAUAAACUUGUUAUUUUUAAUUUAUUUAUUUUUUUAUAUGUGAAAGUUUAGUGAGUGAAUGUCUGUCCUUACUCCUUGCUUAGCAAAAAAAAAGUUUAGUGAGUGAGACUCCAAGGACUCGUCUGAAUUAGGGUAGAUUUUGAGAUUUAUCAAGCUCUAAUCGAGAUGCUUACGUAUCACCCAUCAAGAAGUUUUCACGUUAGAAGUAAAAGCAAAACUCACGACAAUUGAACCAAAUCUUCGUUGAGUAAGAAUAUAUGUUUUUGAUACUAAAUGGGAGAAAUUCCUAAAUUGAAAGUUGAAUUAGGAAAACAUGUUAGUACCACUUGAAAGACAUUUAUUAAUCAAAUUAGUAAACGCCCACAAUUAAUAUAUAUGGGCAUAAUUUGACCCAAAAAAACAAAUAUGGAUAUAAUUGAUUUUUCGUGUAAAUGCUGAUAUAAAAAACAUUUAAUUUUUUUGAUAUGAAAAACAUUUAAUUUAGAAUGGUACCAUAAUCAUCAUGGAAAAUUUUAAAUAUUUAUUUGAAUAUUUUGUUUUAUAAAAAUGAAAUAUCAUAGCAUUAAAUGAGGUAGGAAAUGAGAGAUCGCCACGUGUACUUUAUAUAAUAAACAUUUGUCUUGCAUUACAUUAUUUUUGUCAAAAAAAGUAAUGUAAGACAAAUAUUUAUUAUAAAGAUAAAGAUUUAUAGUGUGAUUGAGAAUGUGCCUAGAUUGUCGAUAUAUGUUGAUUUAGUUGAUAAUAAAUUGACUCAGAUCUCCGUUGUGUGAGUAUGAUUCUCACUAUCAGCGUUAGGACAUUCUCGAUGGAUAAUACAUAUAUACGUUUGUAAUCUCUCUUUGAGCCUUGAGGUUUUCUCUUUGGACUCAACUCACCUAAAUAAAGAGAGAUAUUGACACACAAAAAACCUCACCUAAAUAAAAUUAUUAUAAAAAAAAGACGAAUAUGUUUUUUUACGGGAAAAGAUAGUAUGUUUAUAUGAGUAAAAAAAGAAACAUACUUGUAUGGUGCGCCUUUUUUUUUUUGUUGCUAUUUUUUAUUGUUAUGAAAACAUUAAGAUAUAUUAAUUUCCAACUUUUAAUCUCAUGAUAUAAAUCAAUGCAAGAUUUUUCCUAAAUAAUUCCUUUCCAUUUGAAAAAUAUGUACACUUGAAUGUCUAUGAUUAGGAAAAAAAUGUGAAGACCAAAUGUUGAUUGCAAUUAAAUUGAAGAAAUCAAAUAAGAAAAAGGGGACAAUAGCCUUUACGGGUUUUCAAGGAAAGUAAUGUCAUUCAUUUUGCAUAUUAAGUAACGCUAGCAACACACAUUUUAACAUACAUUUUUUAACAGACUCUCUUUGAUUAGUUAAAACUCACAUGAGUUCCACUAAAUCUAUAUGGGUCUCACAUGAUUUGGUGGGACCCGUGCACAUUUUAACUAAUAAAAAAAGUAUGUUGAAAAAUGUGUGUUAAAAUGUGUGUUGUUAUCAUUUCUCUUUUCAUAAGACUACCUUUUUAGAGGUUUUAAGAGAUCAUUUCAUUAAUUUUAUUUAUAGUAUAAAUCAUUAUAGUCAUUAAUUUCGAUUAUUAAUAGCACAUGCAUAUUCAUUCGUUCGCAGUAACAAAAAAAUAAUAAAAAAUUCGUUAGAAAAUAAAAAAACAUGCAUAUUCAUUCAAUAAUAAUAAAUGGUUUUAGCAAAGAGCAUAUACAUUAAUAUACACGGUUUUAAUUUUUUUUUCUUCAAUUUACUAUUAUUUUGUUGCAUACAUUGAUACACCAUAAAAAAAAACUUGUAAUAUUCGGAAGAAAUAAAAAAGAAUAUUGUAAAUAAAUGCUAAUUUUUUUUACAUCAUGUUCAUUUUUUAAGUGUUUUGAAUCUGAUUGGCUUGGAAAUUAUCAUUGGCUUGAAUGACUUAUAAUAUAAAUGAUGACAUAUAUAAAAUACAAAUGUCUUUUUCAGUUAUUCAUAACACAAAAUUCAUAAUAAUAUCCUCCACUUAUUUGGUCAAACAAAUAUCGUGAGCUUAACUCAGUUGGUUUAUCUUGCAUUUUUUGCAAAAAAAAAAAAAAUACCUUCCAUAUUUAUCCUGCAUGAUUGAUGCAUUUAUGUGUAUCAUUAAUCAUUUAGUAACAAAAGUCAUUUAUCUUUAUUGAUACAUUUAUGUGUAUCAUUUAGAAACAAAAAGAAGGUCACAUUUAUGCAAAAAUUAAUUUAUAUUUCUUUGGAGGGGACUAAUUAGCUAUAAUUUUCUUUAAAAAUAUAGUGGAAAAAAUCGACUAUGUUUUUGUUGUUGGGGUUAACCCUCCGGUCAUGGAGGAAAAGGACCUGAGUAAUUCUUGCAAAGAAGAAAUUAAAGUCUUAUCAAGAAUUAUUUCACAAAAUAAUCAAAAUCAAGUUUUCUUAAAUAAUUUAUCUUUUAGUAGAGCUCGUUAACCACUCUUGUCCUAUUAAUUGUUUCAAAUUUACAAUUAUUUAAAAUGAUUGUACUACCCCUUUAAGAUCGAAAAUAAUGUUGUGAUGAAAAAACUAAUCCGAACAAUAUUAUACGUAUAAAUGACAUAAUAAGAAACACCAAAUCAAUAUUUGAAUUGAAAUAUCUAAAGGUACACUAUCCACUCCGCAUAAUUUCACAAAAUUUAGUUUGUAUUCAUGUUUCCUUGUCCAAUAAGCUCCAAGAUUUGUAGCGCAACAUCAAAGUAGACCUUUCCUUCAUUCAAAUCCUUCUGAAAUUUGUAGAUCAUAUUUAUUCAUACAAUAGCAUGAAUUUUGUUACCCUGAAAAUGCAAGUAGUUAAAUAGAAGGAAAAAAAAACGGAACUCUGGAUAAAAAAAUAUUUGAAGGAAAACUAAAUACAAAAUUUUCACACCUACAUGCUAUAACAAAAAGGCACAUAAAUACAACCACAAUGAAAAACAAUCAUAAAAAGUACACUCUAAACCUAAAUUAUGAACACAAAAUGUCUUUUAUUUUAUGAGAGGAAGAGGUAGAUGGAGAUAAUGAAAAACAAAUUGUUUAUAUAUAGAAAAAAAGCAUGUCAUGAUCAAUUUUGAUUGGCUCAUAAAAAAUAAAUGAGUCAUGAUCUCUUUUGAUUGGCUAAGAAAAAAAUUAUGAGUCAUGAUCCAUUCUGAUUGGUUGAUAAAAAACAUUAAAUGUAAAUUGUGUGUACAUAAGAAAUAACAUUAAAUGAUCUUUUCAUAAUAGGUUGCCACGUGUACUUUUAAAAAAAAAAAUAGUGCAAAUAUAUAUAAUAAAGAUAAAGAUAGCCAUCCAAUUAAUCCACAAAAAGUAAACACUUACAAAUUAGAGUUCCUAAAAUCGUGUCACGAAAUAGCCAUCGUGACACGUUUUAACCAAUGUCGAAUGAACCUCAUCAUGUGCUUCAAAUCGUGACACGUUUUUCAGUAAUCGUGACACGAUGCCCUCUUUUCAGUUUCUUCAGUUUUUUCUCUUUUGCUGCAUAAGUUGCCUUGUGAACUUCAAUUUGUGAUCAAAAUACAUAUAAAAAAAGACUCUAGAAAUAGCGAAUGACGGACUGUCAUCACCUCCUUUAGACUAAAAGGUUUUAAAAGAUCAACUCCCUGCGACAAACUUAAAGAUUUGAAAUUAAAGUAAGUUUUUCUUGGACAUUAGAAACCCUUUCCACUUAAUGACCAUUAACAUUUAUAGAGUAGAAUGCAAUAGAUUGACAUCUACAAGAUAAAAAUCCAUGCAAGAAUUUAGAAAUCCCUGUUUCAAUCAACACAUUCUUGAUUUCUAAUAAUGCAUGCUUGAAUUGAUUCUUGCCAAAAAGUGUAAAUUUAUCCCUGUUUCAAUCAACACAUUCUUGAUUUCUAAUAAUGCAUGCUUGAAUUGAUUCUUCCAAAAAGUGUAAAUUUGCAGAUAAACAAUGAAGCUCCUCUACCUCAUCCCCCUUUAAUGCACUAACUUCAGCUUUUAAAUUUAAAGAUGAAAUGCGGUCUUUAACAUCAAGGAUUCUGCUUUUCAAAUUUUGGGUAUAUUGCUGAAACCAGGAUUUUAGACUACCUUUAAUCAACUUAAAUUUUCUUUUAACGCAAAACUUCUCCAACCUCACACUUGAAAGGAAUGUCAUUACUCUUUAACAAACUAUGAUAACCUAGAAGGUCCUCCCAAGGGCCAAGGUCCCCAAUUCUUCUCAUCAAUAGAUAAAGAAACCAGACAAUGAUCNCACUGAUCACGAAGGAACGAGUGAAGAGAAGAGAGAAAGAAGAUGAAGAUCUAAACCGGCAAAGAAGAAAAAAGGAAUCAAACCAGCAAACAACAUCGAUUUAUUUUCGAUUUCCAGCAAAAGUCAACAAACAAGAUCAAAUCGAAGAUUUUCGAAGAAUCUUUGAUUCGAAAUUUUCCAGAAAAAUCACAGGUAAACUCAAACCUCAUCUUUUCUUUCUCAAGAACAAUAAUAAGAACGAAUCAAUGUAGAUCUUCAAAGUUUCAAAGAGUUUCUUUCAAAAAAACUGAAAACCUAAAAAAAAAAAAAGAUUUCAAAACCGUAACAAAAAAUGUAGAUCUACAAAGAUUCAAGCCUUGCAUGUGAUUUCUAGCUUUAGAUUCAUGAUUAGAUUGAAAAGACGAGUGGUUUAGGGUUAGUUUGGUUUAGAUCUGGAAAAUUAGGUCAACCGGAACCUGGAGUUUCUCGCCGGAGAAGAUGAAGAUUCCGGCGAACCUUGAAGGUUCUGGCCGAUCUUCAUCUUUCUCAGCCGUUUCUUUCAGAAACCGGCUAAGGUGAGAAGAGAGAGGGAGGAGAGAGGCGAGAGCUUCUCUCACUAGUUUAGGGUUAGAGAGAGAGAGAGCAUAGAAGAAUGGAAAAACCGGCGUGAGCUCGCUUUUAUAGACCCCUAGACCGGACCGGUUCAAGACCGGUCCAAUCCCUUGCAAUCUUGAGCGUUGGAUCUAGGGUUUCCCUCCCUGGAUCAAUCCAACGCUCCCUUUGCUUCCAGGCUUUUAGGUUUUGGGCUUGGGCCUUUUUCUCUCCAGUUUCCUACGUUUUUUUUGCUUUUUCCUGCUAUCUGCACCCUGCUUCUUUGCUAAUUGAACCUCUGCAUGCUCAAUCUUUUCUCUAAAAAUUCCUAAAAGAUUGUUAUAUGUUUCUUAGUACAUUUUAACACUUUUGUGAUAUUUUUCAGUGGUUUAAAAAAUGAUAAAAAUGUGUGUGUUAUUUCUUCUUGAUCAAUUUUGUGUUUGAUCUAAGUUUGUGUAUUUUUGUGGUAUAUUUUCUCAUAAAAUGUUGGCAUGUGAUGUGGAUGAUUGGUGUGUAAUUUCAUGGUGAAUAUGUUGCUGAUCACAUGUAUGUUUUGCUGAUUGUGGAUGUGGAUUUUCAUGUCUUUCUUGUUUUGCAAGCAAUGUGUGUUUUUAUCAAGAAAUAAAGUGCAAAAUAUCUUUAAAAAAUGUGUCAUGAUUCUUGGCUUGAAUAUGUCCUAUUUAUUCCCACAUUAUAGCUCAAAAUCAAACCCCUUUAACAUUGCUAUAAUGAGGGGAUUAUAGGUCAUGUGCAUGUCUAAGUGUCAUAACCAAUUUUAGGUAUAUUUUGCCANAAUCUCUUUUGAUUGGCUAAGAAAAAAAUUAUGAGUCAUGAUCCAUUCUGAUUGGUUGAUAAAAAACAUUAAAUGUAAAUUGUGUGUACAUAAGAAAUAACAUUAAAUGAUCUUUUUAUAAUAGGUUGUCACGUGUACUUUAAAAAAAAAAUAGUGCAAAUAUAUAUAAUAAAGAUCACUCACUCUCCUUCACAGAACUUCCCUCUCUUUCUACUUCAUCCCUUUCAGAAACAAAAAAAAUAGAAGUCAAGAAAGUAGAAAAAAGAGAGAUAAGAGAAGAAGAAAUUUUUUGUUAACCUCCUCCUUGGUUCUUCCAAUUUUUUGUUUUAUUGAAGGAAAUGGUUCUUCCAAUAUUUAUGAGUAAACUUACCUUCACAAACCAACCGUAAGUUUAAUGUGGUCAUGAUUCAGUUGGUGGUUUUGAUGUGAAGUUACACAUAGAAAAAGUUUGAAAUGGUAGUAGGGGUAUUUUUCAAUUUAAAAAAAGGCCACACCAAAAACAAAAUUUUCCCCCUUUAUUAGAUGUUAUAGAUUAUUGUCCUAGUGAGCUUAACUCAGUUGGUAUGGACAAAACAUAAUAUAUGCAAGGUCCGGGAUUCUAACCCCGGCCACCACAACAAAAAAAAAGAUGUUAUAGAUUAUUAAUUGUCGUCCUUCCCAUCGUUUUUGCGCCAAGAUCAUAUAGGUGCAAGUAGACCCAAAAAGUUGGAAAAACGCAGUCUCGUGUGGUGUCCCCAUUACAAAGGGUGGCUAUCUUCUCAGUCUACAUUUGUCGCCGACGCCUUCGUCUUAUAUUCUUCAUCCGCCUUCUCUCUCGUAUGGUUGGUUGUUUCCCAUUUCCUUAACGUACCUUCUCUCUCUCAUACAGUGUGUAGUUUAUUAUUUCUUACUUUGGUCGCUACUCCUUGUGUUUGAUAUGCUAGAUGAUGGGUUGUCCCUCACAUUAUAUCAUCAUUAUAGGCAUAGCUCUCCAAUUUACCAUAAACUAAGCCGCUAAAAAAAGAAAAAUUAACACAUAUAAUUUCAUCUAUGAAUUAUCUACACAAAAACAAUGAAAAUAAAGUAGAGACAGAGAGAAAGAAUGGGAUAAGAAAUAGAAUGAUAUAAAAGAGUUGGGAAGGAACUGGCACCGCUAGAAACUCUCGAUUUUCCUGCGGAAUACUUGCGGAAAAGAGUGAAUAAUCCGCAGGAAACGUGUUUCCUGCGGAUUUUGCCAAGGAUUUUCACUCCCAGGUAAUACCUUCGUGGGUAAUUAUUUCCUGUGGAUUUUAGGAACCGCAGAAUAUAUUCCUACGGAAAUUUCCUCAGGCAAAGUGAAAUAUAUCUGCAGGAAACCUUUGGUCAGAGUGGGAGUAGUUUCCCUGCCCGUGAAUGUUUCGUGGGAAAAUACCGCAGGUAUUCCGAACGGGACAUAGCAUAUGCUUCUUUUUAAAACCAUAUAAGGAGUAAAAUAUCCAAAAAUAGCAUACACUAAAAAAAAACAAUGGCAAUAUAAACUUGUUCAUUGUAACAAAAAUACUAGUCAUAAAAUACAUCAAGUCUCCAUAUGAAGUUACAGAAGGGAACAUGAUUCAUGUUAUGGAAAUAACUACAAUGUAAUUUUGCACUGUCUUAUGCUCUUAUUCUUGCAGCGUGCUCUUCUGCCAAUUGUUUCUCAAACCUUGUAGUUUCCCCUUCAACUUCAACUCAAUCUACAAAACCAUAUUCAAGUUCACGUACCCUUGUUUCUCUUUCCAUUCUCAAUUACAUGACAAGAAAAACUUCAGAACUAAUGCAGGUGCCUUAUUUUUUUCUGUUUUAUCAUCAAACAACAAAAUGAACCCCCACAACUUGAAACUCUUCAAUUAAAACCAACAUGCAAAAUCACAAAAUGUCCUUCAUGUUUCUGCAUGUUUUGAUUGACAAUGAGUUUGGUAGAGUCAUAGUCUUCCACCGUGAUUUUAGCAAAAACUAUACUUUGAAACUUCAACAAAAUCACAGUGUACCUUAAUUUUGACAAAUCCCAACCGUCUGAGUGGGGAAUGUCCAAAUUAUAACUUAGAUGUGGUCGACCAGAUAAAUCCUGAAAAAGAAAAGAGUUAAAAUGCAGUAGUGAAGUGAACAAAACAAAUUAUUAGUUUCAGAGGACUAUGAUUCACACCUGCUAUCACAAUUAUUGUAAUGGCCUGAAAAAUAACGAAUACAUACCAGUGAAACGUGUAUCAAUGCUUCAUCAAGAGGAGCAGAGAAGUCUCCGAACGGGUUAAUUCCUUUUCUAUCUCCAAGGGCUUGCAACAAAGCCUGCAGAUGUCUGAUGUAGUAACAGAAAACUUAGUUUAAUGAGAUAAUACACGAUCGCAAUUUCAAUAAGUUCCAUGAUAAAUGCAAAUCUUAUUCACUGUAUAAUAAAUCAUGCACAUCAAUAAUUACGUAAAAUCUUGAAAUCAAUAAAGUGAAGCAAUUUUGAGUUUCAAGUUAAGAAAUUGCGGUAUUACGGUACGUUCCGAAAGCAAAAGCAACAUCUUCAUUCUUCAUUUGUGUGAUGAUCAUCAAUGUGGCCUUCAAGUGUAUGUCAUAUAGUCCAUGUGAAGCAAGUUGCUGAACAAUCACAAUCAAGUUUAGGUUACUUCAUUGAACAAAUUUUAUUUUCUAUCAUGAACAGUUCUUAAUUUGCACUUUGAAGUUAGCAUCAAGAAAGCAGAAAGUAAUUUCCUAACUAUGAACAAUGAUCAGAUUAUGACUCAGAUCUAUCCAAAAAAACAACUCAACAUCACAAGACUGUUUUUCAUUCCACAAAACUAUCAUUUUCAUUCUUGUUUUCAAAUAUUUGUAUAGAAAAAGAAAAAAUAGACUAUAUUUGCAUAUGAAACAAAGAAAAAAAGAUAGAUUUUUUAAUUAAAAAUGAAAUCAAGAAACAUCUAAACUAUUCCAGUCAUCUGAAAGUUCUCCCAUAUCAAACCCUGAUCAUUGUUAAAUAACAAAAUGUAAGGUUAUAAUAUAUACUUAUCUGUGCAUACUUAACAGUUAUACAACUAGAAAGUAAUAUCAAUCUAAAUCUAAGUGAUUAAGUAUCAAGUUUAAUUCCAUUGCAGCAGUAAUGAGCAUCAUUUCUUAUGCAAGCUAAUAAUGCAGGAACAACAGAAAAUUGUGUAAUCAUAACUGUUAUACCCUGAUUUUGGACCUAAAAAUACUCAUUCAAAUUUCUUUUCUAACACUGAUACUUGUCAAUUCGCUGUUGUUUUACUCUGAAUCUUUGCUCUCUUUUCAUCUGCAUAUUUUACUAUCUCUGUCUCAAAGUACGUUCAAGCUCGAUUUUCUUGCAUAAAAUUAUUCAAAGUGUCUUUUCUUGCAUUACAAGUCAUUUAAGAACUCUCUGAAACGUNNNNNNNNNNNNNNNNNNNNNNNNNNNNNNNNNNNNNNNNNNNNNNNNNNNNNNNNNNNNNNNNNNNNNNNNNNNNNNNNNNNNNNNNNNNNNNNNNNNNNNNNNNNNNNNNNNNNNNNNNNNNNNNNNNNNNNNNNNNNNNNNNNNNNNNNNNNNNNNNNNNNNNNNNNNNNNNNNNNNNNNNNNNNNNNNNNNNNNNNNNNNNNNNNNNNNNNNNNNNNNNNNNNNNNNNNNNNNNNNNNNNNNNNNNNNNNNNNNNNNNNNNNNNNNNNNNNNNNNNNNNNNNNNNNNNNNNNNNNNNNNNNNNNNNNNNNNNNNNNNNNNNNNNNNNNNNNNNNNNNNNNNNNNNNNNNNNNNNNNNNNNNNNNNNNNNNNNNNNNNNNNNNNNNNNNNNNNNNNNNNNNNNNNNNNNNNNNNNNNNNNNNNNNNNNNNNNNNNNNNNNNNNNNNNNNNNNNNNNNNNNNNNNNNNNNNNNNNNNNNNNNNNNNNNNNNNNNNNNNNNNNNNNNNNNNNNNNNNNNNNNNNNNNNNNNNNNNNNNNNNNNNNNNNNNNNNNNNNNNNNNNNNNNNNNNNNNNNNNNNNNNNNNNNNNNNNNNNNNNNNNNNNNNNNNNNNNNNNNNNNNNNNNNNNNNNNNNNNNNNNNNNNNNNNNNNNNNNNNNNNNNNNNNNNNNNNNNNNNNNNNNNNNNNNNNNNNNNNNNNNNNNNNNNNNNNNNNNNNNNNNNNNNNNNNNNNNNNNNNNNNNNNNNNNNNNNNNNNNNNNNNNNNNNNNNNNNNNNNNNNNNNNNNNNNNNNNNNNNNNNNNNNNNNNNNNNNNNNNNNNNNNNNNNNNNNNNNNNNNNNNNNNNNNNNNNNNNNNNNNNNNNNNNNNNNNNNNNNNNNNNNNNNNNNNNNNNNNNNNNNNNNNNNNNNNNNNNNNNNNNNNNNNNNNNNNNNNNNNNNNNNNNNNNNNNNNNNNNNNNNNNNNNNNNNNNNNNNNNNNNNNNNNNNNNNNNNNNNNNNNNNNNNNNNNNNNNNNNNNNNNNNNNNNNNNNNNNNNNNNNNNNNNNNNNNNNNNNNNNNNNNNNNNNNNNNNNNNNNNNNNNNNNNNNNNNNNNNNNNNNNNNNNNNNNNNNNNNNNNNNNNNNNNNNNNNNNNNNNNNNNNNNNNNNNNNNNNNNNNNNNNNNNNNNNNNNNNNNNNNNNNNNNNNNNNNNNNNNNNNNNNNNNNNNNNNNNNNNNNNNNNNNNNNNNNNNNNNNNNNNNNNNNNNNNNNNNNNNNNNNNNNNNNNNNNNNNNNNNNNNNNNNNNNNNNNNNNNNNNNNNNNNNNNNNNNNNNNNNNNNNNNNNNNNNNNNNNNNNNNNNNNNNNNNNNNNNNNNNNNNNNNNNNNNNNNNNNNNNNNNNNNNNNNNNNNNNNNNNNNNNNNNNNNNNNNNNNNNNNNNNNNNNNNNNNNNNNNNNNNNNNNNNNNNNNNNNNNNNNNNNNNNNNNNNNNNNNNNNNNNNNNNNNNNNNNNNNNNNNNNNNNNNNNNNNNNNNNNNNNNNNNNNNNNNNNNNNNNNNNNNNNNNNNNNNNNNNNNNNNNNNNNNNNNNNNNNNNNNNNNNNNNNNNNNNNNNNNNNNNNNNNNNNNNNNNNNNNNNNNNNNNNNNNNNNNNNNNNNNNNNNNNNNNNNNNNNNNNNNNNNNNNNNNNNNNNNNNNNNNNNNNNNNNNNNNNNNNNNNNNNNNNNNNNNNNNNNNNNNNNNNNNNNNNNNNNNNNNNNNNNNNNNNNNNNNNNNNNNNNNNNNNNNNNNNNNNNNNNNNNNNNNNNNNNNNNNNNNNNNNNNNNNNNNNNNNNNNNNNNNNNNNNNNNNNNNNNNNNNNNNNNNNNNNNNNNNNNNNNNNNNNNNNNNNNNNNNNNNNNNNNNNNNNNNNNNNNNNNNNNNNNNNNNNNNNNNNNNNNNNNNNNNNNNNNNNNNNNNNNNNNNNNNNNNNNNNNNNNNNNNNNNNNNNNNNNNNNNNNNNNNNNNNNNNNNNNNNNNNNNNNNNNNNNNNNNNNNNNNNNNNNNNNNNNNNNNNNNNNNNNNNNNNNNNNNNNNNNNNNNNNNNNNNNNNNNNNNNNNNNNNNNNNNNNNNNNNNNNNNNNNNNNNNNNNNNNNNNNNNNNNNNNNNNNNNNNNNNNNNNNNNNNNNNNNNNNNNNNNNNNNNNNNNNNNNNNNNNNNNNNNNNNNNNNNNNNNNNNNNNNNNNNNNNNNNNNNNNNNNNNNNNNNNNNNNNNNNNNNNNNNNNNNNNNNNNNNNNNNNNNNNNNNNNNNNNNNNNNNNNNNNNNNNNNNNNNNNNNNNNNNNNNNNNNNNNNNNNNNNNNNNNNNNNNNNNNNNNNNNNNNNNNNNNNNNNNNNNNNNNNNNNNNNNNNNNNNNNNNNNNNNNNNNNNNNNNNNNNNNNNNNNNNNNNNNNNNNNNNNNNNNNNNNNNNNNNNNNNNNNNNNNNNNNNNNNNNNNNNNNNNNNNNNNNNNNNNNNNNNNNNNNNNNNNNNNNNNNNNNNNNNNNNNNNNNNNNNNNNNNNNNNNNNNNNNNNNNNNNNNNNNNNNNNNNNNNNNNNNNNNNNNNNNNNNNNNNNNNNNNNNNNNNNNNNNNNNNNNNNNNNNNNNNNNNNNNNNNNNNNNNNNNNNNNNNNNNNNNNNNNNNNNNNNNNNNNNNNNNNNNNNNNNNNNNNNNNNNNNNNNNNNNNNNNNNNNNNNNNNNNNNNNNNNNNNNNNNNCCACUAAAAUAAAACCUCAAACACUUUCUCCCCCCCAUUCUUAACAUAAGUAAAUUUCCUUUUUCAUAAGGAGCAUUAAAAAUAAAGCGUAGACAUAAACUAAGAAAACGGCUCCUAUAGAGUACUAUAGUCACUGCGGGUGCCUAACACCUUCCCGUAGUGAAAACGACCCCCGAACUUAGAAUCUAAGGGUUUUUUCUCAAUUUCGCCCUUCCCAAGAAAAAAUAGAGAAUAUCAAAGAUUGAAAGGUUCAAGCCUAAUUUAUGACUUGACACCCGAAAAUCGCGAUAACAAUAACCUAUAUUGAUUUAGCAUUGACACAGUUGGAUAACCUUAGUACACAAAUCAAUGAAAAGUAAAUAUAGAAUCAGUCCAUUUGUUGUAAUAAUGAAAUAAGCAGAAAGUAGAAUUUCAGAGAGAAGGCUAAAGACAAAGCAUCAUUAAGAUAUACAUAAAUACGAAAACAAAUAGAAAAUCUCAUAAAAGAUGCAUUUACAUAAAUUAAGUUAUUAUUGUUCACUAGGUGAGAAGAGAAACUAACAUCUUUAGACGUUAUUUCAUUUCAGUGUUGUCGUUAGUAAUCCCGUGUUAAUAUAUGCAACAAUACCUGUGGAAUUUCCUAAGGAAACGUUGAAAUAAUAUUCGUCAAUAUAUCGCAGGAAAAUCCUCAGCUAAAUAAAAGUUACCUGCGGCUUUUUCAGCGGCGUUAGGAUUCGCAGGAAACUUCGCAUGAAUCCUCAGGUAUUCCUGCGGAUUACUUUCCGCAAACAUAUCCGCAGGCAAAUCGAGAGUUUCUGAAGGCGUGGAAAUUGCAGUGAAUAUGCAUACAUGGUUGCAAAAUGAACUACCACAAAUGUUUCUCCACAUUUUGCCUUUCACUUCCUUCCUUUUCUUUGGCUAUGUGGUGAAACACUAAUAUUAACUUCUAAUUAAUGUUGUUAUUAUUUUAAUCUAUCGUUUUUUUAAACAAACCCAUAUUUAUUCAAUCGGUUUCAAAAUUAAGUUUCAAUGGUUUUUUUUAUCAUUUUUUUUAGGGAAAGAAGCUUAUAGCUUUUCAUUAUUAAUCAAAGUAUGUAUACAAUGUGGAAUAUUAGGAUGAUAAUGGAAACUAGCAUGAUUUAGUGUUUCCCUAGCUAGAUUAUGGGCAACACUAUUGGCUUGUCUCCUAAUGAACUUCACAUCAGAGUUCGCUAAAUCAGUCAUUAAUAGGUGUCUACAAUCGUAUAUUAUGGCCAUGAAAUCUGAGACACCAUCCCUCUUAUAGAUACUUUCUUCCACCACUUUUGAGUCCGUUUCGAAAUUCAUAUUUACCAAAUUUAGGUCUUUCGCCCAUCGCAUAGCAUGUAGGAGUCCUAUAGCUUCUCCCAUUUCCACACCAAGUAAAGGUGUGAAACACUCAGUACAGUUUAUAACAUGAUUUCAAGUUUCAUCUCGAAUACAAGCUCCAAAUCCUACUUUAUUGAGAGAAGCAAAAGGAAGCAUCAAAAUUGUACUUGAAUCUCCCGACACUUGGUUUUGACGACUUACUUAUGUCGAAGUGCAGGUUUCCUGACGAGCUGCGAAUCCUUGUCUCUUGCGCGGUCUUCCAACUAUCUAGGAAAGCCACCGCUCGGUCACCAAUCUGUUGGGUUGUUUCUACAAUAUUAUUCCACACUUUCACUACAAGAAACAUUACAUUUUGUCAGGGAUUUUGACAGGGGCAUGAAACCCCUGGGAAAUAUCCCACGGCCUAAGCCAAGGUAAAUCCCUGGGAAAUGGACAUUGGGGAAUCCGGGACCACAUUGCAGGAGGGACUCACAAAUGCCUAUUGGGAAAAUGGACAUUGGGGAAUCCGGCCUAAUGCUUAUUGUUUAAAAAGGAGGGACUCAAAAAUAGUAUAGUACAAUAAAAUUGUUUAUUUAAAUUAAAACUAUGUUAGAAUUAUUUUUGUUAAAUUAAAAUCUGUUUUUUAAUAAACUAAAAAGAGUUUUCUAAUAAAAAGUAAUAAUAAAAAAGUAAUAUACAAACAAGCCCUUUUAUUUGAACCAAUUAAUUGUAUUUGGAAAACAAAUUAAAAAAAAAAUCAAUUUUUUUAUUAAUUUAAAUACGUUUUAUUAAUUAAAAUUAGUUAUAGAAUAUUUAAUUAAUUAAUAAAAAUUCGGUUUUAUAAAUAACAUAUUUUAAAAAUAAAAAAAAUAUACCAUUUGCCAGGGGUUAAACCCCUCGCAAGUCCUUGAUUUUUUGCUGAUCUGAUUUGACCUUCCAUCAGUCAAUCAGUGCGUCAGUCAGAGCAUACUGCACAAUAGGAAAAAGUGAGGGAAUAUGCCAGGGCUUAUGACAGGGACAAAGUCAAGCCAUAUACCAGGGGUUGAGCCCCUCGUUUUUUUCCCAGGGGUGUAACCCUUGACAAAAUGUUUGCGACGAGCGCUUUUGCCAAUACUUCCGCCCCUGGAAAAUUCCCUCACAAAUGUCCCUUUUCCCAGGGAUUCUGUCCUUUUCUCAAGGAUUUUGCCCCUGGAAAAAGGUAAUGUUUCUUGUAGUGUUUGUUGUUCCUGUGUUUCCAUAAGCUUCAAAGGGUAACCGCAAAAAUCUGCUGUUGAGCGAUGUCUAGCUAUUGGAGUAAGGAAAAAAUUAUAUCAGCACUAAUCAGGUACCUGAAACUUAUGAAAUAUUGAUAAAUUAUGUCAAGAAGAAAAUAUCUCAAUGGAAUGAGAUGGAACCGAAAUGAAGUCAAAGUCGACGUGUUUUUGAAUAUAAUAUAGCGCUAUAUGUGAUAAGUAAUAAUGAGGAUCAUGGUUUAAAGUCUAUUAAAGUUAUAGAUAAUGAAAAUAUUUACAAAUGAAAAGAGAAAAUUCUAUUGAAAUCAAACUCACUUCACAAAGUAGACCUUGUUUGGACUCGUAGUCUGUGUAACGCCCUAUUUAAUUAUUUGAUUAUUUUAUUGGGUUUAGAGUCUAUUUAUAUGAUUUAUGUGAUUUAAAUGAUUAUGUGGUGUGUUGUUGUUUUUAUUAAGUGGCUUAUUUUAUUAUUUAAUAGAAUAAGAUUUGAAAAUAAAAUAAUAUUAAGUUGAGGGGGCUGUUUUGGAAUUUAGAAGAGUUUAGUGGAAUAAGUGGAAAUAAGAUAAAGAGAGUUGAGGAAAUAAAUAGGAGAAACUAAGGUCAGAUAGUUUUUUCACGUGAAACCUGCUUUUGGAGAAAAAGGGAGAAACCAAGAGAAGAGGAGAACCAAAGAGGAGAAGCUUUCGAUCGAUUAACCUAAGGUAAGGGUGGGACUAACUUUCUCUAAUUCUAAGUUGUAUGAUUCUGAAACUGGAUUUAACAAGUUGUAGGUUGUAGUGUUGGGGAUUUGAGAAUUAGGUUUAAAAGUUGGAAAUUGAUUAAUUAAGAGUGGGAAUCUGUUGAAUUGAUGUAGAAAUAGUGUCCAGACCUUAGAUUAUCCAUAGAACAAUGAUUAGAAUCAGUUUUAAGGUUAGAAGCAUGGAAUUAAUUAGGUGAGUUUUUGGUGAAAACUGUAUUCUGCCCGAGCUGACAUUCAUCGCCCGCCAUAGCGAGUAGCUUCUCUCUCCUCGCGCGUGAUGAUCUUCAUCGCUCGCCUUGCGAGUAAUUCCCCUCGCCUCGCGAGUGAACCCAGUUGUCGCUCGCCAUUGCGAGUGAAAUCGCUCGCCAUAGCGAGUUACCCGGUGAGAAAAACAUGAUUUUUGUGAAUUAACGUUUUGGGUCAAGUUUUAGAUGGAUUUGAGUGCCUUAACAUGUUUAGAAAUGAUUAGGAAAUUUUUUAGAUCAAAUUUGGGCAUAGAGAAGUUAAAAAUGUAAUUUUUGAGUGAAAAAUGUCAAACUCCCGAGAGCCAUCAGUUUUAGCUCGCCACAGCGAGUAGCUUACUCGCCAUAGCGAGUACCCCCUUUUCUGAACUCGCCAUAGCGAGUAGAGUGGCUCGGCUCGCGAGUUACUCAGUGGCAGUCAGCCUUAGUUAGAGUUCUUGCGAUCUUUGUCACACCUGAUGUUAUGAGUUGGUCUUUGGGGUAGAAAUGGAAGUUGUUUAUAAAGGUAUAGCCUUUCAGUGAAUCUAAAUUAAAAUGAUUAAUGUUGUUGGUUAAUGUGAAAUACAUAUAUUAUGUGGAAAAAGUAUGAUAUAGAAAAUAUUGUUGUUCAUAUCAUUCAAGUUGAUAUUAUUAAUGUUGCUAUGUUGCAAGUUGUUUUAUGUUGUUGUCUCUGCUGUUGUUGAUUAUUGAUAUCAUUAAGUUGCAAAUGUUAGUCUAAGUUGCAAAGUUGUAAGUUGUUGUUCCAAGAUAUUGGAGUCAUAUAAGUUUCUGAAGUUGUCUAAGUUGUAAGUUGCUGAGUCCAUGCAUGCUCAUUAAAGUUGAGAGCUUGAUGCCCUGUGAGCCUAUUUGCUUUUUAAGUUGAGGGCUUGAUGCCCUGUGAAUAUAUUUAUGCUCUAUAUGUUGGGGGCUUGAUGCCCUGGUUGGUACCACAUGCAUGAUUAAGAUGUUGUAGUUGCAUUGUCGAGUUGAAGUUGUUGUUGUCGCAUUGUCGUUGUUGUCAAGUUGUCAUCUAUCAAUGAGUGGUUAAUGAAGUACUAUAUGAAGAAUUAUUAUUAUUAACUGAUGAUGUUUUUGUUGUUAAAUGCAUUUGAUGAAUUAUAUGCUUCUUAUUAUUGAAUGUGAAAUUUCACCCCUUCUGUUUGAAUGUUGCCUCUACGUGGGUAACGUGCAGAUAACUAAGGAUAGCUGUUGAAGUGAGUUGACUCUCUCACGAGUCGUCUUAGGGUCGCUCUGAUACGUAACGGGAUGGGGAUCUUACUUGUUUUCCAUGUGUUACGUAAAUGUUAUGAUUUUAUGUUGAAGAUUUGCCUAGACUGGAUUUUAAUAAGUUGUUUAAGUUGAGGCCGUUGUGCCAUUACGAUGUUUAAUUUAAUGUUUUCCGCUACAAUGAGAUUUAAAUUGAUGACAUGAGAUGAUUGAAAUAAAUAGUAAUUUUUCUAUAAUUAUAUUUUAAAGAAGUGUGGCAUCCUGUUUAGUUGUUUACUCUGAUUUUAUGCAAAAAAAUUCAAGUUGGGAAAACGGGGUGUUACAGUCUGCACACUUGAAAGUGUGAAAUUAAAUGGAUAUAUAUGAUUUUUCGCACGAAAAGGAAAUUAGAAUGGAUAUAUAUAUAGAGUCUGAUAUGUUCACCUGAAGUUAAUAGGUACAUGUCUACCAUUUAUCUUUAAGAGACAUAUAUUCUGUAAAGAAAUAUUCACCUGAAGUGAAUUCAAGAACUUUUUCAUACUUGAUUAAGUUCAGUACGUAGCACAUAAAAUGCUCAAAUUAUAUGAAAGAUGUGUUACAAUUUAUUUUUAUGGCUCACUUGAUAGUGAUAGUUAUAUGUAACUCCCCGAAGGAUUUCAUUUGCGUAAGACAUACAAUCAAAACUAUUGAAGAGAUAGCAUCAUUUGUCCAUUUUAAGAAUAUGGAAAUGAAUUUCUUAUAAUUGAUUUUAUGAUGAUCAUAUAAAUAUUAUUAGAACUCCUGAAGAGAUUCUAAAAUUAAUUUGUCAUAUAAAGGUCAAUAUGAACAAAUCUAGUUGAUUAUGUAAUAUAAUGAUUGUGAUGUCACUUGAUGUGAGUAAAGAUCACGUCCUCAAGAAAAUUAUGAACAAUUUGAAUUGGUCAGAAACAACAAUAUCAUCCUAUCAUUUGAAAAUGUUAGCACUACAUCAAGGAAAUAGAGAAUGCUCUUUAUUAAGGAUUAUGAUUUCACAUAUACGAGAAAGUUGUGGUUUUCUAGUUUUAUAAGGAGACUCUUUCUACAACUUAAUAUGAAGACAAUAUCUCAAGAAAUGCUAAUUUGGAGAAGAGCAUGGAGAUAUGCCAUAUCUUUUUACAUAGUCACCGUCAAGUAAAGGUUUUGGACAACCAGCAUAAAAGAUUAUUUGACUGUCAUCGUCUCAUAUAUAAUUGUCUUUAUGAGGGGGGGAGACAAAAAUGUGUUCUGCACUAUUUUUCCCUUAACCGUGAUUUUAUCCCAUUGGGUUUCCCUGGUAAGGUUUUUAACGAGGCAGAUUAAGACACAAAAGGUUGUUGUGCUCUUUUUCCUUCACUAGAAUUUUUUUUUCAUUGGGUUUUUCUCUAGUAAGGUUUUAAUGAGGCACAUCCUUCAUGGACAUCCAAGGAGGAGUGUUAUGAAUAAAUGAAAAUAUGAUGUGGAUGUCCAUUGUCCCUAGCCCUUCUAUUUUCCUUAAUAUUUCUGAGUGAAUGCCUAUAUUCAUAGUUAAUGACACUUAGUCCUAUGGCUCUUCAUGUACUUGUAACUUACCACAUGUGUGUCCUAUAAAUAGGACUUAUAUCUCAAUGUAAAGAACACACUUGAGAAGAGAAUAAUACAAAGUACUUUCAUCUUCUCCUUCCUCAUCUUUUUUGAUCUUGUGCUUUUACUUUAUUUUUUAACAAUAGUGGAUGUAUCUAAUAAAGGAGUAAUAAGUUGUAUCUAGAAAUUUGCAUUAGGUCUUAUUUAGGGAGAAACAAAAUCUCCGAAAAAGUCAUAUAAUUAAGGACAUAAAGAGAGUAUAUAUAUAUUGUUAGUUUAGGGUUUUGUAUUAAACAUUAAUCUAGGUUAAAAAUAUCUACACUCGGCCUUGUGAUACACAAUCUAGAGAGGUCUAGUUCAAACUCGGUAUUCCCCGUUUAUUCACCUUAAGGGUGAAAUUACGACCACUAGCAUAAUUGACGAAUAAUUUUUCUUUUAUCUUGCGACUCAGGGCCCUAAAUUUACCAAUGGUUUAAAAGUUUGAACCCCCUAACUCAGGAUCCUGACUACGCCACUGCCCGGGACCCAUGCUAGGUGUUAGGGUGAAUAUUGAAAUUGAAGUAAGUCUCACAUUGAAUAGGUUUCUGGGAUGUUGGAUGUAAAAAUGUGUUUACGUACCCUUAACCUUUGAGAUAGCUUCUAAAAUGAGAUUCAAACCCGUUUCACAUAUUAUGCUAUGCUACUUAUUCCAAGCUGAAAAUGUUAAUAUGCAAUGAGAAGGAUUUAAAUUUGGUUUGCAUACUGUUGUCAUGAACUCCAAUAAUUCCAACAAUCUUUUAUAAAUUGCAUAUUUUUCAAAAUGAUCGAAUCAUUAAAGGCUCAAAUAUUCAAAUAAUUUUAGCCAAAAAUCUAAGAUAGAUAGAUUUAAUAUACUGACAAGUUUCAGUGGGACGGAUCUCUUUAUUAUGCGAUGAAAUCGUGUACUUCUGGACUUAUCAAGGGCUCUUGAGAAUAUAAUUAGUUAUGAUUAAUAGUUAGUUUAGAAACAUAGUUAAUAUAUAAGUCAUAUGGUUAACUUAUUUAUGCUAUCUUUUCGGUUUGUAUAAUUUCCACUAUCAUCAAUACAAUAGGUUUAUAAAUACUGCCUCCGUCCCAAAUUGUAUUUCACUUUAAAAAAAAAAAAAAAUUGUCAUAAAUUGUAUGUCACUUACAAUACCAAUGAAACAUUAAUGUUAAUUUUUCUAUUAUAUUCUUAAUUAUUUAUUACUCUUUCUUCUUUCAAUUCUUUCAUUUAUCUUUCUCAUAUCAUUUAUUAAGGACAAUUUAGUAAGACAACUCAUAAUUCUUUUUCCCACACAAUAUUAAUUAUAUUUCUUAAUAUAUGUGAAAUGCUCAAAAUAUCAUAUAAUUUGGGACGGAAGAAUUAUCAAGUCUCAAAUCAUCAAGUCUCAUUAGGUUUAUAAAUUGCAUCUUUUCCAAAAAAAUCAAAUCAUAGAAGUCUCAAAUAAUCAAAUCAUUAUAGCUAAAUUAAAAUCUAAGGAAGAUACUCCCUCCGUCUCAAAAUAUAAGCAAAUUUUACUUUUUAGGUUCAUUCAAUUAGUGAUGUAUAUGGACCACAUACAUCACUAAUUGAAUGAACCUAAAAAGUAAAAUUUGCUUAUAUUUUGAUAUAGAGGAAGUAGUUUUAGUACUCACAAGUUUCAAUGAGAUCGAUCUCUUUAUUACGCGAUAUAAUUGUGCACUUCUGAACUUAUCAAGGGCUCUUGAGAAGUUAGUUAUGAUUACUUUAGUUAGCGUAUAAACAUAGUUAGUGUAUAAUUUAUAUUGUCGACUUAUUUGUGAUCUCUUUUCAAUGUAUCAUUUACACUAUCAUCAACACAAUAGGUCUGUAACUAUCAAGUCACAAAUCAUCAAGUCUCAAUAAAUUGAAUAUGGUAUAAAUUGAAUAUUUUCCAAUAGGUUUAUAAAUUGAAUAUGGUAUAAAUCGAAGGGAAAUGUUAACUUGUGAUUUAAGGGUACAUGUUAAGGUUUCAAAGAUGAAAAUUAUGCAUCAUAAAUUAUGCCAAUUUACUUCUCACAAGAUUAAACUCUAAUGUUUCUCAAUAAAUAUUUGCGUUUUGGCUCUGUUUGGUAAAAAUAAGCUAUAAUCUAGUUGAUAGUUGAAAAACUCGCUUAUUAAAAAUAAUAUGUUUGGAAAAAUUAGUUGUUGAAGUGACUGAUUAAUAUAAAAUGACAUAAAAGGAUUUUUUUUUCCUUUAUAAAUUAUACAUAUAAUAAUUUUUACUUCAUGUAUUUAUUUUUAAUUAUUUAAAUUUAUUUUUAAUUAUUUUCAUCUCCAAAAUGAUAAAUAUAUUUUAUGAAUUCAAUUUGACAUUUUUGAUUGAACAAUUUUUUUUUGAUGAAUUUUAUUUAAAUAAAUUGCUUUACUAUUAUUUAUCGUAAAUUAAAAUAAAAAAAAAAAGUGAACAACAAAUACAUAAAAAGCGUGAGAUGACAUAAAAAAAUGUUCCCUGGAAAAAGUGAUAUAUAAUGUCCACUAAAAGAAAUUGAUAUCAAACGUAGGUAGUAAGUGGGUAGUUUUGUUUAUUAAAAAAUAAUAAAAUUAAAUUAAUAAGUUUUAAAAUUGGAAGAAAGUAUAAAAAGUUAAAAGCUCAAAAACUACUUAAAAUAGCUUUUUAAAAAACAUCAUAAGCUAAUAAAAAAAGCUUUUUACUAAACAUGUUUCAUUCUAUUAAAACAAAUUUAUAAAUUAACCCCAAAAAAUUAUAAUAACUUAUUUGUAUUAUCAAACACAACCUUUGUAGAAAGCUUAACAUAGCAUGACCCUUUAUUUAUACCAACUACCGUACCGACUAUAUUAUUAUUAUUGGACCUCGCGCUCCAUGAUUUGCUUAGCGAAAUUAAAAUGCAUAUCACGUGUUUUUAGAUUACAAAAGAGAAGAGAUCUUAGAUUUGGUAUAAAAAAAUCGUAGAUGUCAUUUGAAAAGAGGAGUAAGAAGCCAGAAAAUAAAAUUUAACGGAAAGUGACACUUUUAAUUUUUGACAAAUUGACGACACAAUUUUCGGGUGGCAUUUAGCCUGAAAAAGGAAGUUUCUUUUCCACUAUGGGAAAGUCCCUUUCUCCAGGACAGCUGUAGGUUACAACUGGUUAUGUCAAAAAAAAAAAAAAAAACUCAGUUUAGUUUUUUUUUAAUGUUGUUUGUAACAUUGCUAUUGCACCUCUCACUUUCUCACAACAGCACCUAACCCACCUUUCGUUUCUACGAAAAAAGAACACUAGCAGUCGGUCACACUUAACCCAUUGUUCCUCGUCGUUGUUGGGAUCGUUCAUCUCUUAUUAAUUUUUUUCAUGUUAGUUAUACAAAGUAGUUUGAAAAAUAGAGAACAUGGAAAACAAAGUACUAUGAAAUAUUUGAGUAUGUUUGUAUGCAUGAAUACAAAAUUUGUGAAACAAUGGAUUUUUUUUUAAUUAUAUUUCAAACAAAAUGAUCACCGAACCAAACCGACUAGUUUGAUUUGGUUUUUCUUUUAAAAAACAAUAAAAAUUGAACCAAACUGAACCAAACCAAACCGAUGAAGAUGUCAUUGAUUCAGACAUUUUUUUGACUAAAAACCGAUCCAAACGAACGGUUACACUUCUAGUAUCCUUAAUGUUUUUUCUCUCAUGUCUCACAAGUGUAUUCAAUAUCACCAUUUAAUUUUUUUACUCUUAUUUUUAUAAUAAGGGUAAUGUUAACUGGUGUCUCCGGAGCACUGGUUAAAGUACUAAAAAAAUAAAUUAUAUAGUAGUUAUUGCAUUGAAAAUUCGGUAAUUAAUCUAUAAAAGUCAAAAUAAGUGUACUUUUUAUGUAAUAAUUUCAUUUUAUUGUAUCCUUAACUAGUGGCCCGAGACACCGGUUAGAAUGAUCUUAAUCCACUCGCCUAUUUUUUAGUCAAUAUAAUGGUGAGAUUUAAUACACAUGAGAGACAUGAGAUAUUUAUUUUUUUUAAAUAAUCCAUUCUCAUUAGCAUGAUUUAUUUUAAGCAAAACUAACAUUACCCUUACCUUUUAGUAGACAUUGAUUUUCAAAAUUCUAGAAAAAUGACAAUGAAUUACAAGAAUACUGAAACUUGUCCUCGUGAGCUUAGCUCAGUUGAUAAGGAUAAUACAUAAUGUUUGUAAGGUCUGGGGUUUGAACCCUGAACACCAACAAAAAAAAUUAUACCAAAACUUCUUUUUCACGAUAUUUCCAUCGUUGACGUUAACUUUUUUCCCUGAUUAACCCUCCAUUUGUUGUAUAAAUAUAGAGGAAAGAGAUAAAGAGAACAUGAACUUGACAUAUAAACCUGGUUAAUGAGAUAAAUAUAUUUUUAGUGAUUUAGUUUGAGAGGAAAUAAAUUAGGGUUAAAUAUGUUUUAAGUCUUUACAUUUUGCGUCUCUUUGAAGAAUAGUCCCUACAUUUUAUUAAAUGUUUUUAAAAUCCUCACAUUUUAUCUCUGUUAUCAAAAUUAGUCCCUAAAGGUGAGGAAAACACAGGGGGGGUAAUUGUGUUAGCUUUUUCUUCGUUUUCUCCUAAGCUGAAGGAUCAAUUUCAAAUCCAUUCCAUGUAAGUAAGAACAUUAUUGCAGGUAGAGUUGUUAUCAUUGGCUUGUAGCAGAGAAACAAAUUGAGUAGUGGAGAUAGUGGUUAUACACUUCGUACAAUUGUACUUUGUCAACGCUCUUCAAAGAACAAGCAUCUAAUGCCUUCAAAUCCUUUCAAAAUAGUUGUUGCUUCACUCUUACAGUCUUCUGCAAUGCUUAGACGAGAUUAAAUCCAUUGAACAACUUUUGAAGCUUUAACUCUUGCAACUCCUAAUGAGCUACAACUUCUAGUGAUCUUCAGCUUCUGAUGAGAUGCUUCUGAUGAACUUGCUUCUAAUGACGUCAUUACUUCAAGAGCACUUUGACUUUAGGAGCACUUCUCUUCAGAUGCUUCAAGCUUCCUUUCUGUUGAUUCCUUUGCUCUCUUUUAUUCUUCCAGAACCUAAUAAUGAUUCCAAAUUUUUGUCUAUGGUCUUGUACACUUGAACAAAUAUUAUCAUAUCCAAUUGACAAUUUUUAAUACCUUGUUAUCAUCAAAACUCACAAAGGUAAUGUUAAACACAUUUUGUUCCAACAGUCUCUGCUGUUAAUUCUUUAACGGAAUGCUGAUGUGGUAGUUAGUGUGAUCAAAUUAUUUUAGGUUUAAAUACUCCCUCCGAUCUCAAAUGUAAGAAACAAAAAAAUAAAAUUAGUGGUCUUAAAUAUAAGAAAAAGUAUAGUAAAACGAAUCUAUUAAAUGCCACAAUUCUAGGUUUACCCUCAUUAAACCCACCUCAUUGAUGUAUUUACUACUCCAAGACAAGGGUAAAACUAGAAAAAUAUCACUUUUUAUAAUGACUUAAAUGUGGUCAAUCCACUUUCUUAAUAUGUGUGCAUUUUUUGUUUCUUACAUUUGAAACUGGAGGGAAUAUGUUUUUGAUCCUUACAUUUUGCGUGACUUUGAAGAAUAGUUCUUAUUAUUUUAGGGAUUUUAAAAACAUUUACUGAAAUGCAAAUACCAUUUUUUCAAAGUCACGCAAAAUGUAGGAACCAAAAACAGAUUUAACUUUAAAAUAAUUAGGACCCACUAACUGCCACAUCAAUAUUCUGUUAAAGAAUUAACAGCAAAGACUAAUUUUGAUAACAGAGAUAAAAUGUGAGGAUUUAAAAAACAUUUAAUAAAAUGUAAGGAUAUUCUUCAAAGGAGCACAAAAUGUAAGGACUAAAAACAUAUUUAACCCAAUAAACUAAAAUUAAGAUGAGGAAAAAAAUGAGUGUAUAAAUAAGCUCACAUAAAUAUUCUUACCUAUAAAUGAAUGGUUGCAUUGCAAGCCAUAUUAAAUGAGACUGCCUCUUAGAGUGUUAGCCUUCCACGUCCAACCUGUUAAAGAGAGAAAUGCUCCACAUGCUUAAAUUAGGUGGUAGAGGAGCCAUCCCCAUCCAAUUACAUAUUAAUAUCGACAACUUGUAACACUUAAUUUUGAACAUUCUAUCUAACACUUACUCUUUUAUUAGAUAAAAAUAACGAAUGUCCUACCAUUUUGUGUUGGUUUAAUUUUCAAAGUACUUACAAUGAUUUAAACUAAUAAUAAAGUGAGUAUUAGAGAGAGUGUUUAAAAAAGAGUGUUGCAAACAUUAAUCUUAAAUAGAAUCUAAUUUGUGUAUAAUAUUUAGAGAAAAAUUUGUAUACAAAGUACACUAGUUUUCGUUAUAAUUUUAUCCCAAAAUUAUUACAAGAUUAUGGUUGAUACCUAAAAAAGACAAACAAAAAAGAGAAAAACCAUAUCCAAACCGAUAUUCCUCUCCUCUGGAAUAAAAGAAGACAACACCACAUCCACACUCUUGGAGUCAUGGACAAAGGCAAAACCCAACAUCCGCACAAAACAACAAUGAUCACAUCAUGAUAGAGGAAGGUUUCAAUUGACGCCAAUAUCUGACCAAAACAUCCACUAUUAACCAAUCAUAUUGAUGGAAAAAAAAAUCUUUACUAUGACCUUGUGUUUUAACAUUGAAAAAAUAAUAUUGAUUCAUGUCUCUGUUUCCACAAGAGAUAUAGUAAGAAUAUUGGUUUAUAGUUAAGUCUAUGGUUGGACUUGGUCUAUGAAAAAUAAAAUGGAGUGAACUCAAAACUGUUGGAACAAAAUAUGCUUAACAUUACCACCUUUAAGUUUUGAUAAUAAUAAUGUAUUAGAAAUGUCAAUUGCAUAUGCUAAUAUUUGUUCAAAUGUGCAUGACCAUAAUAAAAAAUUAUAAGUCAAGUAUAUGUUCUGAAAGAACAAAUGAGAGCAAUGAAAUUUACAAAAGGAAGCUUGUGCUGCAAGAAUGAAGACAGAGUAUGGAGACAAAGAGCGUCUGAAGACCAUCAGAAGUUGUCUACCAGAAGCUGACGUCAUCAGAGAGUCUAAAGACCGUCAGAAGCUGGAGUUCAUCAGAGUCUGAAGAUUGGAAGUUGGAAUUAGUUAAAAGUUGUUAUUCUUAAUGUAAAUCAUUGCAGAAGGAAUGGAAGCCUGGAGCAACGACUAUUUUAGAGGAAUUAGAAGGCAUUGGAAGCUUAUCCACUAAAGAGCACAGGAAAAUGACAUAGUACAAUUGUACAAUCACUGCCUCCACUACUCCACUCCUCUUGUCUGCAGUAAUACAAGAUAUCAGUUGUGACUACGCUGAUCAUUCUCUAUUCAAGGAAUGAAUUUAAAAUUGUUCCCUCCUAAGACAAUAACCAAAUCAAGCAACAUAUCAUUGAUGAUUAUCAAGCUUCAACGACUCUUUUGAUGUGGUGGCAAUCAACAACGUCUCUUUUACACCUCUAUAUAAAGGAGUGAAGACUUGAAGAUUGUAAGAGACUAACACCAAUUUCACAAGUGCUAAAACUCUGCUGAAAUUGUUUUCACAUCACGUUCACUUAGAAUUUCUUAACAACUUUCAUAUCUUAGAAAUUCUAGAGUUUUAAGAGUUUGUAUCUAAUUUUUAUUGUGAAUAUCACUAAUUGUAUAUCAAGUGUUCAAACCUCAAACAUUUUCUGUAUAAUUAUGUUUGUUUAAAAGUAUCUUGCUUUUAUACUUGAACAUAGGAAAACUGUUGCGUUUAUGCUUGAACAUAGUAAGACCCAUGCAGUUGCGGACGUAUCACUAGCACACAUUUUCUUUUUACAUUCCAUUGUGCUACUACGGAGACUAGCACACAUUAAUUAUAACAAAAAGGGAGUAAUGUCUGCCAAAGAUUAUGAAUGAGAAAUCCAAAAAUGUGUUUAGCUCAAAAGUCAUUAAAAACAAUGAUAACUUCCCGUCGGGUGAAGUCCUUCAUAUUUGUAGCAGGGACAUAGGUUGGAUGGACCAUCUACAUUUUGUCUCCGCCUGCGAUGCUUUCAUUGUUUUUAAUUGACUUCACUAAAAUAUCACAAAAUUAAUGGGCUUAAUUGUCAUUUUAUAUAACUAAUCAGAUUUUACUUCUCACAAACAAACUAAUUAAUGCACGUCCUCGUGAGUUUAGCUUAAUUGACAGAGACAAUGCAUAAUAUAAACAAAGUUUGAGAUUCAACGGCGGAUACCACAAAAAAAAACUAACUAAUACACACUUACUUGUAUCCAUUUCCCCCCUAAAAAAGUCCUUUAUGUCAAGACGACUCCGGUUUGGUUUUUUAUGAGCUUAUAUAAGAAAAAUUGUUCCUUUUUCAUUCAUUUUUUCAUUUCCUUUCUCUCUUCUUUUCUUUCAACCGUUCCCUCUCUCUUCUCUCUCCUGUUCUUCAAUUGCUAUGAAGAUUCCGGUCAACAUGAGUUUUCCGGGCGGUGGCCGCCGACCAAAGGUGGCGGCGCCGCCGCGCCGGACUUCAAAAGUCCGUUUUUUAUUUUUUUAAUUUUCUUUCCCUAUUUGUAUUCUUUCUUUUCAAUUCCAAAAAAAAAGGGUUAAUUAAGUUUUUGGUCCCUAUAAAUAUCUACAGUUUUGUUUUUAGUCCCUAUAAAAAUAAAUCACACUUUUUAGUCCCUACAAAAUUUUUUGUUAUUGUUUUUAGUCCCUGUUAAAUUAAAAUUUGUUUAAUUAUGCUUAAACUUCUAAAUUUUUGAAAGAUUUUUUACGUACAUGUUCAUAACAUCGUAAGACACGCUUUUGUAAAAAAUUUUAGUUUUUUAACAUGUAAUGAAUUAAAUAUGAAUUUUUCUAAAAUCCAAAUUUUCAAGAUUAUAUUAAUAAAAAUUUGGACCUAAUAAUAAAAUUUUAAGUUACUUUUUUGCGGAGGAACUUUGUAUAAUAUUCUAAGUAAGUAUAUAUGUGAAAAAUAUGUUACAAAUUUAAAAAUUUAAGCAUAAUUAAGCAAACUUUAAUUUUUCAAGGACUAAAAGUAUAUGUUGGUCCCUGUUAAAUUGAGAUUUGUUUAAUUAUACUUAAAAUUUUAUAUUUUUAAAUGAUUUUUAACACACAUAUUAAGAACAUUAUAAUAAUCUCUUUUAUAAAAAAAUUAGAAUUUUUUAACAUGUAAUGAAUUAAAUAUAAUUUUUUUAAAACGCCAAAAAUUGAAGAUAUUACUAACGAAAAUUUGCAACUAAAAAUAAAAUUUUGAGCUAAUUUAUUGUGGCGGGACCUUUUAUAAUGUUGUAAACAAGUAUGUAAAAAAUCAUUAAAAAAUUUAAAAUUUUAAGCAUAAUUAAACAAAUUUUAAUUUAACAAGGACUAAAAACACUAACGGAGAAUUUUGUAGGACUAAAAAGUGUGAUUUAUUUUUAUAGGUACUAAAAACAAAACUGCAGAUAUUUAUAGGGACCAAAAUUUUAAUUAACCCAAAAAAAAAAAAAUCUUUAAAUUCCUUCUUUCAAUUGUUUCUACAUGAACCAUCAAUUUUAUAAUUAAUUAUUUUGCCUUAUUCCAAGUCUCGUGCUUCAUGGGUUGUGGAACGACAACUUUGCAAUGCUUCACUUCACCUUGUCUUAAAACUCGUGCUUGGGGGACUAUGGAAUGACAACUUUGCAAUUCAUCACUUCGUCUUAUCCCAAGACUCGUGCUUAGGUGAUUGUGGACCGUUAAUAUAUAAUUAAAGGCACAACUCCCUCCAGAACGGCCCAAACGCCCUGGGCACGUGCUCCGAAGGGCGCCACGACGUAAGGCUUUUAGAAGCAUCUAAACACUCUAAAACAUGACUUGGGGCCCAAGUUGCUUGGACGCUAAUUCGUUGAAAAACAAGCUCACGAAUGGCUAUAAAUACCCCUCUUCAGAUCAUUCUCAAGACAAUACCUAAACAGUUCUAAACCCUAAUUUCAAUAUUAUACUCACCGCAAGUACACUACAAUUUCAAUUUCAGUUUCCUAAAAUAAUAUAUAAAAAAAAAAAAAAAAACUAAUUCCCUUCCCACUUAUAUUUUGUCUCUACGGUCACUCCUUCUCCAUAUUCUUAGUUCUUGCCGACAACACCCUCUGCCUUCUUAUUCUUAUUCUUCUAUUUUGGAGAGUUUCCAUUCUUUUUUUUUUUUUUGGUAGAUAGACGAAAUGACAAAGCCAUUAUAAACUCACACACACAAGUGGAGGUACCGAGGUUCGAACCCCGGUCAUGGCAUCCGGCCUAACAAUAUCGACAUUUUUGAGAGUUUCCAUUCUACACACACAAAAUGUGACUAUAAUUCUUCAUCUUCUUUGUGUUGAGAUCAUCAAGUUCUCCAUGAUCACCAAUCACAACUCCAUUAUUUCACCUCUUCAUUUUUUCUUUAGAGAUGUUUGAAUGAUGGAGUACAGAGAGAUUCAUACAUUUUUUUGGGUAUUCAUCAUCUUCAUUUUUGCAGUUGAAAGCACACAUCAAUUAUUGAAAACGAAUGAUAGAACUUUUCAAAAUCCAAGUUAAGGUACAUGUUAAGAUACAAAAAAAAAAAAAAAAGUUUUUAUUGAAAAACAUAAUAUUUCAACUUUUAAGAAGUUGAAUGUACGACUUUUGAUACGUAUAUUCUUAUAAUUAAUUUCUUGCCCUUGAGAACACAAGUUAGCAUUUGUCUUCACAAUAUUACCGAUGUAAUUCUAUUUUUUAUGUAAUUAUCGCAGUGCAUAAACUGCAAAGCAUACAAACAUCCAUUUAUUUGCAUCACACACAAUACAAUACACACUUUUAAGACAUCACUGCCACAUUUAUUGAAUACAAACAUCACACUAAACAGUUGUGUGCCCAAAAGCCAACCCCAUUGGACCAUAAGUCCUUAUUUAAUAUAAUAUCUUCAUGACUUAUAGUCCAUCUACUUUUUCCCCCUUAACAAGAUGACCAUCAAUAUCUCUGGUCCCUUUGCUAAGGUAGUCCAUCCAGCCAUUUGGAGUCUCAACUUCCUCAUUGUUCUUCUCAUAAUCAAUAGUCCAUCUAACAGCAGAACUUCCAUCUGCCUUGUUAAGCACUUCUAAGAUGAGCUUAAAGACCUUGUAGUUUUCAAUAUCUCCACCAAACAGCUUGAAAGUGAUUUUUUUGUUCUGCUCAUCAACUUCUUCAACCUGCUCAUUGCAUGUGUGUACCU